UUCCCAUACUUUUCAUUUCUUAAUCCAUCAUGCCCCUUAAGAACACUUGGGGCACUUACACAUACACAUAUAAGUGUAUAUAUAGAUCCAACCAUGCAUUAUAUAGUUUUAGUGACCGGGUUGAGUCUGAACAGCUUCUCCGGCAUAAGAACAACACCUUGAGCAGCCACGGUAACCUCUGUAGCAGCAACCGUGACGGCAAUAACCUCCUCCACGGCCUCCUCCGUUGUAUCCUCCUCCGCGGUGUCCUCCUCCGUUGUAACCUCCUCCUCCGUUGUAUCCUCCUCCGUUGUGUCCUCCUCCAUUGUAUCCUCCUCCUCCGUGGUGUCCUCCUCCGUUGUAACCUCCUCCUCCGUUGUAGCCACCACCAUAUCCAUCGGGUUUCACAUUUUCCUCACUUUCUGACUUCGCUGUAGCUGUCAAAAAUAAUACAUUUCAAAGAUAUUAUUAGCACGUUCAAAUUUGCAUUCCUCACCCAGAAUUUAGAACUAUUUUUCUAUUUGCAAAAAAUAUUAAGAGAUAUAAGUUUGCAUCUCUAGCUAGUUUGUUUCAAAACAUUUACAACAUAAGAUAUACGUUCUAAACAUUUUUGCUCUAAAUGUUUGAGAUGAUCCCGAUACAUAUAAUAAGAAUUCAACAUCAUACUUAAGUGUAUUUUGAUUUUCGUAAGUCUCCAGCCUUAUAACAAACUAAAUAGUUGAAUGAAUCUAUCACCCAAUGGAAGAAGUAGACAGAAACAUAAAAAAUAAUGUUACAUACCCGACUGCCUUUCGGAUGCCGCUGCCCUUUCUGAGACGACGAAAAGAAGUGCAAAGAGACCCAACAGAAUUAAAGCCCUCGAAGCCAUUUUCUUCAACUGUUCAACUCUUUGUUUUAGAACGUGUGAUGAAUAAAAAUGUCACCAUGUAUGCCUCUAUUUAAAGAAAACGAGGAGGAGGGAAUGAGAAGAGUAAAAAAAAACCUAAUCCCUAGUCCAAUAAAAAUAACUCAAAAGAAAAGUUAAGAAAUUUAAUAAUUUAUGACAAUAAAAAUAGUAAGAAGAAGAUAAGUAUCGAUUGCAUAGGGCCCAUUUAUGGUUGGUUGUUGGAAUCAUUGUAAAUAAUUUUGAAACUCCUUAAAUGGCAACUCUCCACUAGUCUUUUAGAUGUUUCUAUAAAACGUCUCAAACACAGCGCAUUCACACGUAUAUAGUCAUAGACAUAUUAAAAAAUAUUAUUGGAUUAUUUCGAGAAUAAUAUUCAUUAUUGGAGAGUUGGAGACUUGGACUAUUGUUUAUGAAUCGUCCUUUACAAUCUCAACCGACAGAUUUUACGCAGAAGGAUAUAGACAAAUCAUAUGGACUUAAAAUCAGUAAGUCAUAUAGGAGCGAUACGUAGUAGUUAAUAAGGACAGACGCAAAAUAUUAAGUCAUAUAGGAGCGUACGUAGUAGUUAAUAAGGGCAGACGCAAAAUAUUGCACGGCUAUAUUGUUGGGAUAUCAAUCCAAGUUUCACAUCUAAAAUUUAAACUAAUGUACUCAAAUAUAUAAGUAAAAUGUUUAAUAGUUUAGUAUAAAAUUUUUUGGAAGAAAUUUAAAAACAAAUCCGUGCAUGCUUUGUCAUUUGAAUCCAAAGUGGACAAUAUCAUACUAAUAGAGAAUUGGACAUGGAUUUGAAAAGUUCAACAAUUGGUAUCAGAACCAGGUUCUGGAAAAAAUGGAUCUGGACAAAUGGGUGUGGACUGUGUGUUCGGUGUGGGAGGGAGAGCCCUCAAAGUAACCUUGCGAUUAGGGUGCUGGUGCUUUGUAUCAAAAGUCUUCCGAUUGGGCUUUUCAAGCUCAUGUCCAACUCCCUAUUAGUAUGAUAUUGUCUGCUUUGGGCCCAAAUGACAAAGCCCGCACAGAUUUAUUUUUGGAUUCGGGUUUGAGUGGUCCUUAGCUAGAGGAGAGGAUUGUUGGGAUAUCAAUCCAAGUCCCACAUCCAAAGUUUAGACCAAUAUGGUCUAGUAUAUAAGCAAGAUGUCCAAUAGUUUAGUAUGAGACCUUUUGAGAAGGAAUCCAAAAACAAAUUCGUGCGGGCUUUGCCAUUUAGGCCAAAACGGACAAUAUCAUACUAAUAAGGAGUUGGACUGGGCUUGAAAAACCCAAUAUGAAGACUUUCGAUACAAGGCACCAGCACCCCAAUCGCAAGGUUACCUUGAGGGCUCUCCCUCCCACACCGAACACACAGUCCACACCCACUUCUCUAGUCUACCUUUUCCAGAACCUGACUCUGAUACCAAUUGUUAGAUUUUCAAGUCCUUGUCCAACUCUCUAUUAGUAUGAUAUUGUCUGCUUUGAGUCCAAGUAGAAAAGCCCGCACGUAUUUGUUUUUGAAUUCCUUUCCAAAAGGCCUCAUACUAAACUAUUGGAUAUCUUUAUGUACUAGACCAUGUUGGUCUUUACUUCGGAUGUGAGACUUGGAUUGAUAUCCCAACACUUUUUAACAGUUGCGAAAAGGUUAGGAGAAGAGUUUCGUUGGUGCGUACGGUGAUACAAGAUGGGUGCCAAGUUUCGCAGGAGGUUGGGAGGCCACGGGUUUGUGUGAUCCUUGGCUUAAGGGGAGAAUUAUUGGGAUAUCAAUCCAAACCUCAUAUCUGAAAUUUAGAGCAAUAUGGUCUAGAAUAUAAGCAAGAUGUCCAAUAGUUUAGUAUAGGGCAUUGUGGAUAAGAAUCCAAAACAAAUCCAUGCGGGGUUAGCCAUUUAGACUCAAAGCAGAUAAUAUCAUACUAAUAGAAAGUUAGACAUGGGCUUGAAAAGCCCAACAUAUAUUAAUCACAGCUAUUCUAAUGGAAAAUUUUUUUAAUGAAAUUAUCUAUUCAAGUCAUUUAAGCGUAAGGCUUGAUAUUCAGUAAAUGAGUUGAGAAUUAGUUAAUAAUAUUAAUAAAGGUCAUUGAGUGUGGACAUGUUAGUUACUUUCCUGCUACUUGCAUUUGACUUAAGAGUGAAAUUCAUAAGAUUGUACAAACAAAUUGUCUAACACAUGAGACUUGUGAUACCAAGAACAAUACAUGCACACAAUAAGCCAUGGUAGCUCAAUUAUUCGUUUGGAAUGUAAAACAUCACAUACAUGUCUAAUUCAAGUUUUACUUGAUAUAAAAAUUAAACGGAUGAUAUAAAGGAUCUAAGAACACCUCCAUUAGUGAGAUACAUCAAUAUAAUAUUAAUACUGCAUUUAAAAUAUACUUUAACUUUGCAAUUUUAAGUUUUCUAAAAAACAUUCAUGAAAAGAUAUAUGUUACAUUAGUCUCUCAUAUGGUUUACAAAUGAUAAUCCAUUCUCAUUCCCCAUUCUUUCUUUAAUAUGAGAAAUCCAGUGAAAUAUUCUCAAUAGAGAUGUUUUAAAGCCUCUAAUUAAUUAGCAUGAAUAUUUUACUUAUUAAAAAUGUAUAAUUUCAAGCUUGUGACUCAUCAAGGAGAACAUCCAAAACGACUUAAUCAUAAGUACGAGUUGGGAUUAAGCAAGAAUUGGGAACUGGACAGAGAGCAAAAAAUUAGAAAAUACGGAACACAAAUAGUAAUAGUUAAUGGUAAUAGUUAAAGGUAUCAACUUAAUCAUAAGGACGAGGGUGAUCUUUGUCUUACACAUAAUUCUUUUCCCCCUUAUUUCCUCUUAGUUUGGUUGUAAGGAUUAUCUAGAGGGUUGUAGCCUGUAGGAUAUAUGAUCUAGAGAUUGUGAAAGAUCUCUCGAAAAUUCUCAAGAAUUAGUCUACAAAAUAAAUUCCUAAGAAUCCUUCCCCAAUCCAAAGGAUCACGCUAGCAAUCCCCAAACCUCCGCUUUUGUCACUUAUCUUACCCUAGAUGGAUCUUCAAUACAGAUCGUUUUAUCCAUUUGAUCAAUACCAUACAAUUUAGGUGUCUUUGUAUAACAAGGCGUAGUAUAUCCCUUAUUUGGUAUUCACGCAACACAAUGAAACACAUGACUAUAUCUUUGUGUUUUUCCACUCAUUUUCGAAUUCUUUCUCUUUGUGUUAGAUUUAUUUUUGAGAGGCUGUCUCUUUUUUUUGGACAAAAGAAUAGAUACCUACAACUGUUUUAUAACAUAAACAAUAUCUUGCAGUCCGCCGCGUUGAAUGUAUGAAAUAGAGAAAGCUAAAACCUUCCUUACACAUGUUGAAUUCCUCCAUGCGGUAUAAACAUCAUCGUCACCAACUCGAAAUAGUCUGUAACAAAAGAUGUUGUCUUCUGAUAUUCGAUUAUACAGUGCAUGAUCCAAAUGAAUGCUUCUACUUCAACGUGCAAAGGAAAGAUUUUCUUGUAGACUUUUGCUCCCAUUAAUAUCAUUCAAUAUAUUCUUGGAAGCAAUGCCAUCCUAGUCUGGAAAAAUUGUCGGUUUAGUUUUCUUGUAAGAGCAGUCUAUGUAGCAUCAAAUAAUUUAACCAAAUUUCCUUGGGUCAACGAUCUAUUUUUUUAUGGGAAUUAUCUAUAGCAUGAGAUGUCUCCCGACCUAUAUAUGCCUUCUUUCUAUAUCUCCACGAAAUCGGGUUAAGACCUAUUUGAGAGAUUAAUAUUUUUAAGUUUGUUUUUGUGGGGAUAUACACAGAGAAAAUAAUUUAAUGUACGUUAACAUCUGAUGAUGGCUGAUGCUACAGUAAAAAUUCUAUAUAUUAAUAAUGUUGGAACUUUAAAAUUUUAUUAAUUUAGCAAAUUAUUAAUUUAUAAAGAAAUUAAUUUAACCAAAAUUUAAAUUUAAAACCAAAUAAUUAAUUGAGUUUAUUAAUUUAUCAAAUAUUAAUUUAUAGAAUUUCUGUUGUAUAUAUAUGAUAGUUCUCGUGAUUCUUUCUAUCCUUUCUAAGAAAGAGAAGUUAUCAAAUACAUUUAAUGGUGGAUACGUGGAGUCUCGGUCAGGAUUGUUGAUCACCACACGUGAUAGUGAAAUUGUAAUUUGGUAAUAAUAAGGGGAAAUGUUCAGCUAAAAAAAUUAAAUGAAACUCAGACCAUGCAAGUGUUGGAACCUUACUCAAUGAAUUGAUUGCUUGUUUCGAUCCAAAAUUCAAAAAGCAAUAACUAUAGCUGAUGCUGACUAUUGAGAAGAAAGUUCUAAAUUGGCAACUCAAACUAACCACAUGAUAGUAUGAUACAUAAUGACAUUCUUUCAAUUUUAUAGCCUUUUCUAUCAAAUUGAAAAUAUGGAAAACCAAAUUAUAUUUUUAAUAUUUAAAACAAGAUACUAGCUAUUCUAUAACUUUAGUAUACCCAGGUAAAGAAAAUAAGAUUUAGAUUCUAUAUUGAAUAAGAAUCAGUCUAAUUAUGACUCAUAUAGUUAGAUUUCAAUUAAAACUCUUAUUAGUUAUUCAGAAAUUAUGUUUUAUAAUUUGUAAGUAAGAAAAUUUAAAAUUAAUCUAUAUUAAUCAUAAAUAACCCUCUUAAAUAAAUAAGAGGUUAUAAGACAAUAAUUUACAUUUUUCAAUUUGUAGUUUCUAUUUAUUUCUGUAUUUUACUUUUUAUUUUAUUUUAUUAGUUUCUUUUUUUGAACCAAAAAUUAUUUUGUUUUAUAUUUAAUUUUUUAAUAUUUAAAUAUAAAUAACUAAAAUUUAAAAACUUAAAUUAUUAUAUUAACAUAUGUUACAAUCUAAACUAAUAAUGACACAUAUAAUAUCUGUAAAAAGUUAUAAUUAUUCUAUGUGUCAUGCUAACGUAGAUCUUACCAAGUAGGAUUGUAACACUAGAUAGAUUCAACUCUGCAUAAUACGUAAAAAAUAAUAAAAUAUUUAGAUGAUCUGGUCAUCGAUCUAGCAAACCACCACAAGGUGAUCUCAAUGCCCAUAGACGAUCCAACCGAGCCAUCCGAAGCUGAUUGGAGCCUUGUUGAAGCUGUAUCGGUGAAACCAAAUACCAAAUCAACUGAGGGAAGGCAUUUUUACCAACCAACCAACCCCAGUGAAGACUGAUCAAGCAAAAACACUUUUGACUCAAACCAGAACUGAAGAUAACCGAGACAUUCCACCUAAUAGCCAAGGAGCGGUUAUACCAUCACCAUCUUUGACCAAACCGGUGAUUCAUGAUCCAAGAACCAAUAUUCAUCGACCAACCGACCAUAAGGAGUAUUCUGUACGAGAUAUUUCAUGUCUUAACCAAGCUAGAAGUAAAGAUAACCGGAGCCUCACCAACCGGCUUGAUUACAAACCAGAUUUUACCCGAGAAGAGACUUGGGCUGAUUUCUUAGAGAUCAAACUCAAUCACCAAGAACUAAUAUCAAACCUGAUUUGCUCUGUGUUCUUGACCCAUUAAGGAAUCACGGUGAAUUGGAAUCAGUCCAACUUACCCGAUUGGAAAUAUGCACCUUAAUUGAAGCAUUCCGACCAAGCCGGGAGGAAUUAAGCUGCGAAAUGACUUGUUCUGGAAUCUGGGUUCAUCAAGGAAUCCGGGAUAGUUGGAAUCACACCAAGUCCGGUUUUCAUUUGGGAGAUACUCCAUUUCUAAACCGACCGAUGGUUUCCCAGCUUGCCUUAUUUGAAACCCUAUGGGUUUAGGAGACACUAGACGUAUCAGUGGCAUCCAGGAGACUGUGCUAUUUCCAGAAGUUCCCUAAAAUACUCUAGAGUGCACCCGUACGCCUUGGAUCAGGCGGAUCCAUCUGUACCUUCAAUUGAACUAACUAGGGCCGAUUAUAGAAACUACGAAGACCGACCAGUUCAAUUAUGAGCAAACCAAGAUAUCACGACCAGAAGAGAUUCUUAGACAAUUAAGGAGCUUAAAAACACCUUCCCAUGCACCAGAAACCACAGGAUCAGACGGAUCUUCUUGCAAGUCCACUUUCCUUAUGUAGCUGCGUUCACAUUAGGAGCCAUAACUUUCCAACGGCUCUUUGUCUUUAAGUGCUACGAUAUGGACAACUUUUUUGGAGAUAAGAAUGUUCCAGAAAUUCUCACUAAUCCUCUUAAACCUUACGGAUACAAAGGCGUCAUCACAAUUGCCUUAGUUGCCGAGACCCUCCAUUAAGAGCCAACAGCUAGUUUUUGAUAUAUUUUUGAUUUGUUCCUUUACUCUAGAUUUUUAGACCGUUUGUAAUUAAGCUUGUAGGAGCUCUAUACAAGCUCAGCUCAGGUAAUUUUUACAAUUCACCUUUAAAUCCAGAUUAAUACAAAGUAUUCCUUUUUCUUUCAAAGUUGUGUCUUUGCAAAGACUUGUUCUUUUCUUUAGAAUUAAGUGUGAGAUUCACUUAGCUCUAUAGAAGCUGCGAAAUUAGUUUGUUUAUGAGAUUCAAACAAACUAUUUCGUCGACAUAUUGAGAGAGUCAAUCAACCCCCAUCGAUUGAGAGUCAAUCACCCUAUCAUCAUCUUUAUCUCGACUUCAUUCCACCUUCCGCAGAAUAAGUUUGGAAUAUCUUCAUCAUUAAGUGAUCAUAAGUUGGAGUGAUUUCAAUCUUGUAUCAAUUAAUAAUGACACAUGUAAUGAUAUAGAAAGUUAUAAUUAUCCUACGUGUCAUGCUAGCGUAGAUCUUACCAAGUAGGGUUGUAACACUAGAUAGAUUCGGCUCUGCAUAAUAUGCAGAAAAAUAAUAAAAUAUUUAGGUUUUCAAUUUUUAUAAUCUGCAUAAUUAUGACUUGUACAGUUUGAUAUAUACUAUUAUUUGCGAGGUCAAAAAUCUGAUGUGUCAUCAUCACAGUGAUUGUCUUAUGUGUCAUUAAUAAAAAACAAUUAUGUGUUGUUUUAAUUUGUUUUGAUAGGUCAAUCAUUAGUCCUACGUGUACAUAUCCAUGACAUGGUUUUUUUUCUUAAUUAUGGGCCAAAGAUUUUGCUAAUGGGCCACCGAUCUUAAAGUUUGUCCUAGCCACCGAUGUAAAAGUCGGUACUAACCUAAACCCUAGCGUAUCCAUCGUGCUAGAUAUACCCAUUUCGGUUUUCAUAUUUUCUUACAUAUAAUAUCUGUCUACUAAAAAAAAAAUUGUUCACCUCUUUUUUUAAAAAAAAACUAUCAUAGCAUUUAAAAAAAACGUCCACCUCUUUUUUAAAAAAAGGAUCAUAUCAUUUUUUAUAUACUCCAUCUCUUUUUUUUAAACAAUCUCUAUGAUUAUUUAUGCGUAUUUCUAAUGAAAAUAACCUACUAUUUUUUGUAUAAUUGAUAUUUUGAUGGUUCUAUAGUUCAUCUCUCGCCUUACAAUGGAAUCGUCAGGUAAAUAUACAUUUUUGAUUUUAUCUUAGUUCGUGCUUUUAAUGUUUUUUCAGAUUCUAGAAGUUUUUCUUUUGUAAAUCCACGGCGUAAUAGUUAUUUGCUUCAAAACUUUUAUGAAUUUUCUGUAGCGAUUAGCAAUCGUCCCUUUCAUGAUCCUCAGAUUUUCUAUAUCAUCUGCCGCCAUCUCAAAUCGUUUUUCCACGAGAUGAAGAUUCUUCUGCCAGUGUUAACAAUGAUAAAUUUAUCGGUUGGUCGAAGUGUAAUCAGGACUAUCCAGAAUCCAGAUCGUUAUGUAUUCUGAAUUUCUGACACGUUGGAUUUGAGAUUGUUAAAAACAUCAUGGCAUCCCCGUCUCUGCGGAAUCUCCACACCGAGUAUUAUAUCCAAUUGUAACCCCAACACUGGUACUGCUUAAGGGUUUUAUUGCAUGUCGUUUGCAGUCCAUGUUCUUAUAUUGAUAUAAGAACAAAUAAAUGGUGUUGUCCACCCUACUUUCAAAGAUGCAUGUUAUGUUUUAGGUUAAAUUCACGAUGAUACUGAGAAUGUUUAAGCUUUCUAUAAGGCAAGUCAAUGAGGUUCCCGCUUCUCUCUCUUCAAAUGAGGUUCACUACUUUGUUACAUCCAGGUUCUAUGAUGAAUCACUUUUGUGUAUGGAGAUCCAUUCAAUGUUUUUUAGUAUAAGUUUUGUCAAUUUUUUGCAUUGUCUUUGAUUUUCUUUUCUUUCAUUAUAUUAUUUUAACAAUUUCUUAGAUUUUUUAUUCUGUUCUGCCCGGUUUCGGUUGAGAGGUUUACUAUUUGAGAUUUUUGUUGGACGUUGUUAGGUAUUUUUAUUGGACGUUGUUAGGUAUUUUUAUUGGAAGUUGUUAGUCUUGGUGCUCAUGCUUUAUAUAUAGAUGAUAUCCAGUAGCUAAAGAUUUGUGUACUUAGUGGUUCGUUUGUUCGGUUGGUAAUUUUUUGUUUGGGUUUUUGAAUUUGGUUUUGUAUUAUUUUUUCAGUCGGUUAGAUUGAUAUUUGGUGCGUGUUGGUUAUAUAUUUUGUGGUUUAAUGAUUACACUAUUAUAUAUAUAUAUACAUAUAUAUAUAGUUGUAGUGUGGUUUUUAGACAAAAUUCUCUUUUUUCAAUUUUUGCGAUAGUUUAUUUUUCAAGAAUGUCACAUAUUUAUUCAUUGAGCUUUUGUGGUGUUUAUGAUUUCUAAUAUGUCUACGGUUUUGUCAGAUAUGAUUGUAAUUAUUUACCUAAGCUCUUAAAAUUAUUAUUUAUUAUAUAAUCUAUACAUAUAUUGUGAUCAAAGUAAAGAAUGUAUAUCCUAGGGUUAUUUAACUAUGAUCUGAAAUUUAGUAUUUAUUAUAUAUAAUCUAAUAAGGAGAUGAAGACGACCAAUGAAGUCGGAAGGUGAAGAUGAUAAAAAUAUAGAAGACAAAGUAAAAUAAAAAAAUGAAAAAAAAGAAGUAGAAGAAGAGGAGAAAAAAAGAUAAAUCAAAAUAUAAAGAAGAAGCUGUAGUUGAUGAUAAAAACUAAAGAAAAAUAUGAACAUAAAUUUGAAUAAAACCAUAGAGAAAAAGAAGAAGAUGAGAACACAGAAUAGUGAAGAAGAAUAUUGAUAAGAAAAAAGAAAUUUGGCUUUGAAUAAGAAAACCAGAAGAAAUAAAUGAAAGAUGUAGAAACAAAGUAAAGACGAGGAAAUGGGAAAAUGAGUAGGUGUAGAUGAAAAAAAAAAGAUGAAAACACUAGAAGAAGAUAAAUUUGACAAAGACCAAAGAGGAAUAAGAAGUAAAGAAUAAAGAAGGCUAAUAAAAAUCAAAAAAGAAAGAAGAACAAGAAGAAAAAGAAGAAAAAGAAGAGCUGAGAAAUAUAACGAUGAUGAAGAAGAAGUCAAAACGAUGAUGAAGAUGAAAGAAAAUUAUGAAAAAUAAGAAAAUCGAAAGAUAUAUAAGACGAAGAAGAAAGUACAAGUCAAAGAUGAUGAAUAAGAAGGAAAAUAUGAAGAAGAAGAAGACUUUGGGACAGAAAAAAAAAACAAUGUCUUUAAAUUAUAUAUUAGAGAAUGAAGAAGAAAGACAUAUAAAAACCAAAAAAAUAAAAGAAUAAGGAAAAUACAAAGAAAAAAAAAACCAAAAGAUAAAAAGUAGAAAAAAGAGUAGAACAAAAUAGAAGAGCAAGAAGAAGGAGACAAGUCUGAAGUGGGAAUUGAAAUAGAAGUUGAAGACGAUGAAGAAGAGGAAAGAAAACAUAAGAAAUAAGAAAAUUGAAGUCAAUGAUAAAGAAGAAGUAAAAGACGAAGAAGAAGACUGAAAAAAAGAAAAAUAAAAAUCAUAAUAAGAAAAAUUAUGACAAGACGAAAUGUUGACAACUAAAAAUGGGAAGAGGAUGACGAAUUUAGAGAGAGAGAGAGAGAGAGAGAGAGAGAGAGAGAGAGAGAGAGAGAGAGAAAUUGUGGUAAUGCUUUCAGGGACAUGUAGAUGGAGAGAGAGAGACAGUGAGUGAGAGAAAUAGAGAGAGAGAGAGAGUAAGAGAAAUGAGAAAGAGAGAGUUAAACAUUUCAAGUACAUGACAUUAAAUCUAUGUUAGUUCGUCUUUUCUGUGUUUCUAUUUUUUUUUAUAUCUGAGACACUUCUUACUUUAAAUGUAGUUGUCUAAAUCGUAGAUAUAUACAACUUAAGACGAGGGAAGAAGAGAGAGAGAGUGAGAGAGAAAUACUGAAACAGAGGGAGGGUAAGAGAGAGAAUGAUAGGGAGGGACGCAUGGAGGGGGAGAGAAAGUUAAAGUUUUCAGGUAUAUGUAUUUGAUUAAUAUAAAAGACGAAGAAAAACAAGAAGAAUAUGAAGUCAGAGAGAUCAAAGAAGACGAAGGUGAUGAUGAAGAAGAAGAAUUCGAAGUAGAAGAGGAAGAAGUUGCGAAUAAGAUGUGGAAAACAUGAAGAAGAAGAAGACGUGAUUAAAAAAAAAAAACUAAAGAAUAAGAAGUAAGAAAAGACAUAUAGAAUGAAGAAGAAAUAAAAGAAAAUGAAAAGAAAGUAAGAAUAUGCGAGAGUAGAAUGAGAGAUAAAGGUGGAAAACUAUGAAUAAAGAUAAGGAAAAGACAAUAAAGAAGAAAAAUCAAAAGAUAAAUAAGAGGAAAAAAAUGAUGAAAAGCGAUUAUGUGGAGUGAUAACUAUGAGUUUUCAAGACUCUUUGUAGAGGUUAUCAAUCCCUUGUCUUGUAGUACAAGGGGUUUAUCAAUCCAAGAAUGUGGUGAUAGACACUAAGCUAUGUAAUCAGGUUCUUAAUUCAAGCAAACAAGAGUGGUUUGGUUAACUAGAGACAACUACAAACUUAAACAGGAUUAAAGACUAAUGAAAUGAUUAAACAAGAACUAAACAAUGAGAAAUGAUGAGAAUGUAUGAAUGAUGAUGAGAAAAGUCUUAGACAUGAUAGUGGAUUAGGGUGCCUUCAGUGAUAAACUAAUGAGCUAAUGAAUCAUAUGAUCAAGCAAACCAUUCAACAUAAACAUCUUUAAUUAAGUUAAUCCUCUCAUGAAGGUAUUAACUCCUAUGCUAAAACAGUUUCUAACCCAAUCAUCAUCAGUGAAACAUGAGUUAACAAGCAUUAAGAAUCAGUUUAAUCUGUCAUUUAAGCAUAUAGACAAUCAUUCCCAUGAUGAAUAACACUUAAACCUAUAACAACCUUGGUUCAAACAUUUCAUCAAACACUUUUGAUGCAUGAAAUGCCCAGAAUCUAGACCACAUAUGAUUUGUAUGGAUCUAGCAUAGAGAACAAGUUGUAGAGAAUGGAAUAUGCAUGAUCUAACCCCUAAGCUCACUAAUCUACCACUUAAACACCCUAAUCUACAUAUCUAAGACCUUAAUAUGGAGAUUACUCACUAAUCAUGAUCAACACACUAGAUCCUUUGCAAGAUGUGUUGUUAAUCAUGAUUAGAAGUGUAUAGAUGGAGAGAUAGAUGAUAGAUUUUAGAAGAAAGCAGCUUUAAACACAAAGAUCUCUUAAACUCUCUUGAUUAAACACUCAAUAAUCAAUAUUUCUCUUCUUAAUGGAGUCUUUUCACAAAAGAGGCAAGAGACAAAAGGAAUAAAGCUUAGUCUUCUAAAAACCCUACAAAGUAUUUAUAUCUCUCUAAAAAACGAACCGGGUCAGCCCGGAACAAACCGGAUCCUGACCCGGCUUUAAUGGAUAAAGUGGAAAUUCUGCGGGUUGGUCCAGUGUCUCCCAGGUAGCAUGCCCAAGUCGCAGUAGAUGAAGAACUUGUCUUGUGAGACUUAAAUCGCCUUGUCUUAGUCGCACGCCCAAGUAGGAGUGUUUUGCGAGUCUUGCUGCGGCUUAAUCUUCUUCUUCUUCAACUCGCAGGACCAAGGCGGUUUCUGGGGAAUGUACAAACCGUGCGGGUUGGUCUCCAUUACACUCAGGUCGCAGGCUCAAGUCGGAGUAGAUUGAGAGUGAUCGUGCGGCUUGGUUCCAGGCGCGGCCAACUCGCAUGCCUAAGUCGCACGAUUGUGGACUUAGCAAUUUUCUUGCUCGGGAGCCUCAGACCUCAUCCAUUGAUAGCUUACCCGCACUUCUCAACUCGCAGCAUCAAUUUCCAGGCAUUCGUCUUCAGGCCUGCGAGUUAACCAAGUCGCAAGGCUUUCUCGCAGCAUUCAGAGCAGCUUGGACCACUUCGCAUUCCGGAGAGUUUAACUUCUAAGAUACUUGUCCGAAUUGAGUGAUUCCGGUUGAAGAGGACAGAGGACUCAUAUAUCUCCAACUUUGGUGAAGGAAGCUUCGGUGCUUGGGAAGUGGAAGGCUUCCUGGAGAGCUCAUCUUUGCAGUGCAUUUACACGAUCAGAGAGAGGCGUCUAGACAUGUGUCAAUUCCGGAGACCGUAUCUUCCUGCUCAUAGCUCCGAAUUGAAUGAUCUUGGACGUUAUGGAUAGAGGACUCAAAUGUCUCUGAUUCGCAUGAAGGCUCAGGAAACUGAAUCGGCCUGAAAGUGCACUGUCCGUCGCAUUCUUCAGAGCUCAUCGGCUUGGUCCAGAACAGCAGCGAGACAGGGGUUCCUUCCGACGAGCUUAACUUUCUGCUCACGCGUCCGAAUUCCAUGAUUUCACUUGCUAUGGAACCAUGAUCCAAUCGUCUCCAACUUCGAUGAAGCACCCGACAACUGAAUCGGACCGGAAGGUUCCCCGGACAGGCGAUUUCGGAAACGUGUCUGCACCCGGAGAUUUUGGCCGAAAGAUUCAAUAGCCGGUACGCGUUUUGGCCGAUAAAGUCUACCCGCGGUACGCGUUUUGGCCGAGAAAAACCUUUCUGGUGCGCGAGAAUGGCCGAUAACCUCCAAAGACCCAAUUUCACCAUUUUUCAAGCCUUGAUCAUCAUUCCACCUCCUGGAUUCAUCUUUUCAGCUCCAAAUACACCUGAUAAGCACUCAAAACAUGCAAAGACUCAUUGGGACCUAAUGCAUCUCCUAAGUUCUAAAACAAACCCUAAGGACCUAAAAUGCAUGGAAUAAAACAUGAUUUGAAAUGAAUUAUGCAACCUAAAUGAUGCAAAUUAUGAACAUAUCAACUCCCCACACUUGUCCUUUGCUUGUCCUCAAGCAAACAAGAACAAAUGAGAGAGAGAGGUUGAAUGCAUGGGAGUUCACAUUUUCUUUUUGAGAGAAGUGAUCACAAUGAGAAUUCAAAUUCAUGCUCAAUUAUGCAAUGCAAAGCCAUACUCAGAUAUAUAUCAACUCAGCAAGGAAUUUCCACAAGUUCUUCUCUCUCUCAACUCUUACAUUCAUUAAGCUUUUAUCAGGUGAAUCUCAUGAUGCAAUGUUUAAACAAGCUGGCUUGGCUAGGGAGAGGCUAUGAGAUUAAAAUGAUCUCAUUAGUGUUCAAGUGGGUUUAAUGCAGCAAAGGGAUCUCUCUAUGAAUGAUCAAACUUUGGCAGAAUACUAAAGGUAAAAAGCAACCUAUGCAUACAAGGGCAAAGACUCAUCACACCCCACCCUCUACUCAAAGCUUUCUCACUUGCUCACUCUCUCAAGGACCUCACUUUUCACACUUAUUUUCCUCUCACUAGGGGACUUACUUUUCACUUUCACUCUCAAGUCUUGGAGUUCAAACUUUACACAGCUCUUUUUCUUUUGCAACCUCUAGCCUCCUUUUCUUCUUUCUUUUCAAAACAUUUGAGCUCUUUGGCUUCUUUUCUUUUCCUUUUACUUAGAGGCUAGACUCUUUCUUUUCAACACACCAGAGCUCACUUUCUUUAACUCAAAACUCCAAGACUGAUUUCUUUUUCUUUCAUUCCCCUAGCUAUUUCCACUUCCUCUUUUCCACUCAUCUCACCUUUUUCCACUCACCAACAAGUCUUUUCCCCCACACUUAUUCCUCGCCAAAACUCUCAGUUCCUUGAUGUUGGAACACAGCACUCAAUGAGACCUGCCCUUGUCGCUCUAAACCUAACACUUUCUGCUAAGUUUGAUCCAAGGUGGCCUUUCAAUUCACACACAAACAUUGGCUUGAAAGAAAGAUGGGUUCAAGGUGAGGGAACUGAUCCAUGAUGCGGAUUCAGCUACUUGAGCUAAGCAAAAAAGGGGGGGGGGUAAAAACAAUGGUUCUAGCUCAAGUAUGUAUAUCGGUAUCCACAAGCUUUUUCAAACAAUGCAUCACAAGAUAUUUUCAAGUCAAGUUCAAGGUUCCCACUUAAUUAGAGUUGAGUUCAAUUCAAACUUGCUUCUCAGAUUCAGAUCAUUUCAGACUUUGCAAGCACAGAAAAAGAUUCACAAGCAUAUUCAGUUCAAGUUCUCAAAGUGAUGUACUCUCUAGAAAAUCUAUCAUUACUCCCUGCAAGAUGCAACCUACAUGAACAUGCAAUCUAGACUCAAUCCUAAAAAUGAGAAUGCAACUACAUGAUCAUUUUUUUUGUGAAAAUUUUUCAGAUUUUUCAUUUUUUUUGGGUUUUUAUAUGCACUUAGAUGAGACUACAUGAAUAUGCAACUAGAAUGUGACUCAAGACUCAAAGUAUAAAAUAAGAACAGAGAAAACAUGGUUAGUAAAAGAUGAAACUCCUCCCCCACACUUAAAUAACACAGUCCCUUGUGUUAUAAAAGCAUGAGAAAGGAGUGAAAGCAAAGCAAACAAGUAAAAAUGCAAAGAAAAAGAAAAUCUACAUGCAUAUUUACAAGGUUUAGAGUGUUACCUAAGAGCUGUUGAAGUCAGACCCCAAUGAGUAAGAGGGGUUUGAAGUGUGACCGGAUGGUGUCUCCCAAGAAUGAUGGCUUGCUUCAUCAGACCCGUCGUCGAGAUCCACCCAAGUUGUGCCAUAUGUGACCAGGGCUAUGCAGUUCAUGGAACUCUCUCCAACUUCCUCUCUGUUCCUUGGUGAAACUGGUGCUGGAGACCCACCUUUGCAAGGGUUUUCAAGCUUAUUAAUCCUCUUCUUCAUCUCCUUGAUGCACUUGGCCAUCUUGUGGAUGGUUUUGUCUUGGUACUUGCACCAUUGUUGGAGAAUACCAAUCUUUUGUUGAGCUAUGAACCCUGAAGUGCCUGGUUCCUCCCAGUUGUAAUCAUCAAAAUGGUAUCUAUUUCCAACAAAACGUUUUUGAGGUGGAGGCAGAUCAGCAUCUUGAGCACCAGUAGCACUUGUGGUAGCAUCUUCAGCGGUUGCUCUCUUUCCCUUGGAGGCUUCUUCUCUGCAAGCUUGCUUGUAUGUGAGGAUUGGUGGAUCAGUUUGGACAUUGUACAGCUCUUCCUUCAGCAAGAAGAAGUGAAUGUUCCUCUUAACUUGGACUGUGGUGAUGGAGGGAUUGGGCAGGAGAGUUUGUGCUGGCUCACUGAUGAGAGUCUUGAAGUUGUAUACUACCUUGGUACCCACUCUUCCUUGGAGGAAGCCAAUCUUACACAAAUGUGCUUCAUUAAUUAGAUCAAACUUUGCCUUGUUCUCCUUGAAUCUGUACCCCUUGGCUUUCAAAAUCUUUGUUACCACCCAUCCAUGGGCCAGCUUUGCAUCUUGCUUUGUAGAACCCCAAAUGCACUUUUUUUAGAACAUCAAAGACCUUGCUAAUUGAGAGGCAAGGCAAAGUGGGUAUUCAUACUGUUCAUAGGGUUCCCCAUCUUCAUGAGUUGGCAUCAGCUGUUUCAGCCCCACACCAAGAAGCAUCAGAUCGCCUUUGUGAACUCUUCCAUCAUCGAUUUUGAAGUAGAAGCUGUGAGAGAGAAUCUUGUGAACAUAUCUCAGCACUGGAUUCCUUAUCCAAGAGGACUUAGCUGUUCCAGCUAUGUACUUCCCAGAAGCAAUUGAUCUCCAUAGAAGUUGGACCUCAUCUUUUCUGAGAUUGACCUGGUUGGAGAGAAGUUCAUUUCUAGGUGUUAACAACCCAAAAAUCUCAUUCAAUUCUCUGAAUGACACUGAAUAAUCCUUCCCUUUCAUAGUAAACUCCAAAUGUCCAAGCCCAUCUCCUUGAAUAAUUCUUGAAUCCCUUGGGUAGUAAAUGAAAGCUUCAAAAGAAGCCAAGAACUCCUGAGAUUCCUCUUCAUAAGCGAUCUCUCUCAUCUCCAAAAGUGACUCAACACCCAUGUUCCCAAGCAAGGUUUUGACAUCUUCAUAGAUGCCAAUAUUCUUCAAAAAGUCCACAUCAGGGAACCUCCCUUGCUGGAUCUCUAUCUGUUGAAACUUCGCCAGAUAAUCAAGUGUUUCUGGUUCAGUUUUCUUGAACCUUUUUGAUCCCUCUUCAAUGGUGCCUUGUGAACCACCAGCUGAGCUGCUUGAGUCACUUUCAGUCUGUUCACUCUCAGAUACGACAGCCAACUGUUUCCCCUUCUUCUUGGAACCAGAAGCAACCACCAAAGAUUUUCCUUCAUGCCUUGUCCUUUUUGGCGCUGGAUCACACUUCCCUUGCUUUGUGGUAUUCUUUGCUCCUUGACCUUUUUCUCUUGGCUGUGAAGACCCUGAGACCAAACCUUUGCCCUUUGAUGCAGUGCUCUUCUUCUUGGCCAGAGAGUUGGUUCUUUCAGUCAUCUGCCAAGACAUUCUCAAAAACAAUGUUAGUACAAGAACAAGCUUCACAAAAUUCUCCAAAAUUUUGAAAAAAAAAAAUUGUUGCAAGAAUCGAUUUUAAAACCACAUGAACAGGUUUCUCAAGCCAAGCAUCAAUCCAAUAAGUUCAUAGCAAUGCAAAAACAAGAGUGCAAAGCAAGGACUCAGCAAUGAAAAUAGAUCUUUUUAAAAAAAAAAAAAAAAUCGAUUUUUCUCAUGAAUUUCUUACAACAAUUUUCAAAACUCAAGAACAAGGAAUCACCAACAGCUGUUUUCUAAGACUAUCUAGCACCCUAGCAUUUAUAAAAAUAAUCCCAAGGUCUAAAACAAUCUAUCAAAAUCGAUUCCACACCUUGAAGUUCAAAAAUCACCAUUGAAGAACAUGGAAAAAGGUGAAUUUUAACUGAAUGAAAUACCUUGGGAUUAAGAUGCAACGAGCUCGAAAUGCAAUCAAGAUGAUGUUAAAAACUCAAAAACGAGUUCAGAGCACUUUGAAUCAACAAAUUUGGUGGAGAAAUGAGAGAGAUAUGAUGAAAACAAUGGAGAGAAAUGAGAGAAAGAGUUGCAAACUCGGGUUUUUGGUGAGGAAGAGAGAGUGUGGGACAGGUUAAAGACUUUGGACUGGUGGUCAAUAGAUCUAUUUUGACCAGUCAAGGCUUUGACCUGUCCUUUUCUCGUUGACCAGCCUCCUUUCUCUCCUUUGUGCGACCGGGAACCGUCGGGAUCGGGCCGCAUGACGGUCUCGGUGUAGAACCGGAAAUGUUUUUGUGCUACCUGGGAUCUUCUGUGCCUCCCCCGCAUGACCAAGUCGCAGUAAAAGUCCUUCAGCUCGGUUUUAUCUUUCCUCAUUGCUGCUGCCUGGAACCCUUGCUUUCCAGCUAGCACGCCCAACUCGGAGUAAUUUGCGAACAUGUGUGCGGGUUAGACUCCUUUGUUCCCAGGUAGCAUGACUAUCUCGCAGGGUUUGGGACUUAAAAACCUCGGGGUUCCUCUUCUGGUGCGGCCUGGCCUCCAUACUUCCCAGGUAGCACGCCCAACUCGGAGUAAUUUGCGAGUCUUCAUGCGGGUUAGCUUCUUUGUUCCCAGGUAGCAUGACUAGGUCACAGGUUUUUGGACUUAAACAAUUUGGCCUUUCUUUUCCUGCUGCGACCUGGUCUUCAUGCUUCCCAGCUAGCACGCCCAACUUGGAGUAAAAUGCGAUCAUACGUGCGGCCUAGCUUCUUUGUUCCCAGGUAGCAUGACUAGGUCGCAGGUAUUUGGACUUAAGAUGUCUCGGCCAUUCCUCUUUUGCUGCGACCUAGUCUCCUUGCUCCCAGCCAGCACGCCCACCUCGCACACCUUCACACUUAGGCGUUUGGCUCUUCUUGAUUUCGUGCAGCCUGGUCUCUAUGAUUCCCAGCUAGCACGCCCAACCCGGAGUGAUUUGCGAAUGGAUGUGCGGUUUAACUUCUCUUGUUUCCAGGCCGCAGCAACUACUCGCAGGUUUUUGCACUUAAACACCUCGGCCAUCCUUCUUUUGCUGCAACUUGGUCUUCAUUCUUCCCAGGUAGCACACCCAAUUCGGAGUAAAUUGCGAUCAUGUGUGCUACCUAACUCCUUUGUUCCCAGGCCACAGCUCCUACAUCGCAGAUCUUUGGACUAAAGAUACCUUGGACCUUUUCUUUUUGGUGCGGCCUGGUUUCUCUUUUCCCAGCCAGCACGCCUAACCCGGAGUGAUUUGCGAAUGGAUGUGCGGCCUAGCUUCCUCUCUUCUUACCCGCAGCACCAGCUAGCACAACCUCGGACUUAGACGUUUUGGACUUCUUCUUUUUGGUGCGGCCUGGUUUCUCUUUUCCCAGGUAGCACGCCCAGGCCGGAGUAAAUUGCGAGUCCUGCUGCGACCUGGGCUCUUCUUGCACCAAGCCGCACACCUAGGUAGCACUGAGGCGUUCUCCAAGUUUUUCAGGCCCUAAAUACUUCUCUCAGCCCUCUCACAUGCUCCAUUCCAUUCAUCACUGAGCUAUGUUCUCCAAAAAUCACCUAGAACCUGAGACCAACUCACAAAACCCAUCAAAAAGUUCUAAAACAUAAAAGAAAAGAGAAGAAAUCAAAAGAACUAUGUACAAAGAUAAGCUUGGGGUGUCUCCCAAGAGCACUUUGUUUAAAGUCUCUAAGUUUGACUAUGGAAACCUGUUUAGCAGGCUGGAGGUGGGUCAAGAAGGGGAACUGAUGUAGCUUCCUCCUUCCCUUGUGAAACUAAGUAAUGCUUGAUUCUUUGUCCGUUUACCACAAAUUCUUGACCAUUCUUCCCUUCUAAGACAAUAGCACCAUAUGGUCUCACUUCAAGAACUUUAAAAGGUCCAGACCAUCUAGACUUAAGUUUUCCUAGAAACAACUUAAGUCUAGAGUUGAACAGCAACACCAAAUCACCAUCCUUGAACUCCCUUUUCAGAAUCUUUUGGUCAUGCAGAACCUUGGUCUUCUCCUUAUAGAUCUUUGAGCUCUCAAAAGCCCCAAGCCUUAUCUCUUCAAGUUCAUGGAGUUGAAUGACCCUUUUCUCUUGAGCUGUCUUGAUAUCAAAGAUCAGCAACUUCACAGCCCACAAAGCCUUGUACUCUAACUCAACAGGAAGGUGGCAGCUCUUCCCAUAUAGCAGAUUGAAAGGUGAUGUCCCAAUAGGAGUUUUAAAGGCAGUCCUAUAAGCCCACAAUGCAUCAUCUAGCCUUUUGCUCCAAUCUUUUCUGCUUGAGCUCACAGUCCUCUCAAGAAUGGCCUUGAUCUGUCUAUUAGAUACUUCAACCUGGCCACUAGUUUGAGGAUGAUAAGGAGUAGCUACCUUGUGUUUCACUCCAUGCUUUCUCAGUAAACCCUCCAAAGUCUUGUUCACAAAAUGAGAUCCUCCAUCAGAGAUAACAACCCUUGGAACUCCAAAUCUUGGGAAGAUAAUGCUCUUGAACAGCUUCACUACAACCUUGGAAUCAUUGGUAGGGGAAGCAAUGGCCUCAACCCAUUUGGACACAUAGUCCACAUCAACAAGUAUAUACUGAUUCCCAUAGGAUGAAAUGAAAGGCCCCAUAAAGUCAAUCCCCCAGCAAUCAAAGAUCUCAACUUCUAGAAUUGGGUUUUAAGGCAUCUCACUCCUCUUUGAUAUGCUCCCAUGCCUCUGACAAGCAUCACAUGCUGAACCACUAACUGAGCAUCUUUGAACAUUGUGGGCCACCAAAACCCACUCUGAAGAACCUUUGCCACAGUCUUGAAUGCUCCCAUGUGACCCCCAAAAGCUGAACUAUGACACUCUUGCAACACAGGCUGCAUCUCCUCCUCAGCAAGACACCUUCUAUACAGCUGAUCUUUGUUCAGGACAUAGAGGUAGGGCUCAUCCCAAUGGUAUCUUUGAACUUCUCUGAAGAAUUUCUUCCUGUGGUAAGCAUCUAAUUCAGGUGGUUCCACUCCACAAGCAAGAUAGUUCACAAUGUCUGCAAACCAAGGCAUCCUCCUCUCUUGAAUGCUGUCCACUUCUUCAAACUCCAAAUAAGAAUGGAGCACCAUCAGUGAUUCCUCAGGAAGACUGUCAUUAAGAGGCAAUUCAGAGUCUAUUCUCAACCUAGAGAGAUGGUCUGCAGCUCCAUUCUCUAUACCCUUUUUGUCAUGUACUUCCAUAUCAAAAUCCUGAAGUAGAAGAACCCAUCUCAAUAGUCUUGGCUUAGCAUCUUUCUUGGUCAUCAGAUACCUGAGGGCUGCAUGAUCAGUAUAUACAAUUACUUUUGAUCCCACCAGGUAACUUCUGAAUUUAUCGAAGGCAAAGACUAUUGCCAACAUUUCCUUCUCAGUAGUAGCAUACUUCUCUUGUGCAGGGCCAAGUGUUCUACUAGCAUAGUAAAUGACAUGAAGCUUCUUAUCUUUCUUCUGGCCAAAUACAGCUCCAACUGCAAAAUCAGAUGCAUCAGUCAUAACCUCAAAAGGUAGGGACCAGUCUGGGGCUUGGACAAUUGGUGCACUGACUAAUGCAUCCUUGAUCAUCUUGAAGGCCUCUUCACAUUCAGCAUCAAAGAUGAAAUCCACUUCUUUACAAAACAGCCUUGUCAAGGGCCUGGCAAUUCUUGAGAAGUCUUUGAUAAAUCUUCUGUAAAACCCUGCAUGCCCAAGGAAACUCCUUAUCCCUUUAACUGAAGUGGGAGUUUGCAGAUUCACCAUCACUUCCACCUUUGCUCUGUCAACCUCAAUACCCUUCUCAGAUAUCUUGUGCCCAAGAACUAUUCCUUCCCGCACCAUGAAGUAGUAUUUCUCCCAGUUUAACACCAAGUUAUCCUGCUCAAAUCUCUCCAAGACCUGUUACAAAUUAGAGAGAAAAUCCGAGAAGGAGGAGCCAUAGACACUAAAGUCAUCCAUGCACACCUCCACCUUCUCUUCAAUAAUGUCAGAGAAUAUAUGCAUCAUGCAACGUUGAAAUGUGGCAGGGGCAUUACAGAGACCAAAAGGCAUUCGCCUGUAUGCAAAGGUGCCAUAAGGGCAUGUGAAUGUUGUUUUCUCUUGAUCUCGGGGAUCUAUGGGAAUUUGGAAGAACCCCGAGUACCCAUCGAGAAAACAAAAGAAGGGGUGUUUUGCAACGCCUCUCUAACAUCUGAUCAAUGAAAUGUAAGAAACUAUCCUUCCUNNNNNNNNNNNNNNNNNNNNNNNNNNNNNNNNNNNNNNNNNNNNNNNNNNNNNNNNNNNNNNNNNNNNNNNNNNNNNNNNNNNNNNNNNNNNNNNNNNNNNNNNNNNNNNNNNNNNNNNNNNNNNNNNNNNNNNNNNNNNNNNNNNNNNNNNNNNNNNNNNNNNNNNNNNNNNNNNNNNNNNNNNNNNNNNNNNNNNNNNNNNNNNNNNNNNNNUCGUAGUAGUUAAGUGUAUCCUAUGGCUCUCCUGAACUUUCUUAUCUCACUAAGCAAUGCACUCUCUUGAUCCUCUAAUAGGCUAUCAUUGAUGAUUACUGGAUAUGUUGAGUUUAAGCCCAAGAAGGCAUACAUGAGCCCUGUUGGUAGAGGCUUGAGCUCAACAGGGGGUGCAUCAGCCUCAUUCCAAUCCUGGUCCAAGCUGCUUUGGCUGGUGUCUGAUCCUUUGAUAGCAAAAACCUCAGAGCCACUUUGUUCCAGCUCCAAAAACCUUGUCUCAGGACCCAGCUCUCUAGCAUUGUCCAAAUACAACUUGUACCCUUCACUUGCUUCAGCUAAGAGCCCAUUGUCUCCUUGUUCUUGAGUUAGAGCAGCUUGAAGAGGAUCCUCAGUGUUCAGCUCCUCUAGCAACUCAUCAGCCAACUGAUCCAUUGUCUCCACAUAGAAACAUUGACCUUCAAUGGUGGGUUUCUUCAUCAUCUCAUUCACGUCAAACUUGAGCUUUUCAGACCCAAGUUGAAGCUCUAUUAUCCCACCUCUCACAUCAAUUUUGGCUCCUGCAGUUGCUAAGAAUGGCCUGCCCAAGAUAAGAGGAUCUACUGGUUCUUCAUCCAUCUCCAGCACAACAAAAUCAGUUGGAACCUCAAAACCACCUAUCUUGACAGGUAGAUCUUCCAACAUACCAACAGGCAAUCUAACUGAUCUAUCUGCAAGGAUAAGAGAAAUCCUUGCAGGCUUGAAGACUCUAAAGCCCAGCUUCUUUGCUAUGGAGAAUGGCAUCAAGCUGACUGAUGCUCCUAGAUCACAAAGACAUCCAGAGAAUAGAAGAGGUCCAAUGGCACAAGGGAGUGUGAAACUCCCUGGAUCAGUUAACUUUCUUGGUAUGGACUUCUUCUGAAUGAUAGCACUGCAUUCAUGACUUAGUACCACCAUGCCUUGAAGUUUUUUUGUCUUGUUCAGAAUGGCAUCCUUCAGGAACUUGCCCAUCUAUGGCAUCAUUAAGAAUGCAUCAAUAAGAGGCAUAGUGAGUGGUGUCUCAUUGAGUGCCUUCUCAAAUACAGCUUUUGCCUUGUCCACAAGCUGCUUCUUAAAUCUCCCUGGAAAUGGGAGCUUGGGUUGGUAUGGAGGUGGUGGCACAUAUACCUUUUCUGGUUCAGGUUCCUUUGCUACCUUUUUACUCUUUUGGACAGGUUUCUCAGCAACCUGAUCAUCUUUUAAGGCUGCCUCCCCCUCAGUUUGAUCAUUGUCCUCAAUGAUCACAUUGUUGUUCUCAAUACCAGGUAACUCCUUUCCACUCCUCAGUGUAAUGGCCUUAGCAUAUUCCUUGGGGUUGGGUUCUCCGGUCUGAUUCAGUUGUCGGGUGCUUCAUCGCAGUUGGAGAAGAUUGGAUCACGGUUCCAUAGCAAGUUGAAUCAUGGAAUUCCGACGCAUGAGCAGAAAGUUAAGCUCGUCGGAAGGAACCCCUGUCUCGCUGCUGUUCUGGACCAAGCCGAUGAGCUCUGAAGAAUGCGAAGUACGGUGCACUUUCAGGCCGAUUCAGUUUCCGGGGCCUUCAUGAGAAUCAGAGACAUUUGAGUCCGCUUUCCAGAACGUCCAAGAUCAUUCAAUUCGGAGCUAUGAGCAGGAAGAUACGGUCUCCGGAAUGGACACAUGUCUAGACGCCUCUCUCUGAUCGUGUAAAUGCACUGCAAAGAUGAGCCCUCCAGGAAGCCUUCCACUUCCCAAGCACCAAAGCUUCCUUCACCAAAGUUGGAGAUAUAUGAGUCCUCUGUCCUCUGCCCUCUGCUACCGGAAUCACUCAAUUCAGACAAGUAUCUUAGAAGUUACACUCUCCGGAAUGCGAAGUGGUCCAAGCUGCUCUGAAUGCUGCGAGAAAGCCUUGCGACUUGGUUAACUCGCAGGCCUGAAGACGAAUGCCUGGAAAUUGAUGCUCCAAGUUGAGAAGAGCGGGUAAGCUAUCAAUGGAUGAGGUCUGAGGCUCCCGAGAAAGAAAAUUGCUAAGUCCACAAUCGUGCGACUUAGGCAUGCUAGUUGGCCGCGCCUGGAACCAAGCCGCACGAUCACUCGCAAUCUACUCCGACUUGAGCCUGCGACCUGAGUGUAGUGGAGACCAACCCGCACGGUUUGUACAUUCCCCAGAAACCGCCUUGGUCCUGCGAGUUGAAGAAGAAGAAGAUUAAGCCGCAGCAAGACUCGCAAAUGGUGGUUGAAACUGUUGUUGAACAGGCGCUUGCUGUUGGAACUGUGGAGGACCAAACCCUGGUGGUGCCUUUUGCUGCUGUGUACUGAAACUAGGACCUUGAAAAGGUUGUUGUUGCUGACCAAAACCUUGAUUCUGAGCAAACUGAUUCUUUGGUUGAAAAGAUCCUUGAAAGUUGUUCUUGGGAACAAAGUUCUGUGGAGCUUGAGAAUUGGGAUACACCUGGUCUUGUGGGUUAGCUACAUUGGUGUUCCUGUAAGAAAGGUUUGGAUUGGCAUUACCAUACUGAUAUCUCUGGAACCUCUGAUUCCCAAUGUAGUUUAGCUCCUCCUGGGUAAGACCUUCUUCACUUAUGUUCUCAAAGAUUUGAGAAGGUUCCUCAUACUCUCCAACAAAAUGCAUUGGCUUCUGAGUGGUGGAAAGGGUGGGGUUGGUGGUGCACCUGUUGUCUUUGCUGUACAUUGGCCUGAUGCCUCUGUUGAUGAGCUUGAGCUUGUCCCUGGUGGACAUAAGCUUGUUGGUGCACCUGUUCCUGAUGAACAUUACCCUGAUUUAACCCUUGACCAGCUCCAUUACCAGCUCCAUUACCCUGAGCCUGUUGCUCCUGAACCGGUUGUUCUAUAUCCACUACGUGCUCUCUUUGUUCUUCCAUAUCAGCCUGAUCAAUCUGUCUUCCACGUCUGUCCCUUCUCCUCCUUGGUACCAAAAGAUUGAUGUUGUCGUUGAGAGGGAAAGGUGGACCACAGCUUCUUGAUCUAGACCUGGUGUUCAUACCCGGACAGGCGAUUUCAGAAACGUGUCUGCACCCGGAGAUUUUGGCUGAGGGAUUCAAUAGCCGGUACGCGUUUUGGCCGAUAAAGUCUACCCGCGGUACGCGUUUUGGCCGAGAAAAACCUUCCUGGUGCGCGAGAAUGGCCGAUAACCUCCAAAGAACCAAUUUCACCAUUUUUCAAGCCUUGAUCAUCAUUCCACCUCCUGGAUUCAUCUUUUCAGCUCCAAAUACACCUGAUAAGUACUCAAAACAUGCAAAGACUCAUUGGGACCUAAUGAAUCUUCUAAAUUCUAAAACAAACCCUAAGGACCUAAAAUGCAUGGAAUAAAACAUGAUUUGGAAUGAAUUAUGCAACCUAAAUGAUGCAAAUUAUGAACAUGGAGACGAAGAACUCGCUUUUUUCUUAGUUCAAUUGGUUUUGUGAAUUUCAUAAACUUAUUUGGUAAGCAUAUACGUCUUUAAUUUUGGAUAGUAUUUAUUUUUUCGAUUUUAUUUUAUUUUAUUAUGUAUGUCUUAAAUAGUUGUUUUAAGUAAAAAUUACUCAAACUAACCUUUAAGGUGACCUAAAUGACAAACCUAACCUAACAUAUUUUGAGUCUUACUAGAUUAACCUUACAAAGUUGGUCUAAUACCAUUUUAUCCAGAUGUUGAAUAUUAUUACGAAAAUGCCAUAUUGAUUUUUUUUUUUUUAAAAAAUUCGAUUUGUUUUUUAUUUUAUUUUUCUGAAAAAAAUAUUAAAAAAGUAGAUACAAAAAACAAAAAAACAAACCUAAUAUUAAAAAAAAUUAUCUCUCUCAUCUUCUCUCUCAUCUUCUCUCUCGCUUCUCUCUCGUUUCUCUCUAACCUAGAUCUUUUUUUUUCUGCUGCAUUUCUUGAUUCCGGCAGUUAGCGGCGGUGGACCACUCCUUUCUUGCCUCCGUCGAUCACAAGAAUCGUCCGAUGGCACCAGUGCACCUCUCACUUCCCUUUAGAUGGCAAUUUUGUCCUUAUCUUUGAGCAUUGUGCUUCCCUUGAGUCUCUAGAUCCUUCCGCCUUCUACCACUAGACCGAAGACCUUCCUCUAGUUCUCCUCCAUUACUAUGAAGUCGCAGCAAGGCUCAAUCGCUUGGAUCCCUUGACAGUGUCCUUCACCAAGGGUUACAAAUCGAGUGACGACACAGCUGUGAGACCACAACUCUUAAGCGGCAUUCUCGCCGCAUCGCACACAACCGCAGUGGAUAGACGUUGUUUCAGUGGAAUGGUGGUUUUGAGGAGGUUGUCGGCGGCGUAAUUUUUUUUGUAAAACCCGUAACCCUAAUUUUUGUUUUGUUUCAGGUAAGUUUGAUAAAUAUAUUUGAAAAAACGAUAUUGUAUUUUUUAGUUGUAAAGUUCAUAACGUGUGAUGGUAGAUUUAUUUGAAAAACGGUAUGUAGUUUGGUAGAUUAUUAGUUAUUUGAUGGUAGAUAUAUUUACAAAACGAUAUGUAGUUUGGUAUAUCUAUUAGUUAUUUGAUGGUAAAUUUAUUUAAAAAACAAUGUGGUUUGGUAUAUUUAUUAGUCAUCUGACGGUAGACUUAUUUGAAAAACAAUGUGAUUUGGUAGAUUUAUUAGUCAUUUGAUGGUAACUUAUUUGAAAAACGAUAUGUGGUUUGGUAGUUUUAUCAGUUAUUUGAUGGUAGAUUUAUCAGUUAUAUAUAUUUGAAUUUUAUAUUUGAAUGAUGGCAUUUGUUUGUUCUUCUCUGACAGGUUAUGGGAUUUGUGAUGGCGAACGAGUCUCUGAUGGGUUAUGUUCUACUAUGAAUAUUAGAUUUGCAUUUGGUAGAUUUGUUUUGAAAUGAUGGUAGAUUUAUUAUUGAAUUGAUGGUAUAUCUAUAUUUGAAUUUGUACAAAUGAUAAUUAGAUUUUAGAUGAUGAUAUCUUUGUUUUCAAAUUAUAUUUGGCGCAAAAGAUUGACUCAAACAUUUCAUCUUUUUACCACUUUUCUUUACUUUCACUAUGGUUUAUAUCCUAAGUUAAUGAAAUUUUAAACAAAACACAUGAUUAAAGUCAUUUCACAUUGUGAUGUUCAAAAGUUUAUGUAAAUAUAAUUAAAUAUAACAAAAUAUUCACAAAUAAAAAUUAAAAGAUCAUAAGUUAAGAGAUAGUCAUUACAGACAAAAACGAUAAGGACAUAAGAUAAAUGUUUAAGUGAACUAGUAGGACAUAUAUGUUCAAGGUUAAUAUGUGAUAACACCGUAUUUUGACCACUUUUAUGGAUCGUUUUGAAAUACUUUUUCUAUGUUUUUAAUUGCUUUUAAGUACUUUUAUCACGUUUUUCUAGUAUUUUUAGUUCCAAGACUCUUUUCAGGUAACUUAGGGAAAAACUUAACAAAAUGGAUAGAAAACCAGAUUUCAGCUCAAAGUCAAACCGUCAGAAGUUCACCCCUGAUUGAAGGCCUUCUCACCGUCUGUUCCAGCUCAAAUUUGGAGACCUUAAAGAUGGAAGUAUCAACUUUCCAGCACACUUUACAGCUUGACAAUCCAACGGUUCAAUCAAAAGAUACGCGAAGAGCAAGAUGUCCCGUAAACCAGCCAGCAAGCAACUCCACCCGUGGCCAAUAAGCCAUUUCCCGCGGUCAGAAGCAUCCCGACCGCGGCAAACCACUCAUUCCCCGCGGUCACAGCACUCCCAACCGCAGCAAGCCAACUCCGAGCCCAAAAGCCCAUUUUUGAAGCCCACAAUGAUUCCCUCAUUUGGAGAAACCCUAAGUGACGUCCAGAGCACUAUAAAUACAUGUUUUAGGAACCCUAAUCGAAAAAAAAAGAGACCACCGAAUUUUUACUUCAUAGUUUUAUUGUUUUUGCUUUAGCUUUUAGGGAGAGAGAGAUUUGUUCUCUUGAACCCUUGUUCUUUCUUUUUUAAUUUCGGUUUCUAUUCUACUUAUUAAUACUAUGUUUUUGAUUUCGUUCAUUAUGUCUGAGUAGUUUUAUUGUUGGGAUUAAGGGAUUUUAGAUGGGGAUUUAUAUGUUCGAUGAGGAUUCCAUGAGCUUUUGAGCCGAAUCUUAGAACUUAUUCUUCUGAAUUCGUUUUUACUGCAUGAGAGUAGCGUCAUGAACUACAAUCUGAUCCAGAUGCUUUGUGACACGAAAGUGUUCAUCAGGUAUCAGAUCUAGUUUGGGAGAGCAAAACAAACAUAGGAGUGGAAACCUACCUAUGGGCGAUUUGUCAAUGCUGACGAGUCUUAAACAUAAUGCAUCUCUUCUUUUCCAGGGCCAUAGUGGAAACCUACUGGUCAGGGUUGAGAGAGAUAGUUGUCUAUGAUCACGACAGUGGCGUAUUCAUAUGUCCGUGACUCCAGUUCGAAAAGUUUAAGCUAAGAUCUUAGCAAUUUUACUCUCUAGCAAUGUUUUGAAUCGUUCGUACCCCUGAGAAAACUUCCCUGAACCCCAACGCCUUCUUUCCUAUUGAUUUACACCGUUUUUAUUUCAAGCUUUAGUUCAAUAUUGUCUUUCCUUUUUAGUAGAUUUUCAUUUAAGCAAUUAGAAUAUCCGUUUUUCUCAUUUUUAUUCAUUUUCGUUAAGUUUAGUUAUUAGGUCAUUUAAUUCCCGUAUUUUCUUUUAAGAUUUCGUUUUUACAUUUUAAACACACCACCAAACCCCCACAAAACCGUUUUGGUUCUAGACUUCCUUACUUUAUACUUAUUUCAAAGGCUUUUUGCAGGAAAAGAUCCUCUUUCCCCGUGGAUUCGAUCCCAAAGUACUACAAUCGAUCAGCUGUGCACUUGCGGCUAUUGAUUUCAUUUAGGUUAAAACUUGACAACCCUCACGACAACACCACAUCAAGUUUUUGGCGCUGUUGCCGGGGAAAGCACGCGUUUUCUUUUCUGCAACCCCGAGAAAGGUUGGUAAAUCGACUCUAAAACCCCUUUUUCUGCAAUUUUCCAUUUUUCGGUUUUUUUGUUUCCAUUUCAGAAGAUAUGGAUCCUAUAAAUCGAAAUAUACACUAUGAGGAAGGUUUAUAUAACACUCCUCAAGCCACCAGACACAGAACGUUCCAGAAGGAGCCCUGCGCAUCUCCAAUGGCCAACCCUGAACAACCCGCUCGUCGUUUGCCUCACCAAGAUGAAAACGUCCAACUCAUUCACUGAUUGAAAACACUAGAAGUGGCGGUCUUGCACCUACUCGACGUUCAAGCGAGAUCUAGAUCCACAAUCCACGAGAAAAUUGACGACUUGUCAAUGCGCUUUAACAGAAAGCUUGAAGAUCUUUCAGCUCAAGUCAAGACCAUCGAAACUCAACUAAACAAGGGUGCUGAAACCAUUAAGGAGAGGAUAGAAGCAAUCGAAGGACGAGUUGGAGAAAACGAAGUUCGCAUUCGCAAAGCCAGUGGGAACAUCCGCACCUUAGAGAUCAAACUUGAUGAAGCAGAAGAGACUAUUAACGACCAUAACAACCAAACCUAUUCCUACAUGGAAGAGAUUUAGGAUGGAGUACACAAGGUUCAAGACAAAACAGAGGAAAUAGACUCAACCGUGGACAAAGUAGUCUAUGCCCUCGAUGAAAUCGAAGAGAAGGUUGAAAAGCUUAUGCAAGGAUGUGAAACAAACGGUUCGACGCUUCUCAUCGAAGAUCUUACCUUAAAAAAGGAGGAAACGGAGCUAGAAUGUGCAGAAAUCAGUUUAGAUGGCAAAAGAGCAGACGAAACAAAGGAAACAACUCGGAGCCUUCUUCUCGCGGUCAGAACUCUCGUGACCGCGGCCAACAAGCCUCCAGCCGCGGUCGUGAGCCUCCUGACCGCGGCAAAACCCUCCCCACCCGCGGUCGUGAAACCUCUACCCGCUGCAAAUGCUCCGUCAGAUACCUUUCAGCCCUUUUCCACUCCUACAGGUCAAUGCUUAUUUGAUACAUCUGCUAGGAUGGUCAAAGCCCCUCUACAUGAGCAAACGGUGUAUGCUAUCAGCUCCAAAACAUCUCAAGAAGAAAAUGAGGUACUCCCUUGCAACAUAGUUUUAGCAUAUGAGGAUGAAUAUGAAGGGCACUACCUCGAAGAUGAAGACUAUCGUCUGUUCAUAGAAGGAGGGAAUCCAGACAAAAUGGUGGAAUUAGGAGCACCAAUCUCCAGAGAAAGGCUCAUUGAAUUCAACAAGUUUGUGAAAUCGAUCCCUCUUUACACAGGUUUCGAUGAUAUAUGGCAUCUUGGUUGUUUGCAAGUUUUCUUUAGGUACAGCAAGGAGACAAAGGAGGAUAUCAGAACCUAUUUUGGGAGGGCUAGACGUCUGACUUUUCCCAGAACAUCACCUGAUGCUGCAAUCUAUUCAAUUCACCUCAAAAAGCCGGAAGACUGCAGCCACUACACCAACAAAAUCAGCAAGGAAAAGCUCGAUGAAUUCAAUGAUGUGGUUCGAAAUUUGCCUGAAGAAAUCACGUUUGCCAGAGCUUGCAAGGACUUUAUGAUAGGCCACUACUUCUGUGAGAGCAAAGAAUCAAUCCCUGAGAUAGAAGACUUGUUCAAUCAUGCCAGAAGAGGUAAACCUGUUCGAACACUUCAUAAAAUAGAAGGUGUAGGUCAGUUUCUUAUCUCUUGUUCUAUUAGAGGAGAAAUGUUUAAAAACGUGCUAUGUGAUUCUGGAGCUUGUGUUAACAUGAUGUCCAAGGCAAUUGAUUUGAGACUUGGUAUUAAACACCUGCGCAGGACUAGAGCAAAGAUUAGUCUAGCUGAUGAUUCCAAUGCAACACCUCAAGGAAUAGCUCAUGAAAUUCCUUUGAGAAUAGGAGAUUACAUAGUGCCUGUCGACUUCUACAUUGUCGAAACGAGAGAUGCAACAUAUCCAGUGAUUCUCGGAUGGUCUUUUCUAGCAACUUUCGGAGCUAUAAUGGACUGGCCAAACCGGAGGAUUUCAUUUGCUAAUAUCGACAAAGAUGUCUUCACAGAAGCUGUUCCAUACAACAGCAAAGCAGGAAAACGUUCUGCAACAGAAGAGUUUGAAGAAGAACUUUGGAGUGACGAAGAACCUGCUAGGCAAAGCAAGGAGAUGUCGAAAAAGACUUGUCUCAGGACAAGGUCUUCUUCAUUGGAAUAAGUCACGUCCAACACCAAAAGUCGAGCUAAACGACUUAAAACAGAAGCGCUUAAUGGGAGGCAACCCAUUUAGGUAUUGUUUUCUUUAGGAUUUUUCUUUCUUUUUCUUUUGAUCUUUUUCUUUUUCUUAAUUUCAGGUGUUUCUUAUAAAACAAAAAAACCAAAAAAUCAAAAAACCCGAAAAAAACCAAAAAGAAGGAUGGUACCUGACUGCUCGGCCCAGCAGGAACCAAGGAGAAGCAGGAAGAGGCCGCGAAAUAAGCCUCCGCGGUCGCAGACGUUCUGACCGCGGGAAACUACUCAUCGACCGCGGUCGCGUGAUCCUGACCGCGGCCAAACACUUGGUUGCCGCGGUCGCGCGACCCCUGUCCGCGGCACUUGGUCGUUGACAUCAAACCCAACCCCAAACCACCCACUUCACCCCAUUCCACCUCACCAAUCACCCUCCACCUCAUUCAUCACCCUCCACCACCUUCAUCACCCCCUAAUCACCUUCCCAAACCUCUUCGAAUGAAUCCGGUUCAUCUCCACCAGCAUCCCGGAUCCAGGUAAGUUCUCUUUGUCCUUACCAAUUCGAUUAUCUAUGCAUUUUUCUCAUCCAAUCUCGACUUGUUUCACACUGAGGACAGUGUGAUUUAAGUCUGGGGGAGGAUUUCAUCCUUUUCUAACCACUUUUCUUUCAUGAGUCUUGCAUUAUCUACACUUUUUGCAUUUUCCUUAAAGUUUUUCAAAAUCGGUUUUCAAAACAAAAUACGUUUUAAAGGGAAUGGUGAACAUAAAUCAAUGAUAGUUGACUGUGUGCUUUAGACUAUUCCUAGUGACAUGCUCAUUCAUGAUUUAGGACUAGACUAGGCGGUAGCUAAGCACAUUUGAAACGAAGUACCCCAGAGGAAUUUGAAUGAUUUCGAUUUAGAUGAAGGGAUACACUAGCUCUGUUUUAUUUGGACUUAAUUUGGACUCAAUUUUCUCAUUGAAGCUUUAGACCAGGGAAACGAAUCAUACAUUCAGGACUCCUUUAUCCUUUUACCACUCUCAGUUGAUCCUGAAUGGCUAGUUCAUCUUUAGCUAGUUCCCCACCUUAACCAAUCCUCUUUCAAACCACAUGCACUCUUGUUUUCUAUUGUCUUACAUGCAGAUAAGUGCAAAAACGUUGGAGAGAAAGAGGAACGACGCAGUUUUCAGUCACCAAGGAUAGAGACCUGCGAUUUGCCGGAAAAGUUUCCGGAAGGAUCCAACACAAGAGGAAGCUCAGUUUGCCUUAGAAAAAUCUCAAAUUUUGGUACAAUCUCGUCCUCUAGUCUCUCUCUCUUUAAAAGGCAUUUCCUAUUCUAAAAAAAAAAAAAAAAAAAAUCCAAAAAUAAGAAAAGAAAGGAAAUAAAAGCCUUAGAGAGUCUAGAGAGCUCGAAUUUUAAGUCCCAAGGCAACUGGAGUUUGAUUUUAUGGAGUUUUGGAGAUCGUUUUCUGAUUCCUGGAAAGAAUCUAAGUCUGGGGGAACAGCUGUUUACAACAAAGGAGGAAGGAUUAUGCAACAACAUUUGGCAAGAAGAAGUGACUGAAAAACUGUGGUCAUCAACAGGUCCUUAUCUCUCUUGCGGUUUUGCAUAUUAUCUUGCAUCCUCCAGAUCUUCAGGUAACCCGAAACACUUUAACUCCACCACUUAAACAGUCCUUUAAUGCCAAACGCCGUCUACCCUGGAUAAUGUCUUUAAUGAGAAAUCACUAUUGAACUUAAUGAAUGUAGAGAGCUAGUUGACUGGAAUCAAGAUUUAGAUUUUUUAAGUUUUGCAUGACGGAAAAAGUGGACUAGUAUCUUUUGUGUCUUGGUGAGAAUUUUCUAGACUAAGUUGUGGAUUGAUGCACUAUCUUUGGUUCUAGUUUAGGAGUUAAUGUCUCUGAGAAUUGUGAAUUUCCUAUUUUUGUUUUCACCUAACCAGUUUAGACUUUUGCUUUGCUUGAGGACAAACAAAGGUUUAAGUCUGGGGGAGUUGAUAACACCGUAUUUUGACCACUUUUAUGGAUCGUUUUGAAAUACUUUUUCUAUGUUUUUAAUUGCUUUUAAGUACUUUUAUCACGUUUUUCUAGUAUUUUUAGUUCCAAGACUCUUUUCAGGUAACUUAGGGAAAAACUUAACAAAAUGGAAAGAAAACCAGAUUUCAGCUCAGAGUCAAACCGUCAGAAGUUCACCCCUAAUUGAAGGCCUUCUCACCGUCUGAUCCAGCUCAAAUUUGGAGACCUUAAAGAUGGAAGUAUCAGCUUUCCAGCACACUUUACAGCUUAGCAAUCUAACCGUUCAAUCAAAAGAUACGCGAAGAGCAAAAUGUCCUGUAAACCAGCCGGCAAGCAACUCCACCUGCGGCCAACAGGCCAUUUCCCGCGGUCAGAAGCAUCCCGACUGCGGCAAACCACUCAUUCCCCGCGGUCACAGCACUCCCGACCGCGGCAAGCCAACUCCGAGCCCAAAAGCCCAUUUCUGAAGCCCACAAUGAUUUCCUCAUUUGGAGAAACCCUAAGUGACGUCCAGAGCACUAUAAAUACAUGUUUUAGGAACCCUACUCGAAAAAAUAGAGACUACCGAAUUUUUACUUCAUACUUUUAUUGUUUUUGCUUUAGCUUUUGGGAGAGAGAGAUUUGUUCUCUUACCCUUGUUCUUUCUUUUUCAAUUUCGGUUUCUAUUCUACUUAUUAAUACUAUGUUUUUGAUUUCGUUCAUUAUGUAUGAGUAGUUCAAUUGUUAGGAUUAAGGGAUUUUCGAUGGGGAUUUAUAUGUUCGAUGAGGAUUCCAUGAGCUUUUGAGCCGAAUCUUAGAACUUUUUCUUCUGAAUUCGUUUUUACUGCAUGAGAGUAGCGUCAUGAACUACAAUCUGAUCCAGAUGCUUGGUGACACAAAAGUGUUCAUCAGGUAUCAGAUCUAGUUUGGGAGAGCAAAACAAACAUAGGAGUGGAAACCUACCUAUGGGCGAUUUGUCAAUGCUGACGAGUCUUAAACAUAAUGCAUCUCUUCUUUUCCAGGGCCAGAGUGGAAACCUACUGGUCAGGGUUGAGAUAGUUGUCUAUGAUCACGACAGUGGCGUAUUCAUACGUCCGUGACUCCAGUUCGAAAAGUUUAAGCUAAGAUCUUAUCAAUUUUACUCUCUAGCAAUGUUUUGAAUCGUUCGUACCCCUGAGAAAACUUCCCUGAACCCCAACGCCUUCUUUCCUAUUGAUUUACACCGUUUUUAUUUCAAGCUUUAGUUCAAUAUUGUCUUUCCUUUUUAGUAGAUUUUCAUUUAAGCAUUUAGAAUAUCCGUUUUUCUCAUUUUUAUUCAUUUUCGUUAAGUUUAGUUAUUAAUUCAUUUAAUUCCCAUAUUUUCUUUUAAGAUUUCAUUUUUACAUUUUAAACACACCACCAAACCCCCACAAAACCGUUUUGGUUCUAGAUUUCCUUACUUUAUACUUAUUUCAAAGGCUUUUUGCAGGAAAAUAUCCUCCUUCCCUGUGGAUUCGAUCCCUAAGUACUACAAUCGAUCAGCUGUGCACUUGCGGCUAUUGAUUUCAUUUAGGGUAAAACUUGACAACCCUCAAGACAACACCACAUCAAGUUGUGAGAUAACACCGGAUUCUGACCAUUUUUAUGGAUCACUUUUAUAUCUUUUACAGGUGUUUUUACUCCAUUUUCAAAGGUUUUCAAAGGAUUUCUAUGUUUCCGGAUUUUAAAAGACUUUUCAGGUAAUUUGGGAUAAAGAGGCACAAAAUGGAACAAAAAGACUCUUUUGAAUAAAUGCAGAUCGUCAGAACUCUCAUGGAGAGACGAAGACCUUUUCACCGUCUGAUCACCCUCAAAAUUGGACAACUUAUAGGAGAAUCAACCAGCUUUCAAAUGUACUUGGUUUGGAGACAUUCCAACGGUUGGAUCUCAAGAUAUUCUAUUAGCCCCGGAGCCACUUGAAGUCGGCCAGCAAGUCACGCGACCGCGGUGAUCAACCUAUAUCCCGCGGUCAGAAGCUUCCCGACCGCGGCCAACCAGCCAAUCCCCGCGGUCACAACACUCCCGACCGCGGCAAUCAAUCUCCGAAUUAAAGCCCAUGUAUCUGAAGCCCAAAGUCAUUCUCAGCCUCAAUUCCGGAACCCUAGAGACCAUGGAGUAUUGGAGACUAUAAAUACAUGUCAUUUAGGUCGUUUUUAGGGAGAGCCAUUCAUACUUUACAGAAACCCUUUUUCUUUAGCCGUUUAUAUGAGAUUUUUGUAGAAGAUUGUUCAAGUCCGAGUUCUUCAAUAGAGAAGCUUUCUUUAUCUCUUUUCUUUACUGUUUUUCAUUACUUUUAUUAAAACCAAUGAUGAUGUCGACCUCAGCCAUGUCUGAGUAGAUCCCGAGUUGGGCUUAGGGUUCCCGGAAGGGGCUCUCAUAAUCGAUUAAGACAUCUAGGUUUAUAGAUCUGGGAUUUCGACCUGUUCUCUUUUUAUUCUUGUUCUUAUUGCAUGUAUGCUUGAUUGAUCACCUAGUAUCUGAUCUAGAUAGUUAGUGUUGCAAAAGUUUUCAUUAAGUAUCAGCCCUAAAAUGAAACAGGCGAUUUUUCCGUAGGACUGGAAACCUACCUGCGGCGAGAUCGUGAGUAUUGACGAGUCUUGUGCAGCUCUUGCGUUCUCUCCCUUCUAGGGCCAGAGUGGAAACCUACUGGUCAGGGUUGCGAGAAACAGUUGGUUAUGAUCACGACAGUGACGUAGUCAUACUGCCGUACUCUAGCUCUAGAACCCAUAUAUCGAUAUCCGUCAAUCCCAAUCUAUUUACCCUAGUGUUAAAACCGAUUAUGAUCCCUUAGAGUCCCUAAAAGCUCAGCGUUUUUAGCCAUAGUUUACAAUUCCAUCGAUUUUUAUUUGCUUAUUUAGGCCUGCAUUUCAAUUUCCUUAGUUUGUUAUUUACUUACUUUACUAGUAUUUCAUUCGAUAUUUUACUUGCCUUAUUAGUCUUUCAUUCGAUAUUUUACUUGUUCUAUUUGCCUUUCAUUCGAUUUUUUUACUUGCUUUUUAGGAUAGAUUUAUUUGCUUUCUUUUGUUUUAGUUUAAUACAUCAAACCAACCAACCUUUAAAAACCAAUCUAGUCUAGACAUAAAGUUAAAAACCGUAGAAGAAUACCAGGCACACAAAUCUCUGUGGAUUUGAUCCCUAAAUACUAUAACUGAUUAGCUGUGCACUUGCGGCUUUCAUUUGUUUUGUUAAGGGUAAAACUUGUUCCCUCACGCAGUUGACACGACAUCAAGUUUUUGGCGCCGUUGCCGGGGAUUUGUUUCGCUGCCUUUUGCUAUUUUUCUUGUUUUAACUUCUGUUAUAGACACUUGAUCUCUAGUUCUUUCUUAAAGUUUUGCUGAAUUAUCUUUCCCUUCUUUUGUUUUUCUCUGAAUUGCAUGAAUACCAGGCGCAUACCUGUAGAAAACAUUCCAAUUCUAGACGAGAUAGACAGACACGAAAGACAACUUCGAAGACUUAGACGAACACAAAGAAUGGCCAACGACAACCAGCCUGGAGAUCCUAUUAAUCGAACUUUAAAUAUGGACCAAGACGGGUCCGAACAUGGGGAAAAUGAAGAGAAUGAUCACAGUGGAGGUGAUCAUGCUCGACAAGAUGGAGAGGAAGAUGAGUUUCCUCCAAGAAACCACCAGAACCGAGAGAGAGAAGGACGUGAAGACCUUGAUCCACCCAUCAAUGCAGCCGAUGGUGACCACCCAGCAAUGCAGCCAAAUGAACGCAUUCACCGCCCCAUUCCGCCAGCAAAUCAACACCGAAGACAAGCCAGGAACCAUCGCAUAGCUGAUUUUGAUGGACCUACUCAAAAUUUUCAGAAUCGAUCUGCAAUUCAAGUACCAUUUCCAAACCGGAAUGAGUUUGAAGUCAAGCCUCAAAUCAUCUCAUUGGUGAAGCAAAACCAGUUCCAUGGAGUUCCUUCUGAACACCCAAUGGACCAUAUCGAGCUCUUUGAAGAAAUUUGCAGCAUGAUGAGAACAAAUCAAAUUCCACCAGACUAUUUAAAGUGUAAGUUGUUCCUUUUUUCAUUAGCAGAUAAAGCUCACCGUUGGUUGAAAUCUUUGCCUGCAGGAUCGAUUACCAAUUGGGAAGAAUGCAGAAAUGCUUUCCUAAACCACUUCUACACUAAGUCAAGGUCGAAUCAGUUGAGAACAAAGAUCUCAAACUUUCAACAAGGGCCAACUGAAUCUUUCUAUGAAGCCUGGGAGCGUUUUAAGGAGUAUGAACGUGAUUGCCCUCACCAUGGAUUUCAUGGAUCAAGCCUGCUGAGCACAUUUUACCGAGGUUUGCAACCAAAAUAUAAACUUUCACUUGAUACAGCUAGCAAUGGAGAUUUUGGACAAAAGAUGAUAACCCAAGGAAGAGCUCUCAUCGAAAAUUUGGCUCAAGCCAAUAGCAAUGACUGUCCUGAAUAUGAUCGAUCAAUGAAGCAAGCCGGAACAGACAACAAGGAGAUAACCGAGUUGAAGAACAUGGUGAGCCAGCUUCUGAAGAGUAACAAUCGCCCAAUCCAUGCUUGUGAGACCAACAAUGGCGCAGAAGAUGAAGGACCUAGUGAUAUCGAUCACAUUAAUCAAGCCUUUCAAGAGGAAGAUGUGAACUAUGUAGGAGCACUGGUGCCAUAUCAAAAUCGCUCCAAUAAUAGCUUCAACAACAACUUCCGGAAUGCAAAUUACAACAAUCUCUCUUACCGCAAUCCAAAUGUGGAGAAUCCUCAAGACCAGUACUACCCACCUCAGCAAAAAUCCUUUCAAAACAAGUUUCAAGGUGGAAACGUUGGAGGAAUAGUACCAUAUCAACCACGACAGCCAUUUAACUACCAAGGUACGGGUUUUAACAAUCAAUUUGUACGACAGCAGGGAGUCACGACGAACCAGCUAGCUUCACAAAUCGGUAGACUUGAACAGUCAAUCCAACAGCUCGUUAUGACGAACGAAAAAGCAUCUAAAGACGUGAACGUGAAAGUGUACUGCAUGUACAAUGAUCUGAAUGGUAAGUUUGAAUCUUUAUCUUCGCACGUAAAAAAGUUAGAUGUGCAAGUCGCCCAAACAGCCGACUCUAUGAAGAGGCAAAGUGGAGUACUUCCAGGAAGAGUUGAAGAUAACCCUAAGAAGUUUUGCAACGCCAUAACCACAUUGCCCGAAGAAGAGGCCGGAACCAAUGGAAAGAAAGAAGAAACCCCAAUCUUUGUACCACUGUACAAGGAUAUCAAUCCCAAGAAGCCACCGUUUAAGGUACCUGAACGAUCACCGUUUUAAAGGCUUACCAAAGCCGAUGAUCCAGGACGUUUUGUUUUCCAGUGUUUCAUUUCAGGAAUCAAGUUUACAGACUGCUUGUGUGAUUCCGGAGCCAAUGUCAACAUCAUGUCUAAGACGUUUGCCGAAAAAUUGGGCACUAAAACCUUAAAGACAUCGACGGUUAAGGUUAUUUUUGGAGAUUCAUCUCAAAAAGAUACCAAAGGGGCAAUUCAUGAUCUACAAGUUCUAGUGGGAGACAAAAUCGUUCCAGCAGAUUUCCAAGUCCUGGAAAUGGAUAAAGACAAGGAGAGGCCACUCAUUUUCGGGAGACCAUUCCUAGCUACAGUAGGAGCAGUAAUCGAUCACGCAAAACGACAUGUUGUUUUCCUCAAUGUGGAUCGAAAAAAGUACUAUCCGACUAUCUUAGACGAUUUUCCAAGCAAAGGAAACAUACCAAAAGAGAAAGAGAAGGAGAAGCCGAAAGCUUUUGCAAAGAUCAAGAUCAUCAUUCCACCAGAUGCAACAGAAACUAGUGAGGACUAAAUCCAGGAGCUGAUCGAAAACACAAAAAGGGUUUUAAACAAUAUUAAAGUUCGAAAGAAGAGUAAAGGAAAGAAGACGGCUCCUCAAGGAGAAGAAGUAAAACCUCCAGCGACCGGAAGUGAUAAAGGCACAUCAAGUGGAGUGCCAUUCAAAUCAGCCUGAUUCCUCAUGCUUACGUCGAGCUAAACGACUUAAAACAAAAGCGCUUAAUGGGAGGCAACCCAUUUAGGUACUCUUUCUUUUAGUUUUCUUUUCCUUUUUUUUUACAAUUUAUACUUUCUUUUUCUUUUUAAGUUUUAGGUAUUUUAUAAAACAAAAACACAAAAAAAAUCAGAAAAUUAAGAAAACCAAGAAGAAAAAGGUAGGUUUUUAGCUGCUCGGCCCGGCAAAGACGAGAAGGUUGGACAAAGGCCGCAUGAGGAAGAGCCGCGGUCGCGACUGACUGACCUGCGGCCAAGGGAGCAUCGACCGCGGCACCGUGAAUGUGACCGCGGCCGAGCACUCGACCACCGCGGUCGCGCGUCUCCUGACCGCGGCCGUUGGUCGUUGAGGUGAUUCCGCGGAUUUCUGCCGCUUUUCGGUGUUGCCUGGUGUUUGCCUGGUGAUUCCUGGUGUUGCCUGGUGUAUUCUCGGUGUUGCCUGGUGUUUGCCUGGUAAUUCCCGGUGUUGCCUGGUGUUUUCCUGGUGUUGCCUGGUGUUUACCUGGUGUUUACCUGGUGUUACCUGGUGAUUCCCGGUGAUUCCCGGUGAUUCCCGAAAUGUUCCCGGUAAAAUCCGAAAAGCUCCUCCGUAAGUUUUAAACUUUCCUAAUGUGCAAACAAGAAAGGUAAGUUCCCGUAAACUUAAAAAUUUCUAGAAAUUUUCCGUUUUUGCUACAAAAACGCUUUUUAAAGAAAAGAAACAAACUUUUUGGAUCAAAACUCCUUCUUCUCUUCUCUUCCAAAAGAUUUGGAGAUUUAGGAGAUAGAAUACAUUUUUCAAUUCUUAAGCUUUUUAAAAGAUUUUUGGCUCAAACCUCACUCUUUUUCAAAGCUGAUUCCAAUUCUGCAAUCAAAUCUCUCUUUCCAGCAAGGUAUGAACCUCAAACUCGCCAUUUUUAAUUGAUUUCAUAACUUAGGGUUUUUUUAAAAAUCCCAAAUCUCUGUUUAUUGAUGGUAGAAAUAGAUUAAGAAUGAUAGAUUAUCCAUUUAGGUUAUCUAAAAAUUGAUUUUAGCACCUAGCUUAAGAGGAAUUGAGAUUUUUGAAAUUUGGAUUCUACAUGCUUCAUAAAAAUCGAAUUUGGAACAGCAAAAUUGAUGAGUUUGAUUAAGUCUUGUGUGAUUAAUGAUUAGUAUUGUGUGAGCCAAAACUCAAACAACCAGAAAUUUGUUUAAGGAAAACUAAGGGAUCGGAAACUUCUAGGGUUUAUCGCCAAAAACAGUAAGAUCGAAAGAAAGUUUUUCUUGCUGUAAAAGUGUUUAGCUCUUAUUGCUUAGGGUUGCAAAAGUUACAGAAUGAAUUGUAUACAUCGUCUAUUUAUACUAACUCUCUGAACCGCCUAGCCGAGAAUCUCGGGAGAGAUUUUCGGAAUAUUUCCUUAUCGCCUCGUGCGGCUCACCGCCUUUGUAUUUCGCCUAGGAUUUUUAUGGGCUUCGUCUCCCAAGGCCACGGUUUGGCCCAUCAUUCUCCUUUGCCACGGCUCGGCCAUCUAAUUUCUUCACGGCUCGGCCCACUUGCCAUUUCGGUCGAGACAUGAUCUGGUCCACCUCACCGAGGCGCGGCUCGGCCCAAGCAUGUUGGAAUGGGGCUCGGCCCAUUUCUUACGAUACGGCUCUCCCUACUGGUCUAUCGUCACGGCUCUCCCACUUGGUGAUCGCGGCUCUCCCGCUUGUCUUGGUGAGAACGGCUCUCCCACUUGUCUUGGUGAGAACGGCUCUCCCACUUGUCUUGGUGAGAACGGCUCUCCCAUUUGGUGACCACGGCUCUCCCACUUAUCUUUCUUCCAUACUUAGUCAUUUUGAGAUGGUUUUAUCUGCGUGGGGUGAAAACCGACCCCAACAGUUAGCCCCACUGCUCGUCAGUUUCGGAGGCGAGAGUAACGAGGUCCAUUACUCCUGACCGUAGGAUAAACCAUCGAGUCAAGCUGUUAUGACAUAGGCCCAGAUGAGGUGUUUUGGGAAUGAAGACGCCGAGGUGUUUCCAAGGAGUGCCGAGGGUGCCGAGGUGUUUCGAAAGGGUACCGAAGAUGCCGAGGCAAGUUAAGGACGAGGCGACCUCGUUUGGUAAUAAUGGGCCGAUGCGAUUUCGUUUAGUAAUGAUGAGCCGUGACGAGGCGAUUUGAGAAGGUUAUACCGAGCCGAAUAAAUGGCGAGGCGUUUCGAGAGAAAGUUUGUGCCGAGCCGUUUCGUUAAUGACAAGGCGUUUCGAGAGAAAAUUCGUGCCGAGCCGUUUCGUUAACGACGAGGCGUUUUGAGAGAAAGUAAAUGCUGAGCCGUUUCGUUAACGACGAGGCAUUUCGAGAGAAAAUUCGUGCCGAGCCGUUUCGUUAACGACUAGGCGUUUCGAGAGAGAGUAAAUGCCGAGCCGUUUCGUUAACGACGAGGCGUUUCAAGAGAGAGUAAAUGCCGAGCCGUUUCGUUAACGACGAGGCGUUUCGAGAGAGAGUAAAUGCCGAGCCGUUUCGUUAACGACGAGGCGUUUCAAGAGAGAGUAAAUGCCGAGCUGUUUCGUUAACGACGAGGCGUUUACUUUGGUAAGAUAUCGGCUGAAAAAUUGGGCAUCACAACUGUUGGUCUUCCGAGAGAAAAUUCAUGAUCUGUUGGCGCGUGUGACCGACGCAGUUCGGUCUAGCCGUUCCACUGCGGAUCCCACGCGCUGUUUGGACGGUUUCCCGAGGUUUACGCGGAAUUCACGCGCUUCGGUUUUCCUAUAAAUGGGUGAGCUCCUUCAUUCUUCCUCAUUAUCUUCAGACUCACUUUUUUUACUAAAGGUAGCUCUCCCUUCUCUCUUCUUUCUCUCUCUAGUUUAUUUAUUUUCCCGCUAGGGUUUCCGAGGUCUCCGCCGUUCCAGAUCUUUUUCCGGCAGAGGCUCGCCGAGUCGUGCUGUAAUUCUUGUACAAGUCGUAAGUUAUGUCGAGCCACUCCGACGAUUCGUUGGAUUCACUCUUUCACUACGAGCCGAGCCGUGUAGAUGCCGAGGCGAGAGGUACAACAGAAUCCUCCGAGGCAUCCGUUUCGCCGAGCCCUUCCAAUCGUUCAUCUGACGAGGCGUCAAAUCAUGCAAAACCGUCAGAUGUCGACUCUACAGAUGAUGAGCCAUCGGUUUCGACGAGCCGUCCCCAGGAUCCCAUUCCUGAUGAAGGUAUCAACUGCGCCGCAGUCUAACCCGAGGAGGAGGCAUUUCCCUUUGACCUAUUCGAGGCGAAGCGUGAGUUGGAACGUCUCAUAGCGUCUCGAGGCGCUUCCACAUCUGGGCGAGGGCCACGAGUUAAAAGACAAAAGCCUGACCCGCCUGGCUCUACGCUUUGCUCCCUUGAGUCGCUCUAGGCGUUGAGGCAUCGCUUCAGGAUAUCCGAGGCGGUGGAGUUCAUCGUUCCAGAGAAGAGCGACCGAGCCGACAAGCCUCCAGAGAAUCACUUCACUCUGUACGAGGCGUUCUUCGAGCUUUGCUUUCUCUGGUUCCCAAUCCCCGGAGUGAUCCUUGAAUAUCUCUGGAAACACGGGAUCUCGAUUGGGCAAAUCAUGCCGAGGGGAUUACGGCGUAUGAUUGGCAUCUUAGUUCGUAGCUCCGAAUGCGGACUCGAUAUCGAGCUGAAUCACCUGCUGGACUUGCUGGAAAUCAGGAAAGCCCCGAAGGGAAAUAGAUUCUAUAUUUCCAACAAGGCGAAACGACGGAUCAUAGGCGGUUUUCCCAGCAAGGAUCAGUUUUGGACUGAACGCUUUUUCUACGUCUUGGUGAACGAGGCGUCGGUCGGCGAGGAUUACGUUCAAAGAACCAAGACCGCUUGGGGAUCACUUGGUAGCCGACCCGAAGCUCUGCCUCGGCUCGGAACUGCUUUUGGUAUCCUCUUCCUUUUCUGAAUUUUUUUCUUUUUUGCUUUGUUUUGCAGUUCGGUGCUUUCUUCCCCCGAUUCCCGACGACCUUUUUACUGUUCAAGACUCUCUUUCGGCGCGGAAGGUUAAUUGGAGAAAGAACUUCACCCUCGAAAGAGUAGAAAGAGCGCGAGCCAUCCUUGCCGGAGUCCCCGUCAGCUCUUCGUCCUCAAGUUCUUCAAGACAUACCCGGGAGAAGAUAGUAAUAAUCGCUCUCAGAGAAAGGAAGAGGCGCGAGGAAGAGGAGGCCGCUAGAUGAGCUGCCGAGGCGGCUCGCGCGCAUACCGAGGCAGUUCCAGCGCAAGCCGAGGCGGUUUCAGCGCAAGCCGAGACCAUCCCUCAACCCGACCCGCCGAGCCAGGAAGGGGAUGUAAUGGUCCAAGCCGCAGAAGGAGACACUGCCGAGGCGGCUGAUAAAGAUGCAGCGCCCGAGGUGGAACCGGGCGAAAUUAUCCCCGAGGUGUCCGGGGACGGCUCGGCGGCGCGGAGUAAGACUCCUUCGCACACCGCCAUCCUGGCCCUCCCGAAGUCGACGAGGCCACCGACUUCGGUUGUUCAGAAGCAUGACUCUAGCCGAAAACGUUCGGCUACUGACAAGGGGAAGGGCGUCGCCGUUCAGAAGGACGAGCCGUCCAAGAAGAGGCGGAAACCGACGCCCGGGGACCCGCCGCGCAUAAGUUGGUCGUUGACGACCCCAACGCCUCUGCCGUCAUGUUCUCGCGUGUAAAUAACGCGAACACGAGUCUUCCUCCUCUGGAGAAGCUGAGGAGGCCGAGGUCAUACGGCACGAUGGAACAGCACGGUACCAAGGUACGUUCUAUUUUCUUUCCUUUAUUUUUGCAAAUUUUACGAGGUGUUUAACGCACGUCUGUUCUCUGCAGUUUGUCGCGGCCAUUAACGACCUGAUGGCCGAGUAUGAGGCGGACCUGUCUAAGGUCGAAUGUCGUUUGGACGAGGCCCGAAAUGAAACCGUGGCGUCAAAGGUGAAGCUGGAAGAGGCGCAAAACGAAGCCGCGGCCGCGAAGGGGAAACUCACCGAGGCGAUGACCCGAGUGUCGAGGUUGGAAGAGGAGAAGAUAGUUCUCCGCGCUGACGUCGACAAAGUUUCCGCCUUGGUGAUUCGCCUGGAGGAAGCAAGGAGAGCUAAAAGCGCCGAGGUGGCGAUGCAAGAGGCGUAUCGAAGCCAAGGACGCUCUGUUUGAUGCCAAGGUCAAGCGGGCAAAAAAGGAGGCGAGGCGAGAGCUUACGGCUAAGUUUCAGGAACGCCUCGCCAAGGUAGAGGAAGAUUUGGUCAAGCUCGAGAAGGCCAAAAAUGAUGAGAACGAUCUGGGGCAGAUCAAGGGCAAUCUUGCGAUGAUUGCCGACCUGAAGAAGCCGGACACCCCGACGCUUGAUGACGAGGAGGCGAAGCUGAAAAGUUGGGAGAGUGAGUAUGCCAACGACGAGGCGUACGAGCGUAUUGCUUCCGAGAUUCAAGGCGAGCUGUUUUACUCUCCCGUAUCGCUGGACUCGGUAGACACCAGCAUUGGCAACGAGCCGCUUGAAGAGACAGCGGCCAACCUGGGUGUCGUUGAUCCGACCAGAUCGAACGCGGGGACACCAGCCCUCUCGAACCUCCUUGCCGAGCGCGAGACGCAAUCCGUGGCUUGAUACUCUCUGCUUUCCCUCACCCUUUAUUGCACAUGUUCUUCUUUUUGUUUUUGUACUUAAGUUUUUUCAUGAUUCACUUUUCGAACUCGUUAUGUAAUUGGUGCCUGGAUGGCUUUAUCCACUUGACUUUUAUUUUUGCUUUAUGGAUAUAUUUUAUUUUCCUUAGCCAUUUUCGGAUUUACUUGUCUAACAAUCCAUGAAAAUGUUUACGAAAACUGUUGGCUUAGAAAAAUUGUCAAGGAUGAAAACUGUGUGUCGAGAAUGAUUUGAUUGCUUCCUUAGCCGGGCUUUUCGAAAUUGAUAGAAAUACGGGCUAAGGGGUGAAUUGUGUUAAGGAUCUCGUUUGGAUUCUUAAUCCCGAGCUGGGAGUUUAGGUGAUAAUGUCGAGGCAAAUUUCCACUGGCAAUGCCGAGCCGUAUUUAACGACGAGGCGUUUUCGCUGUGUAAGGUGCCGAGCCGUGUAAACGGCGAGGCGUUUUCUCUAAGCGUGGUACCGAGCCGUGUACACGACGAGGCAUUUUUUCUGUGCAUGGUGCCGAGCCAUAAGAACGACGAGGCGUUUUCUCUUUGCGUGGUGCCGAACCGUAAGAACGACGAGGCGUUUCGUUUUUUGUUCAGCCAAGAAUGAUUUGGUAGUCUCAUUGAAUCUUACUAUGGACCGGCGUUUCCGAGAGGAUGAAUAUGUUUGUCCGGGUUUUAAGAGUUUACUUCGGUUUUAGAGAAAGCGAUGUAGUCUCGACUUACAUUCUCGUGUGCGAUAGUAAACCGUGGCGACCUGAUACGUUUUUGGUCUGAUAUUUGUAUAGCGCUUAAUUUUUAUCCGUAGAGGAUGUAACUUGCACCCUCGUCCUAGGAAAGGUGGUAAAGUUCGUUUAGAGAACUUUGUAUUUGUUGCCCCGUUAUGGCCAGCAACGAGACGAGGCGUUCGGAGGCUUAGUUUGCCGAUCUGAAACUGAGGACCGAUUAAGGUCUGAGGUAAUCAAGUCAUGAUAUCGUGCCGAAGUGGUAUGAUUACUCUCCGAAGUGAUGAGUGAUAAAAUUUUAAAAAUCCGAGCUUGUUAAAAUAAGUUGCUGAUUUAGAAAAAAUGAGAAACUAGCCGAAGCGAUAAUGAACGAACUAGAAAUCCAAGGUAAACGUGCAAUAAGUAGAUGAUUAAAAACGAACUGAGAAUGUGCCGAAGUGGCGAUGUUCCUAAGUGAGCAAGUUAAAAUUGUAGAGUUAAAGAAGGUAUGUGUAUAAGUACCCACUCCCCCCCCCUUUUUAGGAAGGGGGACAGCUGAACCCGUCCGAGGACGGGCUGCCUACGUACCCUUUGAAGGGAUCAAGCCGUCCCGUAGUUCAUGCUUGCCAUGCUGUACCUUUAAUGAUAAUACUUUUUUAGAUGCAUUGCGUUCCAUGAUCUUGGAAUCGCUUCGUCAGCUAGUGUCGCGAGUUCGUAGACUCCUGGACGAACCACUUUUGUGACCUUGUAAGGACCUUCCCAAUUUGCUCCGAGCUUUCCUGCGUUCUUCUCGGCAGUGUUUUGGAAGACCUUUCGGAGGACGAGCUCCCCUGCUUUGAAUCUUCGACUACGAACGUUUUUGUUGUAGUAUCGCGCCGUUGCUUGUUGAUAGUUCUGGAUCCGAAUUAAGGCUUGGUCGCGCUUUUCGUUGAUUAGGUCGAGCUCAUCUAGCAUCAUUAAGUGGUUCAAGCCCUCCUGUCCUGGUAGAAGUCUUCGUCGAAUACCUGGGAAAUCCACCUCGGGGGGAAUUACGCACUCCGAUCCGUAGACCAAAGCGAAUGGAGUUUCCCCGGUGGCUCGGCGCGGAGUUGUCCGAUGAGACCAAAGGACUCCUUCGAGUUCGUCUGCCCACCGUCCCUUCUUGGCGUCGAGCCUCUUUUUCAGACAGUCGAGGAUCAUCUUGUUGGCUGCUUCGGCUUGUCCAAUCCCUUGAGGGUAUCUUGGCGUAGAUUUGCUGAGGCGGAUUUUCCACUUCUCGCAGAAGGCUUCGAAGCGUGUUGAGAUGAACUGGGAUCCGUUGUCGGUGACUAUCUCGUAGGGGACCCCGUGUCGGCAGAUGAUAUUUUUCCAGACAAAGUGUUCGACUUGAACAUCCUUUAUGCUUGCGUAGGAAUCGGCUUCGACCCACUUGGAGAAGUAAUCCGUGAGGACGAGCAGAAAACGAUUCUGCUUUGAGCAAUGUAGAGGUCCGACGAUGUCCAUCCACCAUCUCAUGAACGGAUAGGGUGAUGAAAUUGACGCAACUCGGUAGGUUGAUGAAUUGUUGGAGCGUGCCGCUGACACUUCUCGCACUUCGCCUUAAAUUUCUCGUAGUCCUUGACCAUCGUGGGGCAGAAGUAGCCGUGCCGUUUUAUCUUGAUAGCGAGCGACCUUCUGCUGGAAUGGUUCCCGCACGCGCCGCUGUGCACCUUGUGCAUGAUCUUUCUUGCCUCCGGUCCUUCGACGCAUGUCAUGAAAGGCCCUGAAAAUCUCCAUUUAAACACCUCGCCACGACGAGGACAUACCGUGCGACCUGAGCUUUUAGUUUGCGGGCUUCCCAUUUGUCGGUUGGCACCUCUCCAUCGGCGAUAUACACUCGGAUAGCUCCGAGCUAUUCUUUGUCGCAGCCGUACUCCGGCUCGGUCGGUGAGGCGUCUUCAUCCAUAGGAAUGGCUUCGUCGUCCUCUGGUUCUUGUUCAGGAGGAUUUAUCAGCCGAACUCCUUCCACCUCUUUGAUGCUAGGACGUUCGAUGAAUUCGACUGGGAUCGUCCGUCGGAGGUCUGGGUCUGAGGUCGAAGCGAGUGCUGCCAAGGCGUCGGCCGAGGUGUUUUCCCCUCGGGGAAUGCGCGUGAGUUCGUACUCGUCAAACUUUUGCACCAACUCUCGGACCACCUUGAGGUAAGCUCCCAUUCGUCCAUCCUUCGCCUCGUAUUCUCCGUUGAACUGACAUGCUACGAGCUGUGAAUCGCAAAAGGUUCUUAUCUUUCGAACUCCGAUUCCCUACGCUAGUCGUAUGCCGGCGAUCAGUGCUUCGUAUUCCGCUUCGUUGUUCGAGGCGUGGAAGUUUAGGUGAAAAGACUGCUCCAAUAUCUCUCCGGUGGGAGAGGUGAGGCGAAUUCCUAUACCCGAGCCGUGUUUAGACGACGAGCCAUCGACGUGCAGCGUCCACACUUCGUCUAGAGUCGGCUCGUUUGUUUCUUCGGCGGGAAGUUCAAUGAGGAAAUCUGCGAGCACCUGUGACUUUGCAGACGACCUGUUCCGAUACUCGAUGUCGUAUUCGCUUAGCUCUAUGGCCCACUUGGCGAGCCGACCGGAUUGGCUAGGGCUGUGAAGGAUCGAGCGCAGCGGAAGCGUAGCGAGCACAACAAUCGAAUGUUAUUGAAAGUACGGGCGCAGUUUGCGAGCCGAGACUACGAUGGCUAGGGCGACCUUCUCGAUCUGGGGGUAGCGGGUCUCGGCGUCGGUUAGUGUCUAGCUGAUGUAGAAAAUGGGUUUUUGCUCGGAUCGUUCUUCUCUGAUAAGCACUCCGCUUACGGCUGUAGCAGACACUGCGACGUAGAGGAAGAGCGGCUCUCCUUCGACUGGUUUUGCUAAGAUUGGUGGGCUCGCCAGAUAAUUCUUCAGUUCCUGGAAAGCCGUCUCGCAUCGUUCGUCCCACUCAAAUUUCUUGUUUCCUCGGAGGGUGUCGUAGAAGGGCAGGCAUUUGUCUGUAGAACGGGAAAUAAACCUGUUUAGCGCGGCGACUCUACCUGUGAGCCUUUGCACUUCGCGCUUCGUUCUUGGAGAGGGCAUCUCAAUUAACGUCUUGAUCUGCUUGGGGGUUGCUUCUAUGCCUCGGUGAGUUACCAGAUAGCCGAGGAAUUCUCCCGAGGUGACCACAAACCUGCACUUUGCCGGGUUUAGUUUCAUGUUGUGCUUGUUCAAUUGUUCGAAGCAUUCCCAUAGAUGCGCGACGUGGUCUUCCUCCUUGAGUGAUUUGACUAACAUGUCGUCGAUGUAUACUUCCAUGGUUUUUCCGAGCUGAGCCGCGAACAUUUUAUUGACGAGCCGUUGAUACGUUACUCCUGCGUUCUUGAGCCCGAACGGCAUGACUUUGUAGCAGUAUAUCCCUCGAUCAGUUAUGAAUGCCUUUUUUUCUCGAUCAUCAGGAUGCAUCAGGAUCUGAUUGUAGCCGGAGAACGCGUCCAUAAAUGUUAACAGUCUAUUCCCUGCAGUGGCUUCGACGAGCCGGUCGAUGUGUGGCAAGGGAAAGCUGUCUUUUGGGCACGCCUUGUUGAGGUCGGUGAAAUCCACACAUACUCGCCACUUGCCGUUCUUCUUCUUCACGACCACCGGAUUUGCGAGCCAAUCCGGAUAUUUGGCCUCGGCGAUUGAUCCUACUUUGAGUAACCUUUCAACUUCGUCGUUAACUGCUUUAGCUCGUUCGGGGCCGAGCUUCCUUCUUUUCUGCUUGACUGGCUUAAAGGUCGGAUCCACAUUCAGCUCGUGACAGGUUACGUCAAUGCUUAUGCCUGGCAUAUCUUCUGCUGUCCAGGCAAAAGUGUUGAUGUUCUCCUUGAGGAGGGAAAGGAGUUCGCUUCUCAGAGGCUCUUCUAGUUUUAUUCCAAUUUCGAUGCAUCGCUCCGGACGCGCCUCGUCUAUGCACACCGAGUCCACUGCAUCGCAUACCGGCUCGGCGCGUGUUUCGCGGUUCUCCGUGAUCUGUAAUUGCUAUAAGAGUUUCGAGAGCUCGUUUGCGGGCUCUCGGUCUGUCUUCAUCUUUUUGCGGUCUAUAUCUGCUCGUGCGUCAGUGACGGGGUUCCUCAGCUUGUGCUCGGCUAAGCAGCACAUUCUUGACUCCUUCUGAUUCCCCCAUAUCGUUUUGACACCCGAUGGAGUUGGGAAUUUGAGACAGAGAUGAUAGGUGGAUGGUACCGCCCUCAUCCCGUUGAUCCAUGGAGUUCCCAUGAUCACAUUGUAGAUUGCUGGGUGAUCAGUGACGCAGAAUUCGACGAUCUUAGUGACUCCGCCAGCUACCACAGGAAGCCUGAUCGUUCCCAUAGUCAUCGUCGUUUCUCCUGAAAAUCUGGUUAGAGGUUGGGGAUUGCUUCCACCUCGGAGAGGUCGAUUCCCAUUUUUCUGAGUGUUUCUCUGAAGAUGACGUUCACUGAGCUUCUAGUAUCGAUGAGCACCCUUGCCACAUCAUGAUCCAUGAUCGUUAACUCGAUCACCAACGGAUCGUUGUGAGGUCGAUCAAUUCCUGCCGCUUCCUCCUCGGCGAAGGAGAUCACUGUGUUUGGGAUGUCGGUUGGUUUUAUCCAAUUCUCCUUUGCUUCGGCUCGGCGCUGAUAGGCUUUGAUGGAGGACACGGUAUCAUGGUAGUAUUGAGAUCCACCCAUGAUCAUAUUGAUCCUUUGCCUCGGCACGGGUCGCUCUUCGGGUUCACCUCUCCUGUCGCGCUUGGAGUUAUCGCCUCUUCGCGCUGCUCGGCUCGGCUCUCUCUUGUUGUUCGUUAGGGACGAGGUCUUUGAGGUUGACCGCGUUUUGGAGCUCUCCCGCUGCCAUCUUAGGCACGAGUUUUGCUCCUAGAGUUCGGCACUGUGCCGUUGAGUGCCCGUAGGUCUGGUGAUACUCACAGAAAGCCUUCUCGUCGUAGUUGGCGGAUUUCCUCACCCAAGUGUUGUUGCGCGGCUCUCCUCUUCCGCGUCCGGUGCCUACCUGGUAGUUAUGGGCACCUCCGCUUCUAGGUUCAUCCGAGCUCUGCGUUGUUGCGUUGUUUGAUGGGUUGCCCUUCCUCGCGGGGCGCGGCAAAAUUGAGCUUCGGAUUGCUGCUUUCGUCGCUUCGUACCGCUCGUCCAAGUUUUUCAUUUCCUCCUCGUUUACGACGAAGUCUGAUGAUCGGUGCAGAGCGUCUUGAAUUGUUUGCGGCGUGUUGAGAGCCAUCUCCCGUUGGAACUCGGAUUUGUACCACAAAGAUUGUUUCAGAGCCUCGAGCGCAGCCUUGUCGCUUAUCCCUUCUAUUUUGGAUACGAGUGCCUUGAAUCUUGCCAUGUAAUCCCGAAGCGGCUCGUUCAGUCCUUGGGAUAGUGUCCACAGAUCGGCAUCAGAUGUUCCUCUGUCCAUAAACAUCGAGUAUUGUUUCUGGAACAAGGCGGAGAGCUGUUGAAAAUUGCCGAUUGAAUUUCGUUCCUGCCUCGAAAACCACUCGAGUGCGGCUCCCUUGAGAUGCUCCACGAAGAGCAGGCAGUAUCCGGCAUCUACUUUGCGCUCGGUGAGUUUAGCGGCGUUCUUUGUGAAGGCUCGUCCCAUUGCUAUCCGAAACGCUGUGAUGUGUGCUUUCGGGUCGGUUGUUCCUUCGUAGAACGGGAUUCUCACCUUCCCCGGCUCGGGAAUCCUGGCCUCCGUGAUUCUUGCAGUGAAUGGAGUUCUCUGAGUUUCUUCAAGCAUUCGGUCGAUUUCGGGCGCUGCGCUUGUCACGUUGUGCACUUGGGAUUUCAUGGCGCGUAUUUCAGCUACUGUCCGAGCUAUCGAGGCUCGCAGCUCUUUGAGUUCGAGAGUUUGUGUGUGAAUCAUUCCCUUUGAUUGGGGGAGUCGCUCCCGCUCCUCUCUCCUCGGCUCGUCUUCGCGCUCUGCCUGUUCGAUCCAUUGGCGAUUUUCUUCCUCCUCGGUUGGAUUGUCGCUGCGGGUCGGGUCGGAAACUUCGUCAGUUCGGAUGCCGUUUAGUGCCGAGGCGAGGUCUUCUUGACUUAUUCGCCGAGCCGAGCCGGUUUGUUGCGGAUUCGUGGUUCAGUCGUUAUGCUGGGCGUCUACGUCGAUCGCAUGGUUUUCUUCUUCGCCGGCUCGCCGCCUUGAGUUUCGGCGGAGAGGGGGCGGCUCGGUCAUGUUGACUCUGGUUGCUGCGGGGGGUCUUUUCGUCGAGGAGACGAAACAUUGGAGGAGCCGAGGGGUUUCUUGCGCCACUCCCUGAGGCUUCUGCAGGUGUCGAGAAAUCGAAGCGUCUCCGGAUUCCAUCCAUCGGGUCGGGAAUUCCGGCUCUCCAAGUUUGGUGCAGUCGCUCAGCCGCCAUCGCGUCGAGCCUUUCCGUAAUCGCCUCGUUUCUUUUAUCCUGUUCGUCGAUUUUCUUCAUCAACGCAGCCAUCAUGUUUGCAUCUCCUCCUGGGUUUUGAUCGUUGCUGUCGUUGUGCCCGAUGCCGGAGCGUCCUUCUCCGUGCCGUUACCGGUGUUGUUGUUGUUGUUGUCGUCGGGGGUGUUGCUCGCCAUGUUCUUCGGAUCUUAAAGUCUUGUCGAUUUAGAGUAAGAAAGUUUCGAUUCCCCACAGACGGCGCCAAAUUGUGUGAGCCAAAACUCGCACAACCAGAAAUUUGUUUAAGGAAAACUAAGGGAUCGGAAACUUCUAGGGUUUCGCCAAAAACAGUAAGAUCGAAAGAAAGUUUUUCUUGCUGUAAAAGUGUUUAGCUCAUAUUGCUUAGGGUUGCAAAAGUUACAGAAUGAAUUGUAUACAUCGUCUAUUUUUACUAACUCUCUGAACCGCCUAGCCGAGAAUCUCGGGAGAGAUUUUCGGAAUAUUUCCUUAUCGCCUCGUGCGGCUCACCGCCUUUGUAUUUCGCCUAGGGUUUUUAUGGGCUUCGUCUCCCAAGGCCACGGUUCGGCCCAUCAUUCUCCUUUGCCACGGCUCGGCCCAUCUAACUUCUUCACGGCUCGGCCCACUUGCCAUUUCGGUCGAGACAUGAUCUGGUCCACCUCACCGAGGCGCGGCUCGACCCAAGCAUGUUGGAAUGGGGCUCGGCCCAAAUCUUACGAUACGGCUCUCCCUACUGGUCUAUCUUCACGGCUCUCCCACUUGGUGAUCGCGGCUCUCCCGCUUGUCUUGGUGAGAACGGCUCUCCCACUUGUCUUGGUGAGAACGGCUCUCCCACUUGUCUUGGUGAGAACGGCUCUCCCAUUUGGUGACCACGGCUCUCCCACUUAUCUUUCUUCCAUACUUAGUCAUUUUGAGAUGGUUUUAUCUGCAUGGGGUGAAAACCGACCCCAACAAGUAUUGGGUAAUCUUUAGAAUUUACAUGGAAAUUGCUUAUAAAAACCAAUUUUUAGAAGAUUUCUAUGUUGAGAACAUCAAAAAUCCGAAUCUGGUCAUGAACUACUUGAUUUCUCUGAUUUAUUAUCGAUUUUGUUUGCUCAUGGUUUUAAUUAAUCUCUUUAUGCUAGUAUUAGUAUAACAGAUCUUAAUGUGUUAAAAUCAGCAUCCAAAUUCACUCUUUUUCCAAGAACUAUUUCGUUUUGCAGAAAAAUGGACCAAAACAGAUCCCGAAGGAGCCGUCGCACUGGUGGCAGCUCCGAGGACAUUCCCGAUGAUGCUACUCUAGGAGAGUACAUGCUGAACCAAACCAGACCGAGAAGGAGAAACUAUGUGAUGAGAUUGCUCCAUCACUCAAGAGAAACACAAGCAGCUCCCGAGCCACCACAGAUUCUAUACAUUGGGAGGGAGACAAACCCGAGAGUGGACUAUGCAAGACGUUUCAAGAAGCUGAACAUCAAACCCACGCCUUGCAUAGAUUAUCAUACACUCGAGAUGCUUGGAAUCAGAGAAGAUGUGAUCUGGUACAUCAAUGCACUUAAGCUGAGACCCUACAUGGAGCUGAACCUUCCGACUUAUCCUGAGCUAGUCCGUGAAUUCUUAGCGACUAUUACACUACACCACACGAAGAGGAGGAACCCCAGAGCAUCAGAUGGCAUCUUGUCAUUCUCUAUCCGCGGACAGCCUUACUCUCUCACCAUUUCUGAGGUUUGUGAAGCUCUUAAGCUUCCAUACACUGAUGGCAUUUACCUUGAAGAUGAACCUGAUCUUAACCUGUGGAGAGAGAUGGGUCAUGGAGUCUAUGAUAGUGGGAGAUCGAAGUCAGCCCUUCUUACUCAUCCAGCAGUGAGAGUUGUGCACAAGCUAUUAGCACACACGAUCUUCUCUAGAGCAAACAUGGGAGGUGUUUUAAAGACUGAGCUCAUUACACAUCAGAUUCCGUUUAUGGACGACCCACGACUUGCUUGCUUUGCCUGGAUCAUAGCGCAGAAUACGGUAAACGUGAAGCAUGACUUACAUGGUUGCGAGGACGCUACUCCAGCUUUCAGGAGUGCUAUUACAGCGAUACUACAGGCUGUAGGAUUCGAUUUCUCAUCUGAUGAGCCACUUCCCGAUGUCUGGUAUGAUCUACUUUAUCUCUCUCGCGAUCACACUAUCUCUCGUGCCGCUUUCGAUCCAGACAGGUUUGGUUACAAGUAUUGCACUGGCACUGAGGAGCACCGAGUCAGUUUGCCUUCGGUAUCUAUCCCGAGAUUGUGUAACGGAGGACGUCCGCGAUGGACUCCGGAACCUGAUGAUUUUCUGCCUUCUGUACCUCGUCUACCAUUCACCAUUGGCCAAUACAUAGUGGCCAAGGUGAAGCGUGAUGCAGCUGCGGCCCGUGCCCAUUUUCAGCCAUCUGUUUUGACCGGCCACACCUCAUCAUCUACAUCAUCUCACACUCAUUCCGAUCUGGAGCGCAGAGUUGAGAGACAGGGACGACGCUUUGAGCGCGUUGUCACCUUCUUACAGGAGCAGCACCAGUUUGCAGACGACACAUCGGAGGAUGAGUGAUUGAUCAGCACUUCACUACCAUCACGGUUCUAUCAUCAAUUUCUUUUCUUUUAUCUUAUUUUAUUUCUCUUUUAUUCACCAUCUUCUCACCAACUUUUUCACACUGGGGACAGUGUGAUUUAAGUCUGCGGGAGGAUGUCUAUCCGUACUAAUCAUUUUCUUGCUUUUCUUUUUAAAUUCCAAGUACUUUUUAAAUUUUAAUAUGUAACCUAUUCGACAUUAAGUAUUUUUCAGGAAUGUUUGACGCAAAACUAUGAUGAUUUAGACCUGCACGCUUCUACACUAUGCAUGAUUGCUCAUUUGUGGUUAGCACUAGACUAGGCGGUAGCUAGAGUACUUGCACUACGAACUCCCACCAGAGGACUUCUAUUCAUGGAGAUUCUUUCUGACAGGAUAUACUAGCUCAUUUUAUUUGGACUUAAUAUUGAUAUCUAAUUUUUUCAUCAUUGAUUUUAGGCAGGCAUCGACAUACACAUCUAGGACGUCUUCUACCCUCACUUUUACCACUCUUUGUCGUCCUAGAUGACCUGUUUAUCUUUAUCUGGUACCAUACCCUAAACCCAAAACCCUUGUUUUCAAUCCUCAUGCAUUCUUUCUUUAGUUUAUAUCAGCAGAUAUGUGCAAAAACGUCGGAGAGAAGAGGAGCGACACAGUUUUCAGUCACUCACAAAGGAGACUGAAUGGAAUUGGGAAGGAAGAGUAUCAGAAAAAUCAUGAAGCUUUACAAGACAGAUAUUGACUGGUAAUUUCGUGCUCUCUAAGACUCUAUAUCUAAAGGUGUUCCCUUUCUCCCACAAAAAAAAAAAAAAAAAAAAAAAACGUGAAAAAAGAAAGGGAAACAAAAAGCCUAAUGAGUCUUAGAUUGUCAAAAAUUUGUGGAGCAAUAAGCAACCACUAAUCGUUUAAUUUUGAAAGAUUUACAUAAAUCUAAGUCUGGGGGAGUUAGGAGAGAACCUGAGGAAGAAGACCAGGAAUCUAUGGCACGAAGAAAGUGACUGAAAACUGUGGAUACCAACAGCUUAACUCUCUCUUGCGGUUUUGCAUAAUAUCAUGCAUCCUCCAGAUUUUCAAGUAACCCGUAAACACUUUAAACCUUACCCCUAGAAUAACCUUUUUAACACCUAGCCUAGAUUGCCUUGCCUAGACUUUCUUUGAUGAGAACCACCGAGAUUUUUAAUGAAUGUUAAGAGCUAGUUGACUGGAAGUUAGAUCCUAGUGCAUAGAUUUUCGCAUGAUGGAUUAACGGACUAGUUAUGCCUGUAUUGCUAGUGAGUAUUUUCUAGGCUAUUCCCGAUUGAUGCAUACUGAUUGAUAUUGGUCUAGAAGUUUGGUCUCUGAGAUUUUGUUUAGUUCCUGCGUUUUCAAACCUCUCACCGAGAUUUAGCCUUUGUUUUGUUUGAGGACAAACAAAAGACUAAGUCUGGGGGAGUUGAUAACACCGGAUUUUGACCAUUUUUAUGGAUCACUUUCAUAUCUUUUACCGGUGUUUUUACUCCAUUUUCAAAGAUUUUCAAAGGAUUUCUAUGUUUCCGGAUUUGAAAAGACUUUUCAGGUAAUUUGGGAUAAAGAGGCACAAAAUGAAACAAAAACUCUUUUGAAUAAAUGCAGACCGUCAGAACUCUCAUGGAGAGACGACGACCUUCUCACCGUCUGAUCACCUUCAAAACUGGACAACUUAUAGAAGAAUCAACCAGCUUUCAAAUGCACUUGGUUUGGAGACAUUCUAACGGUUGGAUCUCAAGAUAUUCCAUUAGCCCCGGAGCCACUCGAACUCGGCCAGAAAGUCACGCGACCGCGGUGAUCAACCUAUUUCCCGCGGUCAGAAGCUUCCCGACCGCGGCCAACCAGCCAAUCCCCGCGGUCACAACACUCCCGACCACGGCAAUCAAUCUCCGAAUUAAAGCCCAUGUAUCUGAAGCCCAAAGUCAUUCUCAGCCUCAAUUCCGGAACCCUAGAGACCAUGGAGUAUUGGAGACUAUAAAUACAUGUCAUUUAGGUCGUUUUUAGGGAGAGUCAUUCAUACUUUACAGAAACCCUUUUCCUUUAGCCGUUUUUAUGAGAUUUUUGUAGAAGAUUGUUCAAGUCCGAGUUCUUCAAUAGAGAAGCUUUCUUUAUCUCUUUUUUUUACUGUUUUUCAUUACUUUUAUUAAAACCAAUGAUGAUGUCGACCUCCGCCAUGUCUGAGUAGAUCCCGAGUUGGGCUUAGGGUUCCCGAAAGGGGCUCUCAUAAUCGAUUAAGACAUCUAGGUUUAUAGAUCUGGGAUUUCGACAUGUUCUCUGUUUAUUCUUGUUCUUAUUGCAUGUAUGCUUGAUUGAUCACCUAGUAUCUGAUCUAGAUAGUUAGUGUUGCGAAAGUUUUCAUUAAGUAUCAGCCCUAGAAUGAAACAGGCAAUUUUUUCGUAGGAGUGGAAACCUACCUGCGGCGAGAUCGUGAGUAUUGACGAGUCUUGUGCAGCUCUUGCGUUCUCUCCCUUCCAGGGCUAGAGUGGAAACCUACUGGUCUGGGUUGCGAGAAACAGUUGGUUAUGAUCACGACAAUGACGUAGUCAUACCGCCGUACUCUAGCUCUAGAACCCAUAUAUCGAUAUCCGUCAAUCCCAAUCUAUUUACCCUAGUGUUAAAACCGAUUAUGAUCCCUUAGAGUCCCCAAAAGCUCAGCGUUUUUAGCCAUAGUUUACAAUUCCAUCGAUUUUUAUUUGCUUAUUUAGGCCUGCAUUUCAAUUUCCUUAGUUUGUUAUUUACUUACUUUACUAGUAUUUCAUUCGAUAGUUUACUUGCCUUAUUAGUCUUUCAUUCGAUAUUUUACUUGUUCUAUUUGCCUUUCAUUCGAUUUCUUUACUUGCUUUUUAGGAUAGAUUUAUUUGCUUUCUUUUGUUUUAGUUUAAUACAUCAAACCAACCAACCUUUAAAAACCAAUCUAGUGUAGACAUAAAGUUAAAAACCGUAGAAGAAUACUAGGCACACAAAUCUAUGUGGAUUCGAUCCCUAAAUACUACAACUGAUUAGCUGUGCACUUGCGGCUUUCAUUUGUUUUGUUAAGGGUAAAACUUGAGAGAAAAGGUAUAUCAUCGAAAAAAAAUUCAUGCAAGAAAAUUUUGACCAUUAUUUGUGGUGUCUAUACCAUAAAAACCAAUAAUCAUCUAUGAUCGGAUCAGAAUUUACCGGCGUAAUCUCAGCAAACCCAUGCAAAAAAACGUCAAUAGUAACAAAACCAACUCAAAUAUAACCAUGAAACAAGUCUACCAUACAUAUGGAAUCUGUUUAACAUACAACACCCCAAAACAAGUCUACCACACCUUUGGUUUUUUUGUAGAUUGCUGAAUACCUUUAGGACAAAUAAGUAAUUUCAAUUGAAUAAGUCAAAUGUCUACCGAAAACAAUGUAACUAAGUCUACCACAAGCAAUGUAAAUAACUCUACCAUAAGAAAAACUCUACCUUCAAGCAUCAAAUAUGUCUACCAGAUUGAGGUUAUCUGAGUAAACACCAAAGUUAUUUAAUCUACCACAUGAAGCUCAAUAGAAGUCUACCAUACGUGCAAUAACUUUACCAAUUGAUUGAAAAUCUACUACAAUAACAAAAAAAAUCUACCACCAUUUUAUAAGUCUACCUCAUGUAACAAUAAAUUUACUACUCAACGGAAUGAAAUCACCAAAUUUUUACUUGAUUUAAAUCUUCCACAUUACUUAUAAAUCUACCACAAGAGCGAUAAAUCUACUCACAUGAUAUAACUCUACCAAUUUCAUAACUAAUCUACCUCAAUAGGGAUAAAUCUACCACCACGUUAUCUUAAAUUUUGGUGAAUAAAUCUGCCACCAAAAGAAAUAAGUCUACCAAUUCGAGUAUUAAAUCUACCCCCAUUGUCAACAAAUCUACCAACAAAAUCAACUAUGCGAGAGAGUCAACGAAUUCCUUAACAAGUCUACCAACACUUUAACAAGUGUGGCAUACAUGACAACAAAUCUACCGAAACUUAACAAAUCUAUCGUGUCAUUGUCAAAACUCUACCAAAAAAAGUAUAUCAACAUUUUACAAAUCUACCAAUUCUCGAAUAAAUCUACCAUCGUCCUAACAAAUAUGCCAUCUAAAAAAUUGUGUUGACCAACAUCUGAUAAGUCUACCAUCAAAGACCGGUAGGCUUAUCAUUUUUCAAGCGCAUCUUUUUGCCUACAUGGCACAAAAAAGUAAUGGCAUUUUUUUAAUUAGGUUUUUUUCAUCAAAGGCGAAAAUGAUGUUUUCGGUAUGCUAUGUUAUUUUUGUAAUAAAAAUAAAAGUAUGUCAAGCAAACAAUAAACAUACAUUUAAAGGUUUGUAUAGUAAUCCUUCCUUGUUUUAAUUCUUUUGAAAAACAGUUUAUAACAUCAAAAUAUGUUGUACAUUUUUAAAACCCUUAUGUCCGCGCAAAGCGCGGACCAACACCUAGUUAUAAUUUAAAAUCCAGCUAAGUUAUCUACAUACUAUAAUUCAUAAUUCACUAUUAAAAAAAUCAAAAUUCAUCCAUAUUAACCAUAAAUCUUACAAUUUUUAAACACACGAUAACAAAUUGGUAUUUUAUAAUUCUAUAAAUUAAGAAUCUUGUAUAGAUUUUAUUCAUAAUUCAUUUUUUAUAUACUUUUUUUUUGUCAUCAGCCUAAGUACCUAAAACGGUUCGGCUAUCCAAACCGGUGGUACCGAGUUUACAUAAAUGACGUCUUGAGGGUAGACACGAGCACUUCUUGCUAGGUUGUCCGCCUUCGAGUUUUUUGCGCGUGGGAUAUGUGAUAUAAGGAAGAAACUGAACUUGUCCUUCAUUUUCCUAAUCUCCUCCAAAUGUAGAUCAAAAGCUGGCCAUUCUUUGGGUGUAGACACCAUCUUCACCAACUCCAAACAGUCUGUUGCAAAAGCUACUUCCAUCUUCUGGUUUUCGAGCAUACAGUGCAUAGCCCAUAUGAGGGCUUCUAUUUCUGCAUGCAGAGGUGUAAGACUUUGUCUUACAUUUUGUGCUCCCAUUAUUCUUUCCGUAGCAUCUUCUUUAAAGAAGUACCAUCCUAAUCCCGUUAAAAGAUAUGUAUCUUUCCAAGAGCCAUCAGUAUAACACCACCAGCCUUCGUAGGCCAUAGGUGUUUACAAGUUCAGAGAAGUGCAAAGAUCGGUAGGAAUUGAAUCCUGUUCAGACCUUUGAGCCUCUUCCCACAAUGUUGCUUCUUUUUCCGCUAUUUUCAAUGUAAUCUGUGGAUCUAUAUCAUUAUUCGAAUACACUUUCUCAUUCCGUGCCUUCCAAAUAUACCAUGCGAUCCAUGGGAAUUUUGUGUUAUUCAACUCUUUUGGAAGUCGCCAAAAGAGAUGAUCAAAAUUCGAAUAAACCGAUGGUCCUGGGAAAAUCCCAAGAGGUGUUGGUAUCCGGGAUAAUGCCGAAGUUUGCAAAGCAGGAGGACAUUCAAAGAGCACAUGGUUAAUUGUUUUUUCAUCUGCUCCACACCGUGUACAUUGUGUGUCACAUUGUAUUCCACGGGUGCUUAAUCUAGCCGACACUGGAUGGCACCAAGAUAUUGCUUGCCAGAUAAAAUGUCUUAACUUCGACACACUUUUCAAUUUCCAAGCAUAUGCUUGUAAAGCCUUUAUGUCUGGGCCAAAGAUCUCCUCUGUUAUUUCUUUAGAUAAAUAACGCUCAGUUUUGUACCCUGAUUUUACAGUAUAUCGUCCGGAUUCUGUGAAAUGCCAUCCCAUUGGGUCUGGCCUAUAGGUUCUACUAAUGGGAAGUCCACGAAUAAUUUCCACAUCCGCUGGGUCAAUAAUUGCUGUUAUCAAACCCAUGUUUCACGAGUUUGUCACUGGGUCAAUCAGGUGAUUAACCAUAAGAUUCGGAUAAUAAUUGAAACCCUUACAAGUGGCUGAUCUCGGGCGAGUAGAAGGUAUCCACGGAUCAUUCCAGACAGAAAUGGAGCAUCCUGAACCUACCCUUUUAAUUAGCCCUUUAUUAACCAGAGAUCUAGCCGAUAUUAUACUUCGCCAUCCAUAAGACGGUGAGUAGGAUCUCACUGGGUCCAAAGGACUUGGAUUCCGAAAGUAUCGUCCUUUAAAGACCUGCGCAAAUAAGGAAUUUGGUCUAUCAAUCUGCGAAAGUAUCUUCAUUUUUUAUAUACUUUGUAUUUACUAAUCUUUUCUUUUAAUUUUUUCUAUUUUUUGAAUUUACAUUUAAAAAGGUAUAAUUAUUUUUCUAUUCUUAUUUGAAAUAAAUAAUUAAAAUAAGAAAUUUUAUCUCAUUUCAUUGACACAUGAGUCAAUCAUAAAUAACUGUGAUAUAUGACACAAUAUAGUGAGUUAUAAAAAUAUAAUGUCUUAUACAUAUAGAAUUUUAUUUUUGGUUUACUUUUGUUAUUUCUAUUUUGUAGUUUCUAUUUUCAUCUACUUUAGUUUUUUCUAAUUUAGUAAUUUACAUUUAAAAAUGUAGAAUUCCUUUUGUUUAGAAAAAAAAUAUAAUUUAACAUAUAAGAUUUUAUAUUAUUUUAUUGACAUAUGUUACGAUCAUAGUUAAGCGUGAUACAUGACACAAUAUGGUGAAUUAUAAAAAUCCUAUGUGCCAGUGUCACGUUGAGAGCACUGAACUUUCUUUUUUUUUUUUCACUGAAUAUUACGUAUAUUAAUAAUCGAUGAGCUUACAAGCAGACAAUACAAAACAUGAUCAAAAGCAAUCAAACACUCAUAUAGAACAUGAGUAUUACAACAAGGUAAUACUACUUUCAGAAACAAAAAUCUCUUCUAACCACUGAGGAUAGCCCGAGGCUAUAUAUGAUUGUCGACGAUCAUCUUUAGUCACACUUCUAGCAAUGAGGAAAGCACCUUGAUUUGUAACUCUUUCCUCAAGCGUAAGCUUCCAAUCCAAAAAAAUUUCCAAACCAUUCAAGAUCUCAGACGAAUAGAAUUUGAAAGAAGGCCAGGCUGGUGGCCGAUGAACCGCUCCUAUUAAAUCUGAAUCUUCCGAAGCAAAGACCAUUUUGGUGAUACCUAAGCUAUUCAAACUUUCAAUUGCCCAGAUCCAACUUUUGAAACUAGCAUCAAUGUGGCUGGAUACAGAACAGAAAGAUCUUCUACUGUGUAAAAGGACUGAUCCAAAAGAGUUCCUAAGAACCCAUGCAGCACCACCACAUCCUUUCUUUUUAUCCCAGGAAGAACCGAUAUUACAUUUCAACCAAGGUCUAGAGGGAGGAAGCCAAACCUUCGGGGGUUGAAUCACCUCCAUCUUUUUUUUAAUAGCUUCCUUUUCAUCCAACUCUUGAGCGUGAAACCAUUGGUUCACAUCUUCUUUAAUCUUGCCCAUAGUAUCAGAAACUCGGAAGCUCAUUCCUUCAAAAAUGAAGAUGUUGAGAUUCUUCCAGAGUAUCCAUAAGAUCCACGGGAUUGAUCUUCUGAUUUCCAAAGGCACUGAUAACUUUUUACCCACCAUCAAUAAAUGGAACAUGUUCUGAUAGAUGGAGUUUGAUUCAUAUCCAUUUUCAGGACUGGGUACAUUCGAAGAGGCCCAAACCUGUCUAGCAAUUGUACAUUUGAAUAGCACAUGAUUUAUGGAUUCACCUUCAAGCCCACAGAUUUGACAUCUCGAAUCAAUCUUCAUACCUCUCGAUGCAAUUUUGUCUGCAACAGGAAUGGCACCACUAAUUGCUUUCCAAAGAAAGUUUUUGAUUUUAGUGGUUGUAUUGAGCGCCCAGAUUUGGAGUUUGAUUGCAUUCAAAGACGGUUGCAUCAGAGCUUCCUUGAGGGCUUCAGAUGGAUUACUUUGAGAAGCAAACCAAUACCCUGAUUUAACAGAAUAUUCGCCACUUUUGGUAUGUUCCCAGCAGAAAAAAAUCCAAUGAAGAAACCACCGGGUUAGUUCUUAAGAUUAGACCAACGUCUCUUUGGAAGAAAUGCUCAUCGAGUUUAUCCCUAUCCCAGCUUUUGGAUAUCGGAUCAAUGAGGUCAAUAACUCUCAAAUCCAAAUUAAAGAUGAUGUUCUUUAUGAAGGGAGCUCUCAUAACCCCAUCACAAAGCCAUCGAUUAGUCCAUACACUAAGCGAAGCUCCAUUGCCAACCAUCUGUCUAAGACCUUUUUCUAAAAGAGAUCUUCCAUGAAGAAUGCUUCUCCAAGCAAAAGAGGGUCUAACUCCAGUAUCUGCGAGAAGGAAGGAGGAAGAAACAAAGUAUCGGCUCUUUAAGAACAAAGCAAGGAGACAAUCCUUAUCUUGUAGAAUUCUCCAAGCUUGUUUGGCUAAAAGAGCUUGGUUGAAGAUUUGAAUGUCUUUAAAACCGAUCCCUCCUUGAGCUUUAGGAAUGCACAAUUUAUCCCAUCCAAUCCAAUGCAUUUUCCUUUUGUUCUCGACAGUGUCCCACCAGAAAUCAGCCAUCGCAGAAGAUAACUUAUUACAGAUAGUUACUGGCAAUUUAAAACAGGUCAUGGAGAAAACUGGCAUCGCCAUCGCAACAGAGUUGAGUAACACUUCUUUUCCACCUUGAUAUAGAAGCUUUGAAUACCAUCCAGACAUUCUUCCUUUCAUUUUGUCGUGGAUGUAAGACAACAUAUCCACUUUAGAUCCACUAAAACAUUCUGGAAGACCCAAAUAAGUGCCCGCUCCACCUUCAUUGAUAAUACCCAAUUUGGUUUGAAUGAUUUCCUUCAUAUCCAUAUUCACGUUAGCACCAAAAGUGAUGGAGGAUUUAUCAAGGUUGAUGAUCUGACCAGUAACUCUUCCAUAAAGAGAAGAAUGGAUUGGAGGGUUGUGCACUGUUCUUCAUCCGCUUUAAUCAUAAAAAGACUGUCAUCUGCGAAUAACAAAUGGUGAAUGGCUGGACCAUCGGGAGAGAAUUGAAUCCCAUUAAUCAAGCCAGAUCGUUCAGCACAGUUGAGCAGAUAUGUCAAUCCUUCAGUACACAAAACAAAAAGGAAAGGUGAUAAGGGAUCACCUUGCCUUAUUCCUCUCUCAGGAAUGAUCAAACCAAAAGGCUGUCCAUUAAUCAGAACUGUAUAAGAAACCGAGGAGACACAGAACAUAAUCAUCUGGACCCAUUUUUGAUGAAAACCGAGAGCCAAAAGGAGCGCUUGAAGAUAGGACCACUCAACACGGUCGUAAGCUUUUGACAUGUCGGUCUUCACCGCCAUGAACUCCGUCGAAAUCCUAUCAUGAGUUCUCAAACCAUGGAUAGCUUCAUGAGCUAUUAUAAUGUUAUCUGAGAUAAGUCUUUCUUCAACAAAGGCAGAUUGAUUAGGAGAGACAAUCUCAGACAGAAAGGGUUUCAUUCAGGACACCAUGAUUUUGGAAAUCACUUUGUAGAGAACAGAACAGAGACUAAUUGGCCGUAGGUCACUCAUGUGAGGAGAGUUGACCUUUUUUUGGGAUAAGACAAAGAUUAGUGAAGUUCCAUUCUUUAGGGAAAACACCCGAUUCAAAGAACUUGAGAACUUCCAUCGUGACAAGAUCACCAACAAUAUCCCAAUAGUUCUGAAAGAAAAGACCAGUCAUACCGUCUGGGCCAGGAGCACUAGAGGCUUUGAUCGAGAAAACAGCUCUUUUCACUUCUUCUUUAGAAACCAUACUGAUAAGACUGUCGUUCAUUCUAGAGUUGACUCUCGGCAUGAAAUCGGAGAAGAAUUCUAUCUGAUUUGAAGGAGCAGAUGAUGAGAAAAGAGUCUGGAAAUAGCUAGUCGCCACUUCACCCUUUGAAGCUUCAGAUCGAUGCAUGAUUCCAUUUAUAUCCAUAAGCUUAUCAAUACAAUUCCUUGACCUAUCAGACUUGACAGAAGCAUGGAAAAACUUGGAGUUUUUGUCACCAAGAUUCAGCCAUUUAUCUCUACUUUUCUGUUGCCAAAAACUUUCUUCUUCCUUGUAAGCCUCCACCAGACUUUUUUGAGAUUGAAGAGACGACAUGAAGAAGGAGAUGACGAGGAUUGUUCAAACUCCAGAUCAUCUUCAAUAGUUUUUAUUUUGAUCUGAGAAUUAGCAUCGUUGACUUUCUUCCAUUGACUGAGAGCUUUCCUGCAACUUCUUAAUCUCGAAGAGACACUAAGAUUAUGAGAGGAUGAGGGACCAAACCAAGCCGACUUUAUGGCUUCUUUGACAAAAGGUUUGUGGAGUAAUCUUUUUUCAAAUCUAAACGAACCCCGAUAAGACUCUUGAGAAGAGAAGAGAUGAACCAGGACCGGACGAUGAUCGGAUCCUCUUUUAGCCAAAAAAGCUUGAUUAGAAGCAGGGAAGAAAGAAGACCAGACUUUGUUGCCGAAACAUCUGUCAAGCUUACACUGAAUCCACAAGGUGCGUCUUCUGCCACCCCAGGUAAAGCUAUUCCCUGUACUUGGAAGUUCUCUCAUAUCACAAUCUUUCAACAUGUUGGAAAAAGUAAGGAAAGAAGAAUCACUCCUUCUUGGACCACCAUUUUUUUCCUCAUUGUUGAGAAUUUCAUUAAAGUCUCCAAGCAUACACCAUCCAGUUUUUCUUUGAAUCCCAAUACGAGUCAGCCUUUCCCACACUAGGUGUCUCAAACUCGCAUUUGGGUUUCCAUACACACACGUAACAAAGAAACUGCUUGAACCAAACUGUACAUACAUGUCCAGCACAUUCUUAUCUACAUACUUGAGAUCGAUAUCAACACCUUUUUUCCAGAAAAGAGCCAAACCCACCGGAUCAACCGUAUAUACAUGCUCAUAACCCAACCAAACUUGAAUAUCUACAAUGAUAUUUUUACAGUUUAUCGUUUCCAUAAGGAACAAGAUCUCAGGGAAGUGUUUUUUACGCAUCUCCAUGAGUCUGGGAAUCGUCAGAUCUUGAGGCCGCCCCAAUCCCUGGCAAUUCCAGCUUGAUAUGCUCAUAAAUCAGUGGACAGUUCCUCAUUUGGGACCAUCUCAUGUGUUUUUGACCUUGCGGCUUUGGAAACACUCUCCAGUUCACUAUCAGCUUUCCUUUUCUCCACUGAACCCUCUAAAGAACCCUUCUUUUUCUCCACAUCUUCGGCAAAAGAAUUCUCCAAUUUUCCUUUUAACUUCCUUCGAGAUUUUGGAGGCCUCUUUCUUGGUUUUGGUUUUUUCAUAGCAGUCCCGGAAGGACCAGCAACAGAGUGCCCGAUCCUAUAACCCGUUGAACUGUUGUGAAAAGGGACCGACUCAUCACCAAAAUCUGGGGAAGUAGAAUCGGUUUGAAGAGGAUUGGAGCCAUAAUUUCUCCUAGAGCUAGCAUCCGCUUGAAUUGCAGCAGACAUAAGCUUUUGACCUCGAGGCAUGAUCACUUCAGUUUUUGUAGUCGAGUCCUCAGAAUCAUAGCCAAAGACUGGACCUUUCCCUUUGUUGAGAUCACGAGUGAUAAUUGGAACAGGUUCUAGACGAAGCACCAUUUUCUGCGUGAUUAAAUUCUUUUCUGCCUCACAAACAGAAUUCUUCACACGAUCUUCUCUAACCUUACGAUCAUCACCAUUAGCAAUUAACAAAUAUUGUCUCAUGCCUUCUAGAACCUCAGCUGCAAUUCUUGGACGACCUGUUAAGGGAUUCAAGCCAACCUGGUUCUCACCAAGAACGCCAAAAAGAGGGUCAGAUUCCAACAGGACAGGCUUGGGGAUCUGUUUUUGGGGAGCAUGUCCAAGUCUUCUUUCAGCCGCCAAAGCUUGACGUUUCAUGAUCAAAAUAGGGCACACCUCACGCGCGUGAGUUAACCUUUGACAAGAAUAGCAUCUCUUCUGAAUUCUUUCAUAGAACUAGUGAACUGUGGUUGAGCCUCCCUUAGGCAGAUUGAUCACUUUCGACUGUCUAAGAGGUUUAGACACAUCAAAUUUAACUUUCACUCUCACAAACUCUUUGUUCUGCGCUUUAGUAGGAUCAAAUGCAAUUUCAGUAACAAGACCAACAAGAUCUCCUAAAGCAGUAAUCGCCUCCUCAGUGUAAUGAUUAAUAGGAAUGUUUCUGAUUUGCACCCAGAUCGGAACAAACUGCAGAGAUUCACUUGAAGGCUGCUCUUCCCAACGCUCUGUAGCAAGAGCCCAUUCAUUGAAAGUAUGGACACCUUUGUCCAAGAUUUCAUUUAGGUCAUGUUCAUACUUGAAGAAAAACUGGAAACGCUCUCUUGAUAGAGCCACACCUCUGACUCUAUCAUACUUUUGCCAUUUUCUAGGCAAAUCCAAAAUCAGGUUAGCCAUCUUUUGACAUUCUGGAUUAAGAAGACGACCUAUCAGGCUGAACUCAUUUUUAUCACUUGAACAGUAAGCUGGGGUAUCAGGAAGAUCGAAUGGAACUUCUUCUUCCUCUAGAGACAUGGCCAUCAGCGCCUUAUCCAUAGCAGAAGACAUGGUAACCGAAAAUAACUCUGAACCACAACCACAGGUAGAAAAUCUGAACGGCCCAAAGAAGAUAGACCACCCAAAGCAAGGAAACCACGAGAUGAAAACUUAAGCAGGAGAUGAGACGAAAUUUUUCUAGACCCAGCAAAUGAAGAACACGGAUGAACCCUAUAUUUCUUUAUAGAUCUGAAAAAAAGUGUUUGAAAAGGUGAAAAGCGGGAUGAAUAGUCAAAAGGGAAAGAAGUUUUUCCACACAAAAGCUCUAUUCUCGAAGAGAUGAGAUACUCUUACACAGAAAGAGAGUCCUAAGCCCAAAAAAGGGAAACAGAUAUUUUUUCUACUAUCUUCAUCUUCUAUCUGCACCACUUGAGAGCACUGAACUUUCUAUAAUAAGAUUCUAUUUUAAAAAAACUAUUAAAUGUGUAGAAGAAAACACCACCAAAUGAGAAGUUUUGACGAUGGGACUUGGGAGGUAAGAAAAGCAUAUAAGAGUCUCCAAGUGUCUGGUUAUACUUUUUUUUGCGAUCCAGUUUAUUCUUUUGUCCAACCUCAAGGGUAGAUGUUAAUUUGAUUUAAUUUUGUAUUGGGUCAGUUCAAUUAAUUUGUAUUUAAUAAAAUUCUAACUGAAUUUAAAUGAAGUUAAUUCGUGGUUUUUCUUCAGUUUGAUCUAUUUUUGGUUAAAAAUAAUAAAAAAGUCAAUAUGAAAAUAAGUCAUAACAAAAUAAAAGAGAAAAAAGAAAAAUUUUUUGGCACUUAUUUUAAAUUAUUGCGAUUUAAUAGAUACGACACAUUUAGUUAAGACAUAUAUGUCUAGGACACAAAAGAAAUAUUGAAAUGUUGUAGUGACUUCAUAACACUACUACAAAUAGAUAAAAUACUGGGAUGGUGUAUUGACUUGGCAAUACUGUUACAAAUCUCAGAUAUAUUCUAAAAGAUAUAGUGGAAUGGUGUGGUGACUUCAUAACACUACUACAGAUAAAUAAAAUACUGGGAUGGUGUACUGACUUGAAAACACUGUUACAAAUCUUAGAUAAAUUCUAAAAGAUAUAGUGGGAUGAUAUAUCAAUUUGUGACACUACUGUGUACAUCCUACCCAAGAUCCAGAAAUUCAUUGGGUUGACUCGGUUUAUUCCAGGUUGAUCUAGUUUGCCUCCUUUUCCUAUUUCAGCGUUUUAAACCUAAUUUUUUAAGUUAAGUUUAGUACUAACUUUGUCUCUCUUUCUUUUUUAAGGUUUUACUUAAAAGUUUGAUGCUAUCAUAACUUAAACACAGAGAGAUUAUAUACACACUUUAUUCUCAUAGUUUCACUUCUUUUUAUCAUUCCCCUUUAAUACAGUAAAGGCACUUAAAUCAAUAUAAAUUAAAGACACUAUUGUACUAUGUAAUCACUCAUUUUAUUUCACUCAUAAAAAGAAUUACAAAAUUAAUACAUCUUAGGAACUGAUGAUGAUCGACCUAUCAAAACCCAAUUGUAAAGAAAAUAUCUAUCUAGCAACUAAUGAGCAGACUAUUAAAUUCAUCAACUAAAUAAGAAAAGUAAAAUAACUAUUAAUCUUCUCUCUUCUAACAGCUUUCUCUGAUUAUGCAGUCUACGUCAGCAGUGAUCACUCCCUGGUAGCAGUUAAUUGGUCUUCAUCUUCCAGCUCAUGAUCUUCUUCUUAGGCACAUAGCUCUUGAGGUAUUAUAAAUACCCACAUCGAAAACAAGAAGCUUUUCUUCAAUCUUAAGUGUGAAAAUUGCUUGAUCAUAGGUGCAGCUCUCUCCCAUGUCCUCUCAUUAUCUAGAAGACCUGUCCAACUAAUUGAUGUUUCCAAAUGAUUAGCAAGAUCAGAGUGAGUAACUAAAACUGAUACCGGUUCAAUAAUGAGUUCAUCAUCAACUGAGAAGGACUGUGGAAGUGCAGAAACAUGAUGAUCUGUUCCUAAGACUUUUUCACUAUCAAGUAGACCGCCGAUGCAAAAGUUAAAUACCAUGAUAUAACCUUUAAAAAUUUUAGUACCACAAUAAUCACUUUUUGUUGAAACCUUACAAUGCAAAAUCAUAAAGUGACAAAUAGGUACUUGAACCUUUUUUUUUUCAUCCAAUACCAAACUUGUUUUUUCAUCAUGAUUCACCUUCUCUAACAUGUACAAAUAAGAAUACAACACCUUAAAACUUUAUUUUUUAGUACAACGCACUUCAUUAACAUCUUUUUUUCCUCUCAAUGUGGUAGAUUAAGAAUGCUGAUCUAGUAACUAAAUAAGAAUGCCCUGUCAACUAAAUCUUGCCAUGCCUGCUUAGUUCGAAAUUUUUGACAUAAUUCUCAUGCAUCACGUGGAAGUUCAACAUAUCCAGGCAUACACAAGAUAACCAGACUGUUAUCUACACCAUUAUCCACACUAUUAUCCACAUUGUCACGUGAUAUAUUUGUAACACAUCUAUCAACAACAUUCUUGAUCAAUUCAUGAUGUUGUUCUGUUGUUUUGUCAUCUUCUUAAAGAGUAACAAAACCAUCAUUAACUCUAGAAUUAUUUCUUCCACCUGAAAACAGAUCGCCAAAAUUCACACCAAAUAAAAUUUCUCAUUCUACUCUUAGAAGUUGCUUGCCCAACUUAAUGUUUUCCAAAUCUUUGGUGACCUCUACAUGCAAAACACUUCUACAUAGUUCCUUAUUCAUGGAGAUAAACAUAAACGUCCUCAUUAUUGAAAAUAUAUUAUUGUCUGUGAGGUUUCACUACCAAUGGAAUUAAAGUCACUUUCAGCUUUGUCUAAGAUAUAUAUAUGAUGUCGUAAAUGAUAUACUAUACAUGUGAUCUUCUAUUGAAAUCCAUCAAUUCUAUGAUCUUUGAAUAAUAUCCUUCAUAAUCAAAUAUAUGUUUGUGAAACUAUAGCUUAUUGUCUUAGGAAGAAUAGAAACUACUUUAGCACGUGUUAUCUUGAAUCAAUAAUAUUAUUUGUACCAAUUAUAACACUUCUCUAAGUAAUAUCAACUGUUACAGUUGUUUUUCUGCAAAUUAGGUGACUUCGGGCCACUGAUAUGUUCAUAAUUUGCAUCAUUUAGGUUGCACAAAUCAUUCCAAAUCAUGUUUUAUUUCAUGUAUUUUAGGUCCCUAGGGUUUGUUUUAGAACUUAGGAGAUGCAUUAGGUCCCAAUGAGUCUUUGCAUGUUUUGAGUGUCUAUCAGGUGAUUAUGGAGCUGAAAAGAUGAAUCCAGGAGGUGGAAUGGUGAGCAGAGCUUGAAAAAGUGGAAAACUUGAGUCUAUGGAGGUUAUCGGCCAUUCUCGCUGGCCAGGAAGGUUUUACCGGCCAUUUUCAUGUACUGCGGGAAGCUUUACCGGCCAUUUUCACGUACCGCGAAUUAAGUAUAUCGGCCAAAAUCUCCGGGUGCGAACGAGUCUCAGAAAUCACCUGUCCGGGGAGCCUUCCGGUCCGAUUCAGAUGGCGGGUCCUUCAUAGAAGUUGGAGAGCAUUGAAGCACGGUCUCAUAGCAAUUGGAAUCGUAGAAUUCGGACGCGUGAGCAGAGAGAUAAGCUCGUCGGAAGAAACCCCUGUCUCGCAGGUAUUCCGGACCGAGCAGAUCAGUUCUGAAGGAUGCGAAGGACGGUGCACUUCCAGGCCGAUUCAGCUUCCGGGUCCUUCAUGAGAAUCAGAGACAUUUGAGUUUUCUUUCCAGAACGUCCAAGAGCAUUCAAUUCGGAUCUAUGAGAAGGAAGAUACGGCCUCCGGAAUGGACACAUGUCUAGACGCCUCUCUCUGGUCGUAUACAUGCACUGCAAAGAUGUGCCCUCCAGGAAGCCUUCCACCUCCCAAGCACUGAAACUUCCUUCACAAAAGUUGGAGAUAAAUGAGUCCUCUGUCUUCUGCAACCGAAAUCAUUCAAUUCGGACAAGUAUCACAGGAGUUACACUCUCCGGAAUGCGAAGUGAUCUAAGCUGCUCUGGAUGCUGCGAGAUGGUCUUGCGACUUGGUUAACCCGCAGGCCUGAAGAUGAACACCUGAAUGCUGAUGCUGCGAGUUGAAAUGUGCGGGUAAACUAUCACUGGAAGAGGUCUGGAGCUCCCGAGCAAGAGAAAUGCUAAGUCCACAAUCGUGCGACUUAGGCAUGCGAGUCAUCCGCGCCUGGAUCUAUGCCGCACGAUCACUCGGAAUUCACUCCGACUCGAGCCUGCGACCUAAGUGCAAUAGAGACCAACCCGCACAGUUUCUACAUCCCCCAGAAACCGGCUCAGCCCUGCGAGUUGGAGAGGAAGGAGACCAUGCCGCAGAAACACUCGCAAUUUACUCCUAGAUAGGCGUGCGGCUCCGACAAGGUGAUUCAAGCCUCACAAGACAAGUCUUCAUCUACUGCGACUUAGGUGUGCGGCCUGGGACAUACUGAACCGACCCGCAGCUUUUCCCACUUUAUCCAUUAAAGCCGGGUCAGGACCCGGUUUGUUCCGGGCUGACCCGGUUCGUUUUUAAGAAGGUAUAAAUACUUUUUAGGGUUUUUUGGGGGAGAACUAAGUUUUAUUCCCUUUGUCUCUUGCCUUUUUGGUGAAAAGACUCCAUUAAGAAGAGAAAUAUCUUUAUUUGAGUGUUUAAUCAAGAGAGUUUAAGGAGAUCUGGGUGUUUAAAGCUGUUUUCUUUUGAAUCUAUCAUCUCCAUCUCCAUUUCUCAUCAUUAAUCAUGCUAAUCUACUCAACUUGCAAAAGUUUAAGAGAGAUUAGUAUGAUUAGUGAGUAGUCACCUUAAUGAGGUUCUAGAUGUGUAGGUUAGGGUGCUAAAGUGUUAGAUUAGGAGUGCUUAGGGCUAGAUUCAUUGAUUCAUCUCUCUAAACAGCUGUUCUCUAUGCUAAAUCCUUGAUAAUCACUUGAGAUCUAGAUUCUGGGAAUUUCAUGCACCAAAAGUGUUUGAUGAAAUUCCUGAAAGAGUUGUGUUAGAGGUUUAAGUAAUUUUUCAUCAUGGGAAUGAUUUGUUAAAUGCUUGAAUGAUCAUUAAGAGCUGUUUGUUAAUGCAUAUUGAUUCAUGUUUCACAAAUGGGAAUUUGGUUUGAAAAUGGAUUAGUAUAGGGGUUAAUACCUUCAUGAGAGGAUUAACCUAGAUUAGAGUUCUUAAUCAUUUGAAUCAUGUCUCAUCAUUGUCAUUAGCAUUUCUAGUUUAACACCAAGGCACCCUAACCAACUAUCAUGUCUAGAAUCUCAUGCCUCCAUCAUAUCAUAUUCACAUCAUUUGUCAUUGUCAUUUGUCUUUAAACCUGUUUAUGUUUAUAGUUGUCUCUAGAUUAAUCAAAACCUAUUCUUGUUUGCUUGAAUUAAGAACUUGAUCAUAUAGCUUAGUGUCUAACACCACAUCUGGAUUGAUAAACCUCUUUGUACUACAUUGACAAGGGGAUUGAUAGCCCUGAGACCCUUAAAAGUCAUAUCUAUCAAUUGGCGCCGUUGCCAAAUUGUGGUUUGAUUAGCAUUAAGCUCUGAUCUGUUCUUGAGAUCAAGUGCUUACUUUCUUGUUUUUACUGAUUCCUUUCAAGUUCUGUUUGUGAUUUCAGGUGUAUGAACACCAGGUCCAGAUCAAGAAGCUGCGGUCCUCCUUUUCCUCUAAACGACAACAUCAACCUUCUGGUACCAAGGAGGAGAAGAGACAGACGUGGUAGACAACUUGAUCAGACUGAGAUGGCCGACCAAGGAGAUCACGGGGUAGAUAUAGAACAACCAGUUCAGGAGCAACAGGCUCAAGGUCAGGGAGCUGGUAUUGGAAUUGGUCAGGGGUUUCACCAAGGCAAUGUUCAGCAGGAACAGGUGCACCACCAACAAGCCUAUGUCCACCAGGGACAAGCUCAGGCUCAUCAACAGAGGCAUCAGGCCAAUGUUCAACAAAGACACCAGGUGCACCACCAACCCCACCCUUUCCAACCACAACAAAGAAGAUAUGAGCAACCCCAAAUAUAUGUUGGCGAGAAUGACAGGGCCAAUGCUCAUCAGUAUGGGGCUGGUAUUCAGGCACCACCUGUGCAGAACAACAACUUUGAAGUGAAAGCAUCAUUGCUGAAUAUGGUCCAGAACUCAAAGUUCCAUGGGUUAGCAAUGGAAGAUCCCUUGGAACACUUGGACCAGUUUGAUAAGGUGUGUGAUCUGACCAAGAUUAAUGGAGUUUCAGAAGACAGCUUUAAGCUAAGACUAUUCCCAUUCAGUCUUGGUGACAAAGCUCAUCAAUGGGAGAAGAAUCUUCCAAGAGGCUCCAUUCAAACCUGGGAGCAAUGCAAGCAAGCCUUCUUAUCUAAGUUCUUCUCCACCUCAAGAACUGCAAAACUGAGAAACCAAAUCUCUAGCUUCACUCAGCACAGCAAUGAAAGUUUUGGUGAAGCAUAUGAGAGAUUCAGGAGCUACACAAACCAAUGCCCACACCAUGGGUUUAGUGAGGCUUCUCUUCUCAGCACACUGUAUAGGGGAGCUCUUCCCAAGAUUAGAAACCAGCUGGAUACUGCUUCCAAUGGGAACUUUCUGGGUAAAGAGAUUCAUGCUGCUUUAGAGCUAGUGGAGAACUUAGCAUUGAGCAAUGAUACUUAUGGUGAAGACUAUGACAGAUCAAAUAGGUAUGAAGGUUCAAGCUCAGAACAGAGGCUCACCAGAGAAGUUAAGGAGUUGAGGAGUGAAUUGGACAAGCUGAAAUUCACCACUCAGAAGCCAAUGCAUUUUGUUGGAGAGUAUGAGGAACCUUCUCAAAUUUUUGAGAACAUAAGUGAAGAAGGUCUUACCCAAGAGGAGCUCAACUACAUUGGGAAUCAGAGGUUCCAAAGAUAUCAGUAUGGUAAUGCCAAUCCAAACCUCUCUUACAGGAACACCAAUGUAGCUAACCCACAAGACCAGGUCUAUCCCAAUUCUCAAGCUCCAAAGAACUUUGUUCCCAAGCACAACUUUCAAGGGUCAUUCCAACCCAAGAAUCAAUUUGGUCAGAAUCAGAGUUUUGGUCAGCAACAGCAACCAUUUCAGGGCACUGGUUACACUUCACAGCAGCCAAAGGCACCACCAGGGUUUGGUCCACCACAGUUCCAACAGCAGGCGCCGGUUCAACAACAGUUUCAGCCACCAAUGGUUCAACAGCAGCCACAGAUGGGUACAGAUAUGGUUGGUAUUCUGCAACAACUACUUCAGGGUCAACAGACUAUGCAGCAGGAAAUCAAGGAACUGAAGCAAAACCAGGCAUCAAGCUCAAGGAACCAAGGUCACCUACCUGGAAAACCAGAACCCAACCCCAAGGAAUAUGCCAAGGCCAUAACACUGAGGAGUGGCAAGGAGUUACCUGGUAUUGAGAACAACAAUGUGAUCAUUGAGGACAAUGAUCAACCUGAGGGGGAGGCAGCCUUAAAGGAUGAUCAAGUUGCUGAGAAACCAAGGUCAGAAAAGGGUAAAGAGGUAGCAAAGGAACCAGAACCAGAGAAGAAGUAUGUGCCACCACCUCCAUACCAACCCAAGCUCCCAUUUCCAGGGAGAUUUAAGAAGCAACUAGUGGACAAGGCAAGAGCUGUAUUUGAGAAGGCACUCAAAGAGACACCACUCACAAUGCCUCUCAUUGAUGCAUUCUUAAUGAUGCCAAAGAUGGGGAAGUUUUUGAAGGAUGCUAUUCUGAACAAGACAAAAGAGCUUCAAGGCAUGGUAGUACUAAGUCAUGAAUGCAGUGCUAUCAUUCAAAGGAAGUCCAUUCCAAGGAAGUUAACUGAUCCAGGGAGCUUCACACUCCCCUGUGCCAUUGGACCUCUUCUAUUCUCUGGAUGUCUUUGUGAUUUAGGAGCAUCAGUCAGCUUGAUGCCAUUCUCCAUAGCACAGAAGCUGGGCUUUAGAGUUUUCAAACCUUCAAAGAUUUCUCUUAUCCUUGCAGAUAGAUCAGUUAGAUUGCCUGUUGGUAUGUUGGAAGAUCUACCUGUCAAGAUAGGUGGUUUUGAGGUUCCAACAGAUUUUGUUGUGCUGGAGAUGGAUGAAGAGCCAGUAGAUCCUCUUAUCUUGGGCAGACCAUUCUUAGCCACUGCAGGAGCUAUUAUUGAUGUGAGAGGUGGGAUAAUAGAGCUUCAACUUGGGUCUGAAAAGCUCAAGUUUGAUGUGAAUGAGAUGAUGAAGAAGCCCACCAUUGAAGGUCAAUGUUUCUAUGUAGAGACAAUGGAUCAGUUGGCUGAUGAGUUGCUUGAGGAGCUGAACACAGAGGAUCCUCUUCAAGCUACUCUGACUCAAGAACAAGGAGACAAUGGGCUCUUGGCUGAAGCAAGUGAAGGGUAUAAGCUGUAUCUGGACAAUGCAAGAGAGCUGGGUCCUGAAACAAGGUUUGUGGAGCUGGAACAGAAUGGCACUGAGGUUUUUGCAAUCCAAGAAUCAGUCACCAGCCAAAGCAGCUUGGACCAGGACUGGAAUGAGGCUGAUGCACCCUCUGUUGAGCUCAAACCUCUACCAACAGGGCUCAGGUAUGCUUUCUUAGGACUAAACUCCACAUAUCCUGUCAUCAUCAAUGAUAGCCUAUUAGAGGACCAAGAGAGUGCAUUGCUGAAUGAAAUAAGAAAGUUCAGGAGAGCCAUAGGGUAUUCUUUGGCUGAUAUUAGAGGGAUCUCUCCUGACAUCUGCACCCAUAGGAUCCACCUAGAGGACCAAUCUAUGUCCUCUAUUGAGCACCAACGUAGACUUAACCCCAACCUUAGGGAAGUGGUUAAGAAGGAGAUACUAAAGCUUCUUGAGGCAGGGAUAAUUUACCCAAUCUCUGACUCAAGAUGGGUAUCUCCUGUUCAUGUUGUGCCCAAGAAAGGUGGGAUCACGGUGGUGAAAAACGAUAAGGAUGAACUCAUAGCUCAAAGAACCAUAACUGGCCACCGCAUGUGCAUUGACUAUAGGAAAUUGAAUUCUGCUUCUAGAAAAGAUCAUUUUCCUUUACCAUUCAUUGAUCAAAUGCUUGAGAGGUUAGCUAAUCAUCCUUAUUUUUGUUUUCUCGAUGGGUACUCUGGAUUUUUCCAAAUUCCCAUAGAUCCAAGAGAUCAAGAGAAAACAACAUUCACAUGCCCUUAUGGCACUUAUGCUUAUAGGAGAAUGCCUUUCGGUUUAUGUAAUGCACCGGCUACUUUUCAAAGGUGUAUGAUGCACAUUUUCUCUGACAUUAUUGAAGAGAAAGUUGAGGUGUUCAUGGAUGACUUUAGUGUCUAUGGCUCCUCCUUCUCGGAUUGUCUCUCUAAUUUGACACAGGUGUUGGAGAGAUGUGAGCAACACAGCUUGGUGCUGAACUGGGAGAAGUGUCAUUUCAUGGUGCAAGAAGGGAUAGUUCUUGGGCACAAGAUCUCUGAAAAGGGCAUUGAGGUUGAUAAGGCAAAGGUGGAGGUUAUGGUGAAUCUGCAAACCCCCACUUCAGUUAAAGGGAUAAGGAGCUUCCUGGGUCAUGCAGGGUUUUAUAGAAGAUUCAUAAAGGACUUCUCAAGGAUUGCCAGGCCCUUAACAAGACUGUUGUGCAAGGAGGUGGAUUUCAUCUUUGAUGUUGAAUGUGAAGAAGCCUUUAAGUUGAUCAAGGAGGCAUUGGUUAGUGCACCAAUAGUUCAGGCACCAGACUGGUCCCUACCUUUUGAGGUCAUGACAGAUGCUUCUGACUUUGCUGUUGGAGCAGUACUUGGACAAAAGAAAGACAAGAAGUUGCAUGUGAUCUACUAUGCCAGUAGAACACUUGACUCUGCCCAAGAGAAGUAUGCUACAACUGAAAAGGAAAUGCUGGCAAUAGUUUUUGCCUUUGAUAAGUUCAGAAGCUACCUGGUGGGAUCAAAGGUCAUUGUGUAUACUGAUCAUGCAGCCCUCAGGUACUUGAUGACCAAGAAAGAUGCCAAACCAAGGCUGUUGAGAUGGGUUCUAUUGCUCCAAGAGUUUGAUAUGGAGGUGCUUGAUAAAAAGGGGAUUGAGAAUGGUGCUGCAGACCAUCUCUCAAGGCUGAGGAUUGAAGAAAAAGUCCCCAUAGAUGAUGCUUUGCCUGAAGAGUCUCUGAUGGUGCUCCAUUCAUACUUGGAGUUUGAGGAAGUAGAGAGCAUUCAAGAAAGGAGGAUGCCUUGGUUUGCAGAUAUAGUGAACUAUCUUGCAUGUGGGGUGGAGCCCCCUGAAUUGGAUGCUUACAAGAGAAAAAAAUUCUUCAGAGAUGUCCAGAGAUACUAUUGGGAUGAGCCCUACCUCUAUGUUCUGAACAAGGAUCAGUUAUACAGAAGAUGUCUUGCUGAAGAGGAGAUGCAACCUGUGUUGCAGGAAUGUCAUGGUUCUGCUUUUGGAGGUCACAUGGGGGCAUUCAAAACUGUAGCAAAGGUUCUUCAAAGUGGGUUCUGGUGGCCUACAAUGUUCAAAGAUGCCCAAUUGGUGGUUUCAGCUUGUGAUGCCUGUCAGAGGCAUGGAAAUAUAUCUAAAAGAAGUGAGAUGCCUCAGAACCCCAUUCUAGAAGUGGAGAUCUUUGAUUGUUGGGGGAUUGACUUUAUGGGACCUUUUAUUUCAUCCUUUGGAAAUCAAUACAUACUUGUUGCUGUGGACUAUGUGUCCAAAUGGGUUGAGGCCAUUGCUUCCCCUACCAAUGACUCCAAGGUUGUAGUCAAGCUGUUUAAGAGCAUCAUAUUUCCAAGGUUUGGAGUUCCAAGGGUUGUCAUUUCUGAUGGAGGAUCCCACUUUUUGAACAAGACUCUGGAAGGUUUAUUGAGAAAGCAUGGAGUUAAACACAAGAUAGCUACUCCAUAUCAUCCCCAAACUAGUGGCCAAGUGGAGGUAUCUAAUAGACAAAUCAAGGCCAUUCUGGAAAGGACUGUCAGCUCAACCAGAAAAGAUUGGAGCAAAAGGCUGGAUGAUGCAUUAUGGGCUUACAGGACUGCCUUUAAAACUCCAAUUGGAACAUCACCAUUCAGUCUGCUAUAUGGGAAGAGCUGCCACCUUCCUGUGGAGUUGGAGUACAAAGCUAUGUGGGCUGUGAAGUUUCUAAACUUUGAUAUCAAAACAGCUCAGGAGAAAAGAAUCAUGCAACUCCAUGAGCUUGAGGAGAUUAGGCUUGAGGCUUUUGAAAGCUCAAAGAUCUAUAAGGAGAAGACCAAAGUCCUGCAUGACCAAAAGAUUUUAAAGAGAGAGUUCAAGUGUGGUGAUUUGGUCUUGCUUUUCAACUCCAGACUUAAGUUGUUUCCAGGAAAGCUUAAGUCUAGGUGGUCUGGACCUUUCAAAGUUCUUGAAGUGAGGCCUUAUGGUGCCAUUGUCUUGGAAGGAAAAAAUGGUCAGGAAUUUGUGGUGAAUGGACAGAGAGUCAAGCAUUACUUAGUUUCACAAGGGAAAGAGGAAGCUACAUCAGUUCCUCUCUGAUCACCAGCUGUUAACCAGUUCUCAAAGUCAAACUUAGAGACUUUAAACAAAGUGCUCUUGGGGAGACACCCCAAGCUUAUCUUUNNNNNNNNNNNNNNNNNNNNNNNNNNNNNNNNNNNNNNNNNNNNNNNNNNNNNNNNNNNNNNNNNNNNNNNNNNNNNNNNNNNNNNNNNNNNNNNNNNNNCGAGUUUGCAACUAUCUCUCACUUUUCUCUCCAUGUUUUCACCAUAUCUCUCUCAUUCUCCACCAAAAUUGUUGAUUCAAAGUGCUCUGAGCUCGUUUUGAGUUGCUAACAUCAUCCUGAUUGCAUUUCGAACUUGUUGCAUCUUAAUCCCAAGGUAUUUCGCCCUGUUGAAACUCAUCUCUUUCCAUGUUCUUCAAUGGUGAUUUUUUUUUUUUUUUUGAACUUUAAAGUGUGGAAUCGAUUUUGAUAGGUUGUUUUAGACCUUGGGAUUAUUUUUAUAAAUGCUAGGGUGCUAGAUAGUCUUGGAAAACAGAGCACUUUGUUUGUAAUUACCUGUUCUUGAAUUUUGAAAAUUGUUGCAACAAUUUUUUUCAAAAUUUUGAGACUUUUGUGAGGUUCAUCCUUGUACUAACAAUAUUUUUGAGAAUCUCUUGGCAGAUGACUGAAAGAACCAACUCUUUGGCCAAGAAGAAGGGCCCUGCAUCAAAAGGCAAAGGUUUGGUCUCAGGAACUUCAAAGCCAAGAAACAAAGGUCAGGGUGCAAAGAAUACUACAAAGCAAGGAAAGUGUGAUCCAGCGCCAAAAAGGACAAGGCCUGAAGGAAGAGCUUUGGUGGUUGCUUCUGGUUCCAAGAAAAAGGGGAAACAGUUGGCUGUGGUAUCUGAGAGUGAACAGACUGAAAGUGACUCCGGCAGCUCAGCUGGUGGUUCCCAAGGCACCAAUGAAGAGGGAUCAAAGAAGUUCAAGAAAACUGAACCAGAAACACCUGAUUAUCUGGCUAAGUUUCAGCAGAUAGAGAUCCAGCAAGGGAGAUUCCCUGAUUUGGACUUUCUGAAGAAGAUUGGCCUCUAUGAAGAUGUCAAGACUUUGCUUGGGAACAUGGGUGUUGAGUCACUUUUGGAGAUGAGAGAAAUCGCUUAUGAGCAAGAGUCCCAAGAGUUCUUGGCCUCCUUUGAAGCUUUCAUUUACUACCCAAGGGAUUCAAGAAUCAUUCAAGGAGAUGGGCUUGGACAUGUGGAGUUUACUGUGAAAGGGAAGGAAUAUUCAGUGUCAUUCAGAGAAUUGAGUAAGAUCUUUGAGUUUUCAACACCUAGAAAUGAAUUUCUCUCCAACUCGGUCAAUCUCAGAAAAGAUGAGAUCCAACUUCUAUGGAGAUCAAUUGCUUCUGGGAAGUACACAGCUGGAACAGCUAAGGCCUCUUGGAUAAGGAAUCCAGUUCUGAGAUAUGUACACAAGGUUCUCUCUCACAGCUUCUACUUCAAGAUUGAUGUUGGAAGAGUUCACAAAGGAGAUCUGCUGCUUCUGGGUGUAGGGCUGAGGCCGCUGAUGCCAACACAUGAAGAUGGGGAACCCUAUGUAGGGUAUGAAUACCCACUUUGCCUUGCAUCUCAAUUAGCAAGGUCUUUGAUGUUCUACAAAAAGUGCAUGUGGGAUUCUACAAACAAAGAUGCAAAGCUGACCCAUGGAUGGGUGGUAACAAAGAUCUUGAAAGCCAUGGGGUAUAGAUUCAAGGAGAACAAGGCAAAGUUUGAUCUGAUUAAUGAAGCACAUUUGUGUAGGAUUGGCUUUCUCCAAGGAAGAGUGGGUACCAAGGCAGUCUACAACUUCAAGACACUCAUCAGUGAGCCAGCCCAAGUUCUCCUACCCAAUCCCUCCAUCACCACAGUCCAAGUUAAAAGGAACAUUCACUUCUUCUUGCUGAAGGAAGAGCUGUACAAUGUCCAAACUGAUCCACCAAUCCUCACAUACAGGCAAGCUUGCAGAGAAGAAGCCUCCAAGGGAAAGAAAGCAACCGCUGAAGAUGCUACCACAAGUGCAGCUGGUGCUCACGAUGCUGAUCUGCCUCCACCUCAAAAACGUUUUGGUGGAAACAGAUAUCACUUUGAUGAUUACAACUGGGAGGAACCAGGCACUUCAGGGUUCAGAGCUCAACAGAAGAUUGGUAUUCUCCAACAAUGGUGCAAGUACCAAGACAAAACCAUCCACAAGAUGGCCAAGUGCAUCAAGGAGAUGAAGAAGAGGAUCAAGAAGCUUGAAAACCCUUGCAAAGGUGGGGCUCCAGCACCAGUUUCACCAAGAAACAGAGAGGAAGUUGGGGAGAGUUCCAUGAACUGCACAGCCUUGGUCGCAUAUGGAACCACUUGGGUAGAUCUUGACGACGGGAGUGAUGAAGCCAGCCACCAUUCUUGGGAAACACCGUCAGGCCACACAUCGAACCCCUCCUACUCAUUGGGGUCUGAUUUCAACAGCCACUAGGUAACACUCAAAACCUUGUAAAUAGCAUGUAGACUUUUUUUUUUCCUUUUGCAUUUUGCUUGUUUGCUUUGGUUUCACUUCUUUCUCAUACUUUUAUAACACAAGGGACUGUGUUAUUUAAGUGUGGGGGAGGAGUUUCAUCCUUUACUAACCAUGUUUUCUAUUUUCUCAUUUUACACUUUGAGUCUUGAGUCACAUUCUAGUUGCAUAGUCAUCUAAGUGCAUAUAAAAACCAAAAAAAAAAAAAUGGAAAAAUCUGAAAAAUUUUCACAAAAAAAUGAUCAUGUAGUUGCAUUCUCAUUUUUAAGAUUGAGUCUAGAUUGCAUUUGCAUAUAGGUUGCAUCUUGCAAGGAGUAAUGAUAGGUUUUCUAGAGAGUACAUCACUUUGAGAACUUGAAUUGAAUAUGCUUGUGAAUCUUUUUCUAUGCUUGCAAAGUCUGAAAUGAUUUGAAUCUGAGAAGCAAGUUUGAAUUGAACUCAACUCUAAUUAAGUGGAAACCUUGAACUUGACCUGAAAAUAUCUUGUGAUGCAUUGUUUGAAAAAGCUUGUGGAUACCAAUAUACAUACUUGAGCUAGAACCACUGUUUUUACCACUCUUUUCCUUAGCUCAAGUAGCUGAAUCCACAUCAUGGAUCAGUUCCCACACCUUGAACCCAUCCUUCUUUUAAGCCAAUGUUUGUGUGUGAAUUGAAAGGCCACCUUGGAUCAAACUUAGCAGAAAGUGUUAGGUUUAGAGCGACAAGGGCAGGUCUCAUUGAGUGCUGUGUUCCAACAUCAAGGAACUGAGAGUUUUGGCGAGGAAUAAGUGUGGGGGAAAAGACUUUUUGGUGAGUGGAAAAAGGUGAGAUGAGUGGAAAGAGAGAGUGAAAAUAACUAGGGGAAUGAAAGAAAAAGAAGUCAGUCUUGGUGUUUUGAGAAAGUGAGCUCUGGUUUGUUGAAAAGAAAAAUCUAGCCUCUAAGUGAAAAAGAAAGAAAAGAAGCCAAAAGCUCAAAUGUUUUGAUAAGAAAGAAAGAAGAGGCUAGAAGUUGUAAAAGAAAAAGAGCUGUGUAAAGUUUGAGUUCCAAGACUUGAGAGUGAAAGUGAAGAACAAAUCCCCUAGUGAGAGAAAAAUGAGUGUGAAAAGUGAGGUCUUUGAGCAAGAGAGGAAGCUUUGAGUAGAGGGUGGGGAGUGAUGAGUCUUUGCCCUUGUAUGCAUAGGUUGCUUUUUACCUUUAGCAUUCUGCCAAAGUUUGAUCAUUCAUAGAGAGAUCCCUUUGCUGCAUUUAACCCACUUGAACACUGAUGAGAUCAUUUUAAUCUCAUAGCCUCUCCCUAGCCAAGCCAGCUUGUUUAAACCUUGCAUCAUGAGAUCCACCUGAUAAAAGCUUAAUGAAUGUGAAAGAGUUGAGAGAGAGAAGAACUUGUGGAGAUUCCUUGCUGAGUUGACAUAUAUCUGAGUAUGGCUUUGCAUUGCAUAAUUGAGCAUGAACUUGAAUUCUCAUUGUGAUCACUUCUCUCAAAAAGAAAAUGUGAACUCCCAUUGCAUACAACCUCUUUCUCUCAUUUGCUCUUUUUGCUUGAGGACAAGCAAAGGACAAGUGUGGGGGAGUUGAUAUGUUCAUAAUUUGCAUCAUUUAGGUUGCAUAAAUCAUUCCAAAUCAUGUUUUAUUUCAUGUAUUUUAGGUCCCUAGGGUUUGUUUUAGAACUUAGGAGAUGCAUUAGGUCCCAAUGAGUCUUUGCAUGUUUUGAGUGUCUAUCAGGUGAUUAUGGAGCUGAAAAGAUGAAUCCAGGAGGUGGAAUGGUGAGCAGAGCUUGAAAAAGUGGAAAACUUGAGUCUAUGGAGGUUAUCGGCCAUUCUCGCUGGCCAGGAAGGUUUUACCGGCCAUUUUCAUGUACUGCGGGAAGCUUUACCGGCCAUUUUCACGUACCGCGAAUUAAGUAUAUCGGCCAAAAUCUCCGGGUGCGAACGAGUCUCAGAAAUCACCUGUCCGGGGAGCCUUCCGGUCCGAUUCAGAUGGCGGGUCCUUCAUAGAAGUUGGAGAGCAUUGAAGCACGGUCUCAUAGCAAUUGGAAUCGUAGAAUUCGGACGCGUGAGCAGAGAGAUAAGCUCGUCGGAAGAAACCCCUGUCUCGCAGGUAUUCCGGACCGAGCAGAUCAGUUCUGAAGGAUGCGAAGGACGGUGCACUUCCAGGCCGAUUCAGCUUCCGGGUCCUUCAUGAGAAUCAGAGACAUUUGAGUUUUCUUUCCAGAACGUCCAAGAGCAUUCAAUUCGGAUCUAUGAGCAGGAAGAUACGGCCUCCGGAAUGGACACAUGUCUAGACGCCUCUCUCUGGUCGUAUACAUGCACUGCAAAGAUGUGCCCUCCAGGAAGCCUUCCACCUCCCAAGCACUGAAACUUCCUUCACAAAAGUUGGAGAUAAAUGAGUCCUCUGUCUUCUGCAACCGAAAUCAUUCAAUUCGGACAAGUAUCACAGGAGUUACACUCUCCGGAAUGCGAAGUGAUCUAAGCUGCUCUGGAUGCUGCGAGAUGGUCUUGCGACUUGGUUAACCCGCAGGCCUGAAGAUGAACACCUGAAUGCUGAUGCUGCGAGUUGAAAUGUGCGGGUAAACUAUCACUGGAAGAGGUCUGGAGCUCCCGAGCAAGAGAAAUGCUAAGUCCACAAUCGUGCGACUUAGGCAUGCGAGUCAUCCGCGCCUGGAUCUAUGCCGCACGAUCACUCGGAAUUCACUCCGACUUGAGCCUGCGACCUAAGUGCAAUAGAGACCAACCCGCACAGUUUCUACAUCCCCCAGAAACCGGCUCAGCCCUGCGAGUUGGAGAGGAAGGAGACCAUGCCGCAGAAACACUCGCAAUUUACUCCUAGAUAGGCGUGCGGCUCCGACAAGGUGAUUCAAGCCUCACAAGACAAGUCUUCAUCUACUGCGACUUAGGUGUGCGGCCUGGGACAUACUGAACCGACCCGCAGCUUUUCCCACUUUAUCCAUUAAAGCCGGGUCAGGACCCGGUUUGUUCCGGGCUGACCCGGUUCGUUUUUAAGAAGGUAUAAAUACUUUUUAGGGUUUUUUGGGGGAGAACUAAGUUUUAUUCCCUUUGUCUCUUGCCUUUUUGGUGAAAAGACUCCAUUAAGAAGAGAAAUAUCUUUAUUUGAGUGUUUAAUCAAGAGAGUUUAAGGAGAUCUGGGUGUUUAAAGCUGUUUUCUUUUGAAUCUAUCAUCUCCAUCUCCAUUUCUCAUCAUUAAUCAUGCUAAUCUACUCAACUUGCAAAAGUUUAAGAGAGAUUAGUAUGAUUAGUGAGUAGUCACCUUAAUGAGGUUCUAGAUGUGUAGGUUAGGGUGCUAAAGUGUUAGAUUAGGAGUGCUUAGGGCUAGAUUCAUUGAUUCAUCUCUCUAAACAGCUGUUCUCUAUGCUAAAUCCUUGAUAAUCACUUGAGAUCUAGAUUCUGGGAAUUUCAUGCACCAAAAGUGUUUGAUGAAAUUCCUGAAAGAGUUGUGUUAGAGGUUUAAGUAAUUUUUCAUCAUGGGAAUGAUUUGUUAAAUGCUUGAAUGAUCAUUAAGAGCUGUUUGUUAAUGCAUAUUGAUUCAUGUUUCACAAAUGGGAAUUUGGUUUGAAAAUGGAUUAGUAUAGGGGUUAAUACCUUCAUGAGAGGAUUAACCUAGAUUAGAGUUCUUAAUCAUUUGAAUCAUGUCUCAUCAUUGUCAUUAGCAUUUCUAGUUUAACACCAAGGCACCCUAACCAACUAUCAUGUCUAGAAUCUCAUGCCUCCAUCAUAUCAUAUUCACAUCAUUUGUCAUUGUCAUUUGUCUUUAAACCUGUUUAUGUUUAUAGUUGUCUCUAGAUUAAUCAAAACCUAUUCUUGUUUGCUUGAAUUAAGAACUUGAUCAUAUAGCUUAGUGUCUAACACCACAUCUGGAUUGAUAAACCUCUUUGUACUACAUUGACAAGGGGAUUGAUAGCCCUGAGACCCUUAAAAGUCUUAUCUAUCAUCCAUCUAACAUUUUACUUUCGUUUUAUGAAUAAGUUCUCUUUCCCUUAGCUGUUUUAGGAUUUGAUGUACUUAAUCGAUCAAGAAAACAUGGUCACCAUUCCAAUGUUCAUUAAUUACCAACAUCAAAAGAAUAAUAUUGCAAAUCUAAUUGAAAUCUUCAAAAUGUGAAUACAAAAUGGUUUCUACAUAAAAAUAUAAGGCCGGAAUAAUAUGAUAUACCUUUACAUAAUCAUUAAAUGGUUUUUUUAAAUUACGUGUUUUCUUUCGAGAUUAUUGCUCCCUUGCCAACAUCAAUGAUGACGUUUAUUCCACGUCAAAUAUGACAUGGCAAAGGCGCUAGCUCUGCACAAUUUCAUUGGAUGCUAAUGCUGAUGUGUAAUUUUUGUCCAAGUUUUUCUGAUUUAAAAAAACAAAAAAAAAGUGAAAAUCAUAAACGGAUAAACAUGCGGAUCUUUAUACCCGAUCUAGCCCAAUUAUCUGUAUUUUAAAAACAUCCUUUGGCCCAAUAAUUCAUACAUUCCCAUUUUUAAAAUUUUUGAAAUUAUGGUUUUUAAAAACUUUCCGCGUAAGAAAAUAGAAAUUUUUCCCAAAAUGGAAGAUUACAUUAACUAUUAGCAAGAUUUACCGGAGUUAAUGUAACAAUAUAUACAGAAAUUUUAAUAUUUCAAAAAGAAACACGAAUUUAUCUUACAUUUUAAUACUAUACGUCAAUUUUGGCAAUUAAAUCAAUUUGAAUAUAUUGAUUCUCAAAUAUUUCCGCAACAAUAUCUACUUCUACGCACAUUCCGAAUAUCCAUAUUCUUCAUUUCAUUCUUUUUUUUCAAAAUAAUUUAAAUCCCGCCUAACAUCAAUUUUAAAAAGUUCUCAUUGACUUCCUCUCCCUAUAUACCUAUCCUAAACCCUAAAACUCUACAAUUCUCAUUCACAAAAAUGGCUUUAGUCCGCAAACGUUCGGCUGCUCUAGUUCCAUUUGCCAAAUUAGGUCAAUCAAGUGAAAUUCAGAAAAUUAGAGCUAUUAUAUUUUUACUUUGGAAAGUCAAGAACAGGCAGUCUGGCUUUGUUAUAUAUAGAAAUGAUAUUGGUUGACAAAGAAGUUUGUAUGCGAUCUUAUGCAUUUUGUUUAUUGUUAUUUUAAUCAAUCUAUAGAUUAUAUAGUAAUACUAUUUGUGUGAUUCACAGGGCACUAGGAUUCACGCUACGUUGAUGAAGAAUUGAUCGCAAAAGAUAAAUGCAUCCUUAUAGAAGGAAAAUCACUUUCUAUUAAUUGCUUCAUCAUUAAAGAAUACUAUAGUGAUUUUAGGACUACUCCAUUACCAUACAAGAUUGCUUUGUGCAGAACAACCCGUGCUAAGGAGAUCAAUGAUUUUCCAUCAGACUUGCCAGAGAAAUAUUUUUCUGAUUUCAAGUCAAUCAAGGAAGACAAACUCGACAAAAACGUCCUAAUCGGUAUGUCAUCAUCGCGAUAUUGAAAAUUAUAUUCUAAUGUACAUAUUUAUCAUUGUAUACAAAUAUUUUGUCUUCAAGAUGUCAUUGGACAAAUUGUCACCAUUGGGAGUAUGGAAGUUAUAAAAACUAAAGUAAAAAGUGGGAUCAGCGAGAAAUUGAUGAUAACACUCCGGGACACCAAGUAAGUAGUUAUGAUAUCAUACCAAAAUAAACAUAACAAUAUUUUAACAAUGGAACGCUAAUAUGUUUAUUGCUGAAGUGAUGUCCAACUGAAAUGUACACUAUGGGGACAAUAUGCAAAAGCAACUGUUGAGUACACUGACAAGCAUAUGGCUGUUAUUGUUGUGUGUGUAAUGCGAUUUUUCUGUAUAAAAGAGUACAAAGGUUAGAUCACUAUAUCCCCUAUUCAUAUAUACACAGUUUUGUAGAGAUUGGUAUUGGAUUAGAUUGUUAAUUAUUCUUAUUUUAUGUUUUUCGAGUAUAGGUGACAAUUCAAUAUCAAACGCUUUCAACUCCACCAAAAUUUUGUUUGAUCCUGACGUCAAGAUCGUGAAAGACUUCAGAGAAAAGUAUGUUAUGUGACAAUUUUAAUAUCAUUUUAACAUUGUUUUAUUUAUAUAGUUAUUGUUUACAGUUUUGUAGGUUGCUAAAAAACAAUCAAAUGAUUGUGCAUGCUGAACAGAGUUAUUCGACUUCUUGGGGUGGUGCUAUUGACUACCGUGAAUAAUUUUUAGGUGUGAAAAAUAGGAGGCGGACGAUAGCUGGAAUUCGUGAUAAAAAAGUGGCAUGAGCUAUAUUUUAUUCAUGGUACAAAUAUAUUUAUAUUUCACUAUAUACAUAUUAAUGGUUUUGUUAUAACCUGGCAAGAUUUUAACAUGCGUAAUGGUCAAAGACGUUGACACUUCAAAGCUGUGGUAUUAUUGGGCAUGCAAACCUUGCAUCAUCAAAGUUUUAGAGCAUGACAUUAUGUCUGAUGAUGAAGAUUACGAUAAGAGGAUUCCUCUUUUCAGUUGCAAAAAUUGUGGAUAUAUCUAUUCAUAUGAUACCAUCGUCGCAAGGUAAUACAAUGAUUUGUCCCAUAAAGUCAAGAAAACAUUACUUAUUUCAUUAAGACUUUCUUUGGUAUGAUAUAUAGCAGAUAUAGCAGAAUUAUUUCAUGUAGACUUUCUCUGAUUGACUGGCUAAAUGUUCGCCUUAUUUUAUUACAUUGAUUUGUCCCAUCAUACAUUUAUUCCAACAUUACAUUACAUGUUUAUUCAUGUAACGUUUAAAUAACUCACUCUUCUGUUUCCUUUCAAACUAUGUAGGUACUAUAUUGUAUUAUUUGUAACUGAUGAUUCAGACGUCGAUGUCCGCUUCCUGAUGUUUGAUGACACUGCUCAAAGAUUGUUGGGUCAUUCAGCUGAGUCUAUAAUGGAACAAAAUGAUGAGGUUAUUCGUUAAAUAAUUGUAUACAUUAUGCAUUAUUUACAUUUUCUGAAAUAAUAUUAAUCCAUUAUAUAUAAUGAUGCGCAGGAUUUACCAAGAGGGCUCCCUGAUGGCUUGACAAAGCUCCUAACCAUGAGGAUGCUUUUCAAAAUAACAGUUUCAGAAGAGCAUACAAAAGGAAGCCAGUCUCCGUAUGUAGUAGAAUGGUCUCAAGAUGUCGAAAUUAUGACUGAGUGGGAUUCUCGAUCAGUGGUAAUAUAUAGGAUAAAUUUUACAAACUUCUCAAGCUCGCUUAUCUGAUCGUUUAGUUAAAUUAAGACGUCAACAAUGUUUUAUAUUUUCAGCAACCGUUGAUGCUUACGAGUUCUGACGAACUUGAGAAUCCAUCGUCUGGAUCUUUACUCAUUCCUUCAUCUAAGAAGCUAAUUAAGAGUCCUGACUAUUUUGAUGAAGGUGAAAGAUCUGUUAACAAAAAGCGACCGAAGCAAGAGAUCCCGAUGAAGUUAUGAAGAAGCAAAAAAUCGUAAUGAACUUAUUGCAGAAAUGCAUUGCUGGUGAUUGAUUAUUGAUUUUGAUCUUUAUAACAAAUUUGUCCAAUGGAUGGAUAACGUUUGAACUCUCUUCGUUAUUUUUUGCGGUAUUUGUGGAAUUUUUUUGGCAUUUUUUAUUUAAUUGUGAAACUUGAAUGUUGCCCUAGAAUUUUUUUUCAUAAUUCAUUUUUUGAAACUUUAAUUUGUGAUUUAAAUUUUUUUGGUUCAACCAACUGUCAUAAAUUUACACGAGAGUUUCAAUUAAGACGACAUUAAAACCAUAACCGUUUUACUCCAUCACAUAGAAAACUAUUCAUUUCGUUAUUCUCUUUCAUCUUCAAUCUUAGCAAAAUAUUAAAACAAAGAAUGUCUCCUAGUGAAAGAGUUUCCGAUCUUCAGAAGAAAAACGGCGGAUAUCGUAUUUGUGUACAUAUACUAAGAGAUUAUUAUGAUUAUACUCUCUUCGAUCGACCUAAUUGGAUGUUAGUUCUUGCGGAUGAAUUUGUAAGUUUUGGAGGUUUGAAAAGAUUUACCAUAUAUAUGUUUUAGGAAUGUAUUUGUUAAUUAUUUAUCUUUGUAAACCGUGUAGGGCAAUCGCAUCCUGUCUACUAUUCAAUAUGAUAUAAUAGACAAAUUUGAGUAUGAAUUGGUUGAAGGAGAUUGGGUGGUUCUUGGUAAUUUUGAAGUUGCUGACAGAGUGAUUUGUCCAAGUAUAUCAUCAAACAACUAUCAUAUACAUUUCCUCGAGGAUACCAUUGUUGAGAAAACUGAUCUGAAGUCUUCCAGAGGAAUAUACUCUUUUUGUGCAUUCAUGAAUAUUUUAUAUAGAUUUAUUCAUAUAGAUAGAUAUCUUGCUAUCUUUCUUACAACUUUUUAUUUUAAAUCGUUUAUCUAAGGAACUUCAACAUGUAUUUAAAGGCAGUCCUUUAUUUUUGCAGUUGUUCUUCUCGGUGUUGUCACAUUUGUUCAGAAACUUCAGUUAUGAUCAGACACACCCACGCAACGUCCACUUAUUCGUUUUAAAAUUCAAGAUUUCAGGUCUGUUAUCCUCAAAACAUCUGUUAUGUGUAUAUUGUUUACAAAUUUUAAAGUAUAUUAAUAAUGUUCUAAAUUAUUUAAAUAUACAGUGGAGAAUCUUUGAAAUGUAUUGCUUGGGAUAACUUGGCAAGGAAAUUUGAAGAACUUUGGAGGAAUCGUGAAAGGUCUUCUAGGCAUAUUAUUGUAUUGUGAUUUUUCUCUUUCACUAGACGGAGAAGUAACUAACUACUUCAUUAUUUGAUAUUUUUAAUUAAUUACAAGUUUUACAUAUAUAUUUUUCCGUAUAUUGAGUAUGUCUAUGUAUUUAGAUGAAUGGAUAGUUGAAUUGGAAAGAUUCAUAUCUGAUAUUCUCGAGGAUCCUCCUAUCCCAGAAGUGGAAAGAGCAGGGUUGAGGUAUGUUUAUUCCAUCUUUGAUAUUGUAUUCUAUAUUUUAAUAUUUAUAAAUAUAUAUAUAUAUAUAUAUAUAUAUGUAUAAUGAUAAAAAAAAUCCUAAUAUUAUUUCAGGCUUGCAACUUCAAUUGAUUUUUCUCCGGUCCACGAUGAAUAUGAAGACCAGUCUAAGUAAAAGAGAUUAUUGUUUCCUAUUUCUUAUUUUUAUAGUGUUAAACUUGAAAAUCUAUAUUAUUCUGAUUGAAAAAAACUUAUCCAAUGACAAUAUAUAUAUAUUUUUUAAAAAACAAUUUAAUUGUGUUAGCAUUUUUUCGUGAAGCGUAUUCUAUUUGAUUUCAACAAAAAAAUAAUUAUGAUAUUCAAAAUUAGGAUGCUCCGUGAUAUGUGUCUGUAUUAAAAAAAUAGAGUAGGUAAAUUCUGGUAUUGUACUCUCAUUAAUUAUUUGUAAUUAAUGAAAUGAAGUAAUUAACUUAAUUAAAGAGAAGUAGUCAGUACAAUAUAUGACAUUUUUCUACCAUCUUUACAUAUUUUUCUACAUAUAAUUAAUCAAUAUAAAAGUCAAAUAUACCUAUGAAUUGAAUGUAACAAAUUUGGUUUGUUCGUAAGUCACUUAGUGCAAUAAAUGUCAAAGGUUGCAAUUUAUUCUAAUUUUACAAAACAACACAACUUUUCAGACCCUAUACUUGCUUUGCUAUACAUAUAAAGGACCAAAGUAAAAAAAUGUCUGGCCAUCUUAACUAAAAAAAACCUAAAGUCCCAGAAAACAACCACUUUCCUCAAACAUGCCUCGCUAUUGUACCCUUGAGUAUCUUUCUCCCACAAAAUCUGACUCCAGAAUUCUUAUAAAAGUUCUACGAGUUUGGGAACACUUCAACUACUGUAAUCAACGCCAGGAAUUGCAUCUUAUCCUCGGUGACGAAAAUGUAAGUUCAUCUUUUUGAAGUUUUUUUAUUCUGUUGCAUGUUAUGAACAUUUAAACACAUGAAUUUAGGGUUACAAAAUAGAGGCAUGGAUAGAUCAGGAUCUUAACUUUUCACUUGGUCCAAAGUUUAAAGAAGGAGAAUGGAAUUAUGUCAAAUUCUUCAACGUUGUCAAUGCGUUCGGAUCUUUCAGAAAUACUAUAAACUACCACAUCAUCAACAGGAACGCCGAUACUAUUGUAAACAAGACCUUUCAAGUCAAUCCUAAGCAUAUGAUGGAUUUUAUGCCAUUUGAUGCCAUUAUCUGAGGGAAUUUCUCUACUGAGUACUCUAUCGGUUAGGCUUCUCACUUUUAUUCAAUUUAAGAAUUGUUAUAAAUAUUGUGUAAUGAAAAUUUUUCUUUGUAGACUUGAUCGGCGUAAUCAUCUAUGUUGAUGAUGAACUAAGUACUGAUAUUGAUGACCCAUACGAGAUGAUUUUUGGACCUUCUCACAAAUUGGACAUUCAAAUAAGAGACAUGAAGUAAGAUGUUUUAUAUUAUCAUCUAUAUAUGUAAAUGCCAAUAAUUUGUCUUAUGUUGUACAUAUGUAUUUUUGUUAAUGUUGUUGUAAUAUAAUUUGAUAUGGACAUCAAACUCAUUGGGAAGACUGCUCUGGAUUUCUAGAAGAAGUGAGAAAACAUAUGUACUUAUGAAACAGUCUUGAUUUUGCGCAUGUUUCGUCUGACCUAUGAUUCUGAAGGUUAGUAAUUAAAUAUUAUAAUCGAGUGGAAACAUUCAUUCCCACUUUGUUAAUAUGAUAAUUUGGCUUCUAACAUGUGUGCCCUUUAUAUUUUAAAAUCAUACAGGAAAAUAUCGCAUAAAGAAUGAUGGACACCAUUCUGAAAUACUUUUCAAUCCUCACAUAAAUGAGGUUUCUGAUUUUCUUGACUGGUAAUUUUUCUAAUUGGUAUUAAUAUAUAUAAUAUGUUUUAAGGUUUAUUUUAAUCUUUUUUACAAUAGUUAACUUGAAAUUAUUUAUGGUCAGGCUUCCUUUUAUUGAUAUCCAAGGAGAUCCGAGCUGGCCAUAAGUUUAAUCCCUCUUAUGUACCUAUAUUUUCUCGUAACUGUUAAACAUUCCCAUUAUGUAAUAUUUUCCCAUAAAACUGGGAUGGAGUUGAACAUAUUUUCGUAUAUUUGUAAUGAAAUAUUUAGUAUUUAUUUAUAGUAAUGUUUAAUUGCCAAUUAAUAUCAUUUUAUUUAUUGUUUAUAUAUAUUACAUGUAUAUAUGUAUAGUUUGGAUAUAGCAUAUACAAUCUAUAUAUAGAAUCCAUUUGAUUUUAGAAAGGUUACUUCCUUUAUAGACAUUUUCUUCCAUCGAAUAUUGUACAUUUCCAUAAUAAUAAGACAUUGUCAAAUUAUACUACUACAAUAUAGUAACGACCAUUUUUCAUAUUAUGCCAAUUUUAGUACCAUAACAAUUUAUGUAAGUAGACUUCGACAUUACAUUUAUUGCGAACCUUUAUAAAUUUCUUUAUUUAUAAUUAUGCCAAACGAUGCAACUAUAACGCUUUUUAGGCAAUUUCAUCUAAUGCUCACUAUUGAUCUUUUUUUUUUUGGUCGAUGCUCACUAUUGAUCUAUUAAAAACUUUACGUGUAAGAGUAAAUUGAAAUUAAUUCUGAUUGACGUUUUCAUUUCAGUGUUGAAAACUGACGUCAAGCUUUUCUCAUAACAUUUAGAGUUGAGUGUCAAAUAUUAUAUAAAUUAUCAAUGUUUUAAUGUUUGUGGAUUAUAAUUAAUGUAGCAGAUGAGCUUAUAAUCUUACGAAUCAAUUCACACAUAUGAGAAAGUGAUUUGGGAAAAUAAUUCAUUUUUAUUUGAAUCAAGAUAAUACAACUUAUUGUAGCAAAAAAGAGAGAUAAUUAAGGUACAAAAAAACAAAAACAAAAAAACAGAGAUAAUUUUAGCUAAACUCCAAAGUUUCUCCUUCCACGUUUAUUCUUAUGUGCCUAUAAGAUUCAAAAACAUAUAAUGUUGUUAACUUCAAACAUAUUAGUUAAACAAAUCAAUGUAUUAAUGGAAUAUUAACAGCUUACCCACUCCGAUGUAUCUAGGUAGCGAAUCUCUCUCUUAACGAAGCCGCAUUCUAUACAUUUCAAACCUAUCUCCAGAUCUAGAUGGAGAUCGUGUUUUCCUUUCUUGCAACGUUCAUUUGGAUCAUCAGUCGAUAUUUCUUCAUCAAGCUGCAGAUAUUACAUAGUGAUAUAAACAUACAAUAAUACAGAAAUCAUCAAUAAAACCGAAUAAUUUAAAGUUUAAAUUAUCUCAGAAAGAACCUCGAUGGCAUUCGCAGUUGAUUUGCUCAGAAAAUCAUUCAUCUCUUCCCACUUAUUAGUUUCCUCCAUCUCUGAUUCAGAAAUUGGAGGAGGUGAUGGUGGUUCUUCCACACCAAAUCUCAUGUUCGAUGGUGGUGGAUUAAUUCUCAGUAAUCCGUUUUCAUCAUAACGUUUUUCUUGGUGAUUCUCCAUUUUUGUCUAAUCUCUUAUCAGGCGUUUAGGGUUGCAGAGAAAAUUUAAGAAGUAUGUUUAUAAUCGAAGCAACUCUUAUUUUAUAUAGGAUAAGGUAGUUAAAAAAUAUUCAAUGUCACCAAAUUUCUAUGUUUUCUUAGGAAUACUGUUUCAACCAACCAGUUUAGCUUUUUAACUUUCGUUUUUGAUAUAUAGACAUAAUAUUUACACAAGUCUUCUGCGUCCAACUCACACAACUUAGCUGAAACAAAAAUAUUGAAAAGUUUGGAUUUUCCUCUUUACAGUUUGAUUUAAACCGCAAUAUAUGGUAACAUAAUAUUGUCUCUGAUAAUUUCGAACUAAUAUUCUUAUGAAGCAAUUAUGUAUAAAUUGAAUUAUCUAACCAUAUAUUCGAGAUUUUUAUAAAUAUUGUAUGAAGGAUAUUUAUAUAUUGUUGUUACUUUAUAAAACCAGAUGCAUAUUUCAAUCUUUAAUGUAUUUGUAUAUUCGUGUAUAUCCUAUUUAAUCCAUCUAUAUAUUCACAUCAUACUUUUGUGAACUGCAACUUCAUUUGUUACACUGAAUAAAAAAUCUCAAUAUUCUCCAUUUCUACUGCUAUGAACAGGAUAGGUAAACCUUAUGCGUCCAACUUUAAUCUAUUAAGAAUCCUUUUGAAUAACUAUAGACAUUUACCCUUUAUAUUUUAUUAUCAGACAUUAUUUGUUUCCUUUUAACUGUUUUAACAAAUUCUUUAUGAUUGUUUUCAGAAAUUAUUUAAUUUCAUCUACCAAGAACAAAUUCUUCCAAGCGAAACAAGGUCGACAAAGUAAUGAAAAAUACAAAAUUUAUUGCUUGGAUGGAGUGUAACAAGAUAUACGCAACUGCCAGAUUCCUACUCUACACUGAAUUAUCUCAUCAAUUUGUAUGGAAUGUCACAUUGCAUGAGUGGAGGUCACGGGUGAAGGGUUCAGGAAAUCCAACUAUUCUUCAACAGUAUUCAAUUUAUGAUGAGUAGAAUUUUUAUUUGGGUGUCUGUUGAAUAUCAUUAGAGGUCCUCGCAGUUAUGAAGAUAUCCGAACAUUUAAUGGUGUUGUAUACGACACCUUCAGAAAAGUUUGCUAUGCAAGGGGCUUAUUCCCGAUCAAUUAGAUUUAUAUAUCUUUCUUAAUUUUAGUUUUAAAACUGCAUGUUGAAUCUUUAUUUCAAUAAGUUACUUUCAUUUUGUUGUUUUUAAUCAUCUUCAUUUUUUACAGUACUUUUUAUGUUGAAUAUAUGAUAUACUAAGGUAAAUCAUCUACUAAAUACUACAUUUGCAACCGUGACAUAUUACAUGAUUAAUACAAGAGUCAACCAAUUAACAUUUUAUAAAAUAUAGCAUAACUUAUAAUUUAUAAUUUAUUGAAUAAACUAUUAUCAUUGUAAGUUUAAAGUAUUGUUGAUGCGGAUUAAUCGUAACUUAAUUGUUAAUAUGAUAAAUUAUACCUCAAAUUUUGGAAAUCUCUGAUAAAAUUAAACAACUUUUUAAAUUUCAAUUUAAACUGAACUACAUAAUAUAGACAAAUGCGAUUUUUUGUUAUUUUAGAUAAUUGCAAAAGAGAAAUAAUAAAUCUAACAAUCCUAGAAAUUAGGAAAAUCGUUGUAGUUCAAAUUAAAAAUUCCCAAUUAAAAGUUUUAUAUUUUUUACACAAUAUUGGAUCUCAUUCGAGGUAAAUAACAAUUUUUUACAUAAUUAGAGUUUUUUUCUUAAAAUUCCAUUCAAUAAUAAAAAAUCUACUAUAGCAAAAACUUAUUGAAAACGGUAUACAUUUCUGUUUACCUACUGAACAAAAUUACUUAUAUCUCACUCUACAAAAAGUACAUUGUCAAUACUCUAUCCACAAUUUGAUAUAAAGUAUUAACAGUAUACUUCAUGUUGAAAGUGAGCAUUCACAAGUAAUAUAAUUACAAUAACUCUGUGGCGACACAAUGAAUAAAAUUACUUCUUCUGAUGUGAUUCAUCACAGAUACACAAGAAAUAUUAUGUAGGAAAACAUGUAUUUUUAUUUCAUGUAAACAUAAUUUUUGUACGUCUGUGAGUGGAUCACAUCAGAAGAAUAAUUAUAGUAUGGGUUGUGUUUGAGUGAGUUAUUGUUUGCUUGGUUAAUUGAUCAAAAUUCUAUUCUGAUGUGUAUUUAUAGAAUUCUUAGAGCACGUCCAGUGGGGGUUCGUCCAUGGGUUCAUAACUCAUUUUAGAAUUAAAAAAAAUGUUUAAUGAGCUAUUUAUGAAGACUCGGUUCAUCCCAAAGAGUCUAAUGAACCUCAUUUGCUGACGUGGCAAUUUUUUAGUGGUUGAACCUUCAUUUUUCUUUUUCCACCUCUUCUCUUUCUUAAAAAAAAUCAUUUUUUCUUUUAUUUUGCAACUUCUCUCCUCUCUCUUGUUCAGAAUUUUAUUAAUUUAAUAUUUAGGAUGAACUUUAUGAAAAGUUCACCAAUGGACAUGGUCUUAAAGAGUGACUCCUCAUUUUUCUUCCCUGUGUUUCAUAUUCCCCAAAAGUCAUUGAUAAUUAAAACAUAUUAAACAACAUUUGACUGAUAUAUCACAAAUUCCGAAAGAAGAUAAAUUUCGAAAUAAAUGAAUACAUCUUCGCAUAUAAUCUAUAAAAUAUGUUCAUAAAUGUCACAUUUCGAUGCCUAACUUAAAAACAUAAAAUUAAUGUAUAUAUUCAUAAUUACAAGUAUUUUUUUAUCUACACUUUCUUCAUUAUACAUAACUAAUUAUAAUUACGUAGAAUUUAUAACUGCAAAUAUGAGCCAAUUUUAAGACACAAUCCAAUUCUUAUACUAAUAACAUACCAUUCGACCCAAAAUUAGUAACAUUGUAUCCACACACACUGUAAAUUAUCAAUAUUAUAAAAUUCGACCCAAUAAAUUUAACAAUAUACCUAAUAAAAUUAAAAUUUCAAAAAACGUUCAAGCCCGCACAUGUGUGCGGGCCAGUAUCCUAGUGCCUAGAAAAUACAAACAAGUGUGGGUAUAGAAACGUGAUACAUAGUGAUUAUGUUCCUUUCAUAUGGUGAUGUACUUAUAUUUCCUUUUAGUAUGCUCUAUAUUGCUAAGUGAAAACAGGGAGAUUGUGGAAUUUAGUUGCAUAUUUAUUUCCUUUUUAAGUGUCCAAUUGCCUUUUGAUUUCGUUUAUUUAUUGCGGGUAAAAACAACCAAAACCAUUCAGUUUUAGCUAGAUCUACUCUCGGAAAUAUUACAUGUAACAUUUGGUCCUUGUUGUUCGACCUAUCGUUCUACUACCAUGACAAAAUAAUUGUACACUUGCGGUUUAGUAAAUUGGUAUUUAAAAUUGACCGCACUUUUUCCAGGGACUAGCUGUUUCACCAUUGGGUUAAAGACUACAGUUGAACAUAUGACAAGUUUUUCUUGUUUCCCCUUUGACACAAAAUAUAUAUAUAUAUAUAUAUAUAUUUUGUUAUAUUUUUGUUACUUUGCUUAAUCGCUCCAAGUUUUCCCUAAUUGGCCUUUCAGCUGCAUGACUAUAAAUCCUUAUACCAUGAGGGUCUGACCUUUCACCGUUUGAAAGAUAAUAGAAAGGAGAGCGAUUAGCACGUUUGGAGAGAGAGACAAUAGAUAAUCAGAAACCAAAAUUGGAGAGUUCAAGUUUGAACAGUUUCUAAGUAACUUGGGUGCCAGUGUGAGUUUGAUGUCCCUGGAUGUGUCAAAAGGUCUUGGGAUAAUAGAUUUCAAGUCAUCAAAGAUCACUCUGGUUUUUGUUAAUCGCUCGGUUGGUUACCCAAUGGGUCUACUUGGGGAUCUACUAGUCAGGGUUGGAAACCGCUAUACUCCUAGAGCAUUCAUUUUGUCAUAGUUACAUAAAGAGCUACAUGAACAGAUGAAGGUGUAGCUGUAGUUGAAGCAGUUGCUGUACCAGAUGAAGUGAAGGAUGGAAUUCCACAAACAUGAAGUACGUGACAAGCGAAGCAUUUGGAAUGAGGAGCUGGACGAGUAGCUGAGCUGGACCAGUAGGAAUGGGAGUCUUGGAAAGAAAGCAAAGCUGGAUGGGAAUAAAGGAGCAGAUCAGGAAGAAUGGAAGAUUUUACUUAAACAUGUAAAAGUUUAAGGAAAUAGGAAAUAUGCACCAAGCGACAAAAAUGGAAGCUGUGGUGUAGGGUUUUCGGCGUGUAUAGCCGCUUAGUCUACUAGGUAUAAGUAGACGUGUUGAACCAUUGUAAAAGCUUAACACAACUACUAGAGAGCACUUAGCAUAAGGGUGAGAGAUUCGAGUAUUAGGGUCUGCAUCAAGGGUUAAGGGUUUUUCUAGGGGAGUUCUGAGAUCAAGUACAGCUCGAAGAACAGAGAGAGCUAGAGCGACAGAUCAAGGUGUGUCUUGAGUCUGUUCUAAAUCGUUUUACAAACUUGUAAGGUGUGUUAACAGAUUUACUAGUAAUAAAGUUCAGUUAAAGGAAAAACUUUGUGUUAAGUUGUGUUGUUGUUCUUGAACUAAGACUCUUGCAUUUACAAUUGGUAUCAGAGCGGUCAUCUGUAACUUGCAAACAGGUGAGGUCAUGCGGAGAUGGAGAAUUAUCAAGAACUUGUGAGCAGUUCAAACGUAAUUUUGAAUGCUGGAAACUACGGCUUCUGGAAAGCGAGGAUGCGUUCACUCAUAAUAGGAAUUGAUCCUUUGGUAUGGAAGUCGGUCCUGGUUAAGUGGGAAGAACCAAAGAAGAAGAACGAUGCUGGAUCUGAUGAGCCUAAAUCUGAAGAAGAAUGGACCGAGGAAGAAAGAAAAAGGUUCAAAUACAAUUCAAAGGCGUUGACGGCUAUUCACUGUAGCAUAUCAGCUGAGACCUUUAAACUAAUUCAGGGAUGUGAGACAGCCAAAGAAGCUUGGGACAUACUGCAGAUACAGUUUGAAGGAACGACAAAAGUGCAAAACUCGAAGAAGGACAUGUUGGCUUCACGAUUUGAGAACCUGUAGAUGGAAGAACAUGAAACCAUUGCCGACUUCAGCUCCGAGUUGAGUUCUCUGGCUCAAGAGGCUACAACUCUUGGGAAGCACUACAAAGACAAAAAACUGGUGAAGAAGUUCGUAAGGUGUCUUCCUUCAAGGUUCAUGGGGUACAAGUCAGCUCUGAGUGUGAACCAGGAUACUGAAUAUCUAAGCUUUGUAGAGAUUGUUGGGAUGCUACAGGCUCAUGAGAUGAAACUUGAUGGUGUGAAGAACCAGAAAGGAUUGGCGCUGUCAUCUGUUCUCGAGACCAAGUCAUCAGAGGAAGAAAAGUGUGAGGAUGCAUUAGGGCUACUGGUGAGGAGGUUUGACAAGGCUCUAAGACGAGCUGAGAAGUCAUAUGGUCAGAAAAAAGGUUGUACCUGCCAAACGAACAAAGGAAACCAGUGAAAGAAGGGGUGAUGUUCAAUGCUACGAGUGCAAAGGGGUCGGACACUUCAAGACUGAAUGUCCUACUAUUAAGAGAAGGUAGAUUCAGUGCUUCGGAUGCAAGUGUUUUGGUUAUACACAAUUGGAAUGUGUGAAUGAUCAAAACCGCAGGAAGGAAAGAUCCAUGCUGGCAGAAGAAGAUACUGAAAAUGACAGUGAUGAAGACACUGUGGAGGAAGUAAACAACUUUGUCUCAUUCAUUGGCAUUGCAGAAUUCGAUGAGAGUAUGGUUGCUUCAGAUGCUGAGUCAGAAGUUGGGGCUGAUGAUGAGCUGAGUGAAAGCUACAAAGAGGUUCGUGAGACUCUGAUCAAGAUUGGCAAGGAAAACACUGACUUAAAGAAAGAGAAUCUUUGAGUUGAAGCAAGAGUGGAGGAGCUGCAGAGAGAACUGAAAGCUGCUCAGAAACUGAGUCAAGAAAGUGUUGCGCUGAUAAAAGAGAAGCUGAACUUGGCAAAGAAGGCAGAGCAACUGGAGCAUGAUCUAAGUCAGGAGAAAGGGAUUUCCAACAACCUGAUGGGUGAGCUCAUUGAGCAACGUAAGAAGAUUCAUAUGUUUGCUGGAACUAAACAGCUUGAUCAGAUCUUGAGCCAUGAAAGGAGGUAUGAUGUGCGUAGAGGAUUGGGAUACGAUGCUUGAACCAUGGUAGAAACAGGUACUACAAAGUUUGUCUCAGGAGGUACAACUAAGCCACAAGAUCUGAUCAAGCUGAAAAGCUGUGGAUGAAGUCGGAAAGGUCAUCCUGCGAGGAAUCAGAUCUAGGAACAACUGUUAUAUAUGGGAUUCCUCUUGCAAAGAAGAAAAGUGCUUCACAGCACGUGAUGAUCUACAUCCGUGGCAUCAACGAUUGGGACACAUGAACAUCACGAAUCUUGCCAAUCUUGUCGACAAAGAAAUUGUCAGAGGAGUGCCUAAAGUCAAGGGAGUUGAUAACUCGGUGUGUGGACCUUGCACUCAAGGCAAGCAAGUUAAAGUGCAACACAAGAGAGUACCUGAUGUACAGUCAAAAGCAGUUCUUGAUCUAGUCCAUAUGGAUCUAAUGAGACCAGUACAAACCGAGAGUUUGGGUGGCAAGCGCUAUGUGUUCGUCCUUGUGGAUGACUUCUCUAGGUACACCUGGGUUAGGUUCCUUUGAGAAAAAUCUGAGACAGCUGAGAGCUUCAGAAUAUGGGCGCUGCAACUCUUGAAUCAGCGCGGUAGAAUAAAGAAUAUCCGGAGUAAUCGUGGCGGCGAGUUUCAGAAUGAAUUCAUGAAACUUUUCUGUGAAAGUCAUAGCAUUGCUCAUCAGUUCUCAGCACCUAGGACACCACAGCAGAACGGGGUUGUAGAAUGGAAUAACAGAACACUACAGGAGAUGGCACGAGCAAUGAUGCAUGGGAACCAAGUGUCAAAGAAGUUCUGGGCUGAAGCAGUCAAUACGGCUUGCUACAUCAUAAACCGAGUCUACGUCAGAAAGGGAACCAGUAAGACACCUUAUGACUAUGGAAAGGGAAAACCCCUAACUUGAGUUACUUUCAUGUCUUUGGUUGCAGGUGCUACAUCCUUAAUGACAAAUACUAUCUUGGGAAGUUUGACUCAAGAAGCGAUGAAGGGAUGUUUUUGGGAUACUCGGGAAAUAGCACUGCAUUCAGGGUCUUCAACAUCAGGUCAAAAGUACUGAUCGAGUCAGUGAACAUGGUGUUUGAUGACUAUGCUCGUACCAAGUGGGAAGGAACUGCUACUGGCAGUGACUCGGACGAAGAAGAAGAAAAUCAACCAGCAGCUCCCACUGGAGAAGGUGAUCAAGCAGUUGUGGUUCCAACAUCUGAUGUUCAGCAAGUUCACAGGAAUCACUCACCUUCGAAUCUCAUUGGUGAUGUGAAUGAAGGAAGAAGGACUUGUGGAGUUCAGUUGGACUUCAAAAAGAUGGUUGGGAAAUUCUCGGAGAUGGUUCUAUUUGCAUGCUUUGUCUCUGUCAUUGAACCCCGAGACGUGAGACAGGCACUUGGUGAUGAAUUCUGGAUCAUUGCCAUGGAACAAGAACUAGAGCAGUUCGUGCGUAAUUAUGUGUGGAAACUUGUCCCAAGACCCCUUGAAGGCAAUGUGGUGGGAACAAAGUGGAUCUUCAAGAACAAAAUCGAUGAGAAUGGGGUUGUGGUUCGCAACAAAGCAAGGCUAGUUGCACAAGGGUUUUCACAAGUCGAGGGAGUCAACUUCGAAGAGACGUUUACCCCUGUAGCAAGACUUGAAUCAAUCAGACUGUUCUUGGGGAUGGCCUGUAUCCUAAACUUUAGGGUAUAUCAGAUAGAUGUCAAAAGUGCAUUUCUUAAUGGAGUGCUCCAAGAAGAAGUGUAUGUGGAACAGCCAAAAGGGCUCAAAGAUGCUCAGUAUCCACAACAUGUGUACAAGUUGAAGAAGGCGCUUUAUGGCUUGAAGCAGGCUCCACGAGCGUGGUAUGAGAGACUCACUGGAUUUCUGGUUGAACAAGGAUAUGUUAGAGGAAGUGUUGACACGAUCUUGUUCAUCUAUGAGCAGAAUGGGCAGAUCAUAAUUGUGCAAAUCUACGUGGAUGACAUUAUCUUUGGAGGAACUGCUCAGUCACUUGUGGAUCGAUUUGUCACAAGCAUGACUCAAGAGUUUGAAAUGAGCAUGGUUGGUGAACUGCGGUACUUCCUGGGUUUGCAAAUAACUCAGUCUGAAGAUGGGGUCUUUAUCUCACAAAGCACCUAUGCGAAGAACUUACUUACAUGAUUCAAGCUUGAUCAGUGUAAGGAAGCUAAUACUCCAAUGAGUACUACAGCCAAGCUCACUUGGGAUUAAGAUGGAACAGAUGUUGACCCCACAGUUAUCUAGGGAUGAUUGGAAGCUUGUUGUAUCUCACAGCAAGUAGACCAGACUUUUCCCUAAGUGUGGGCAUCUGUGCUCGAUAUCAGGCGAAACCCAAGCAAUCACAUCUUGAAGCAGUGAAGAGAAUCAUCAAGUAUGUCAAAGGGACAGUCAAGUUGGGAAUCUGGUACUCCAAAAGAUCGAACAAGCACUUGGUGGGAUACUGUGACGCAGGAAGUGCAGAUGAUCGGAAAAGCACAAGUGGAGGUUGUUUCUUUCUUGGGAACUAUCUAAUCUCGUUGUAGAGUAAGAAAUAGAACUCUGUCUCACUGUCUACUGCAAAGGCCGAAUACAUUGCUAUGGGGAGCUGCUGCAGUCAACUGUUGUGGAUGAAGCAGAUGUCCGCAGACUAUGAGAUGGAUUCUGGGCCACUACUGGUUCACUGUGACAACAAAAAUGCUAUCAGUAUUUCAAGGAAUCUGGUGCAGCAUUCUAGGACCAAACACAUCAAUAUAAAGCACCACUUCAUUCGUGAGCUAGUGGAGGAGAUACAGGUAGUGAUAGAACACAUUGUCACUGAUUUGCAACUGGCUGAUUUAUUCACAAAACCCCUGGAUUUUAAUCGUUUUGUCACCUUAAGAAACUCGAUUGGGGUUUGUAGUAUGUGAUUUUUUGUGAAGUGUGCAGGACUGAUGCAAAAACUGACUCGAGGGGACACUCAAGGUUUAGAUUCAGUCUGGAGUCAUGGAUCUAGUGGAAAAGAGCUAUCUCAACAACCGUCGUACCUUAACGACAGUACAGGUUUCAUGGAGUAGAAGGGAAGCUGAGCUAGUUUCGGAGAAGUCAAGUGAUGAAACUAGCUCAUUGCACUCAAACCAGAAAGGGAGGAAUGAAUAAAUAAAAAAAAUUUAAAAAAAGGAGGGGCUGCUUGCAAUUAAAAUUAGUUGAUCCCCUCAAAAGGUAGAUCCUCCCCUGGUACUGAAAGCUUCCUUCACCCGUGAAUAAAGGUUGAAAACUAGAAAAUGGGUCGAUAAAGGUAGUUGGGUGUGAAAGCUAGCCCGUGAAUCAGGAUGGCCAGACUCUUAUGAAUCAUAACAAGCUGAAGGUGUCUCGUGAGUCAGAGGCUGUGUCUAGUUCCGGUGCACUUCAAAGAAAAUGGUAAAAAUAUGUACAAAGCAUUGUUUUCAAAGCCAGCGCAUAGGUGAUAGUUCAAUUGUCACUAUUUGUUCUCUAUCAUCGGCUUAUGUGUGAAAGUGUCCGUGAAUAUUGAUGGUCUAAUGCGUGCGUGUUUGAUUCAGUAUGUGUUCGAGUGCUUUUGUCACGUGUGAAACAGGAAAGUGGGCAGGGAAUUUCGAGGCCUUGAUGAGUUUGUGAAAACAUCUGUGAGAUGGGCUUGUUGCGAGAGAACAGCCCACAAAAGACAAUGGAAAUUGAAAAGACGUGGGAAAAUAGAAAGUGGGGGAGUUAUUUACGGGGAGUGGGGAUCCGAAAAAUCAGCACCACUUCCUGUUUUAAACCCUAAUUAUCUUCCUACAAAAGGCGAAUCACAAAGAGAGACAUCAAUGGUGAGAGGAACUCGAAGGGGGCUAAUUGGUGUCCGAUCUAAAGCACAGAUGACGCAUGCAGAUGGCGAUGCUCAGAGGCCUCAUCUAAUCGAUGAGCACAGUGGCGAGAGUAUGAAUCCAACUGAGGCGGUUCCUGAUCAAAAUCCCGCGGCAUCCAUUGGUCCAGCAGAUAGUGCAGGCUCUUUUGCCACCGCAAAUGAUGGAGAUGCGCAGAGUGGAUCGUCGGCGAACCCUAAAGAGAAGGCGGAUGGCGGAGAAACCAAGGCCAACUCGGAGGUUACCCAGAAAAUCAAGAAUGACGAGGAAGAGGCUGACGGUGGCGAGAGCAAAAAAGCUGUUGAGGUGAAUCUCUCUGUGCCACAAGAAUCGGCGAAUCCGACCGCCGAUCCGGUUCUGAUCACAAUGACUCAAGAGGAGGCGACAGCAUCUCCCGCUGAAGCAUCACCUACCUCGAUCUCCGUGAAAGAGCAAGCUGCAAAAGUCGAACGCAAAAGAAAUACAAUGAAGGCUUUGGGACUUCCAGCUCCGUCAAAGAAACCCAAAAGUGAGCCGUCUCCAGUUCCAAAAGCAGAACCGGAGCCAGUCCCUGACUCGGUGCCAUGAAAGCGGACCAAAAAGGCUCGAUCUCGCAAAGAACAGCCGUCUCCUGAUCAAGCAAGGUAUGAUCACUUUGCUACACGACAACUUUGGUGUGAGAGAACUGUCGAUGUAGGUGAAACAGAUGAAUGGGGAUACAUCAAAGUGAAUAGAGACAGCGGUUUAGAAUCAGCGGUUGUAGGGAUCACUUUGUAUGUACCGCAAGUGAUUCAGGAGUUCUAUGCUGGGCUUCCGGGUGAGCUACCCUCUGAUCCAGAUCAAGAGAUUCGUGUCAAGCUGAGGGGUUUUGAGUAUUGCUUCUCUCCUGCGUGGAUCAAUCGGGUCCUCAAUCUGACUCCACUUAGCGAGGCUGAAGUUCACGAUGAGUCAGUUGCUGAAGCAGUCUCUCUGUCUGAUAUUGCCAAACACUUGUCGAAAGGAGGAAGUGGUUGGAGUGGGCUGAGCACGAGGAAUCUCCCACCGGUUUUUGCUUCAUUGAUUGUUAUUGCGGCGUACAACUGGAUUCACUCAACCAACAAGAAUCACAUUUCUGAGGAGCGUGCUCGCCUGCUGUACAAGCUGAGUCAUGGUGUGAGGGUGGACUUCGGAAGGCUGGCUUUCAAACAUAUUAUUCUAAUGAGCAAGAUCAUCAAAAAAGACACUCACUGGCUGGUAUUCCCGUGUUUGAUACAGAAGAUUAUGAACCUUCAACACGAGCCUUAGCUGGGUCAAGGAGAGACUCACAUUGUCCCAUUUUGAUACAAAAAAGACUCACGCAGUGGUGAGGAGUUCAUCAAGAAAGAGGCCGCAGCUGCAAAGAAGGAUAAGAAGAAAGGGAAGCAAAGGGCUGAUGCACCGAGAUCUCCAACUCCUCCACCUCAGUCGUCUCAACAGCAACCUGAGCCAUCACCGAGUGUGCCACUUCGGUCCUUCCGCUCACCACCUCCUGAUGCAUCCUUCAGGUCAUCCGACUCUGCUCCUGGUCGGACUCAAAGUGCUCCUCUCGGAGUGAUUUGUGUUCCUUUGGCACCAGAAAGUGCUAAUGAAGUCACAUUGGCCUUAUGGGAUGUGAGUCGUGUGCUUAACCAUCUCCACGGAAUAGUCAACAUGGUGAUUGACUCAUUUGCAAGUAAGUUUUCUGACUCUGACUUGUUUCUUAUUUUAGGUAUUGAUCCCUGUUUUUACUUUCGGUGAUCACAAGCAGGAGGAGAAAACAUGUGGGAAGAAAUUCUACGAGAUGAUGCAGGAGAUGAUGCGGGUGCUUAAAUUGUGGGGGAGUUUGUGUAAUAAUCUAGUUUCUUGUUUCUGAAUUAGGCUAAGUUUGUGGGGGAACGUGUAUUUUGCUCUGAAAACUCUUGUUCGCAGCAUUUGAUUCAAGACUCUGUGUUUGACGUUUUCUUUUCAUAUGAAAUGCGUUCUGUUUGUCUUGGUACUUGGUUGGUCUGUGGUUGUUUGUGUGCUAUGUCUGAAAACAGGUGCUUCUGAGUCACACGAAGCUAAAAUGGGGGAGAUUGAAGGUGUAGCUGUACUUGAAGCAGUUGCUGUACCAGAUGAAGUGAAGGAUGGAAUGCCACAAGCAUGAAGUACGUGACAAGCGAAGCAUUUGGAAUGAUGAGCUGGACGAGUAGCUGAGCUGGACCAGUAGGAAUGGGAGUAUUGGAAAGAAAGCAAAGCUGGAUGAGAAUAAAGGAGCAGAUCAGGAAGAAUGGAAGAUUUUCUUAAACAUGCAAAAGUUUAAAGAAAUAGGAAAUAUGCACCAAGCGACAAAAAUGGAAGCUGUGGUGUAGGGUUUUCGGCGUGUAUAGCAGCUUAGUCUACUAGGUAUAAGUAGACUUGAAGCAUUGUAUAAGCUUAACACAACUACUAGAGAGCACUUAGCAUAAGGGUGAGAGAUUCGAGUAUUAGGGUAUGCAUCAAGGGUUAAAGGUUUUUCUAGGGGAGUUCUGAGAUCAAGUACAGAUCGAAGAACAGAGAGAGCUAGAGCGACAGAUCAAGGUGUGUCUUGAGUCUGUUCUAAAUCGUGUUACAAAUUUGUAAGGUGUGUUAACAGAUUUACUAGCAAUAAAGUUCAGUUAAAGGAAAAACUUUAUGUUAAGUUGUGAUGUUGUUUUUGAACUAAAACUCUUGCGUUUACAACAAGUUCCUCUAGGCUCAGCUAAACCAAUUCUCUUUACUUAGUUGUUUUUAGUAGUUGAUCUCGACUGGGUGAAAACCGACCCUAACACUUUCCUUGAGUUUGUCUUGAGGAGAACCAUGUUCUCAGUCCAUCCUCAUAUCUCCUAUCUCCAUUACUUUGAAUCAAACAUAUAGUUGAUUUCUGAUAUUGUUGUCGAUUAGCUUGAUGAGUUGGUACUUUUUCGAAGGUUUCUCCCAAGUCAACAACGUUUCCCCACUCGCAUAAAAACUAAUCUUUCAAUAGUCUCGUUACCAAACCAUCCCAACCUAAUUCAGGUUUGGCUUAUCAUAUAAAUUACAUCCAUUUUUGAACUGUCAAAACCUAAUUUAGGGAAUUUCAGUAAUAAUAUAUAGUUUUUUGGUGUGUCAAAUCAUAUGAGAGAACCUUUACGAUAUAUAUGUUUUAACCAAGAGUGAUCCCGAUAUUUACCACUCAACUAAUCCAACAAUUCCCAAGGGACGAGUGUAGCCGUGAAGUAAUUCAUUCACAAUUUUUUUUUUUUUACAUCUAAUUCACCUUUAUUAGUUAUCAAAAUUACAAUCGUUAAUUACAGUACACUACAAGAAAACAGCAGGUAUUCCUACGAAAGAUAUCAUCAGAAAAUGGUAGGAAACAGGCAUUUUCUACCAAUUUCCGACGAAAAUGUUUUGGUAAGUUCUAUGCCGUCGGAAAUUAUAAAUGGUCAGAAAAUGAUAGGAAAUUUCCUACGAAAUUUUUGGUCGGAAAAUUUCAUCGGAAAAUUUGGUCAGAAUAUCGUAGGGCAUUUGCUACUAUUUUCCUUCCAUUUUCUUUUGAAAAAAUCCAACCCUUUUCCUACGAACAGUUUUCUAUCAUAUUCCUACCAUUUUCUUACUAGCUAUAUAAAAAAAUUUUAAUUCAAUUAAUUACAAAAUUAAAUAAUUUCAAUUAUUAAACAAAUUAUAAAAAUUAAAUCCAAAAUUAAUCAACCUAAUUAAAAACUAAUUAGAAAUUAAUUAUAACUAAAUAUGGAACUUCUAAAGCCCAAAUUAUUUUUAUUGACUCAGUAUUUUUUAUACUUAAAGCAUGUGUCUAUUUAUAGAGUCUUUUCAGCAUCACCUGCUUGGUCGAUGUGGGAUUUUUCCCAUUUUCCUUUUUGACUGAUUUUGGUAGGAAAUUGAUAGGAUAUUUAAAUAAUAAAAUAUUUAUUUUUCGUAGGAAAUUGAUAGGUAAUUUCUUACAUAUUAUAUUCGUAGAUAAGUGGUCAAAAAUUUCUGACAAAUUUCCUACCAUUAUUACAGUAAAUUUUUUCCACCGAUUUCCUUCCAUUUUCUGAUCAGAUUUCCUACGGAUAUUUUUUUGGUUGAAUAUUGGUAGGAAAAUUUUGACCAUUUUCUGACGAUUUUUAUCGUAGAAACUUUUCUUCCAAUUUCCUACCACUUUUAUUUUUUGUCAUAAAUUCGUAGGAAAAUGAUAAAAAAAAAUUUCUACCAAAAUUUACGUAGAAAAAUUUAUAGGAAUUCAACAUGUUUUCUUGUAGUGGUAUGUUGGAGGAAUCGAGGACAAGUGUGGUACAAUGACCAUUGAGUAUUACAUAAUAAUGCUUGUUUAGCCAACAUAUCUGCCCAUUGAUUUGCUUCUCGGUGUCGAAAGGUGAAGCUCACUUCAGCGAACAUUUUUUCCAGCUUUUGAUAGCCUCUAUGUAAUGGUGGAGACGCAAAUUAUUUCCUUGCCCAUUGAUGAGUCGGAUAAUGGUUAGAUUAUCUCCUUCAAAUUCCACUUUUUGAAGGAAUAUUUUCAUAUUUUCAUUCACAAUAUUUUCUAAUGGGUCUAAAAAAUGGCACCAUUUCAAUUCGUCAAAUGAAAAUGGUUAGAUAAUUAUAAGUUUGUUGAGAAUUCUUUCUUUAUGGUACUUUGAUAUAUUUAGUGAACUUUGCAAGUAUUGUGUAUGAAUAACCUCAGUAGAGUUUCUUUAGGUUCUCGUUGUACUAUUAAGAAAACAAAAUUUCUCAUCGUGAACUUUGCAAUUUGUGAAUAUUUAGUUUAAAUAUUUUUUCUUUUUUGUAAGACCCUAGAGUACGAAUAAUUAAAUUGCAGUAAUAUAAAAAAACCAAAGACAAUAACAUAAAGUACAGACGAUUUUAUUAUGCAAAGAGUGAAGAUUACAACUCGAACACAGAGACAUACAUUAUUAAGUUUAUUCUCAUAGUUUCUUUUCUUAAACUUGAGUCACUUCAUUACAAAUGCACCAAUGUUUACUUAGAGUCAUACACACGUAUGUGCAUAUAUGAGACUUAAAAGUAUAUUUCAUAGAUUUUAAUGACCGGGCUGAGUCUGAACAGCUUCUGCUCCGUGUCCCCCGCGUCCACCAUGGCCUCCUCCUCCAUAGUGUCCUCCUCCUCCGUAGUGUCCUCCUCCUCCUCCGUAGUGUCCUCCUCCUCCUCCUCCGUAGUGUCCUCCUCCUCCUCCUCCGUAGUGUCCUCCACCGUGUCCUCCUCCGUGUCCUCCUCCUCCGUUGUAACCUCCAUGGCCACCACCAUAUCCAUCAGGUUUCUCAUUUUCCUCACUCUCUGACUUCACCGUGCCUGUUCCAAACACACACAAAAAAAAAACAAAAUUAUUUCAAAAAUAUUUUUAAGCACGUGCAAAUGUGCAUUCCUUUGCCUAUUUCAUAAUUGAACACUUUUAAAAAAUGUAUAGAAAUUCGGGAUAAUGAUGUAGUUGUAGUGACAGAAUUACUCUGAACAGCUUCUAGUCCAUGUCCCCCGCGGCCUCCAUGUCCCCCGUGGCCUCCUCCUCCGUAGUGUCCUCCUCCGUGGCCACCACCAUAUCCAUCAGGUUUCACAGUUUCCUCACUCUCUGAGUUCACCGUGCCUAUCCCAAAAGCGAAACCACAUUAUUUUAUAAAUAUUGUUAGUACGUACAAAUGUGCAUUCCUCUCCCCAAUUUCAUAAUUAAAUUUCUCUUAAAAACUUUCUAAAAUAUGUAUAUAAUUCCGAUCUCUAGUUAUAAAAAAAAUGAGUUCAACAUUAAAUAUACGUUUUAUAUAAAUUGGCGUCAAGCAUCUAAAUAGUUUGGGAGGGUCUAAUAGGUAUAAGAGCAUGUACAUCAGUGAACCCUUAAAAGAGGGGUUUAACAGAAUAUAAUAACAUUUUUUUUUUGUUUUAGUUUUUUUUUUUUUUAAUUCGAAAAUUAUAAUUUUCGACCAUGUUUUAUUUGGGAUGAUACCGUCUCUUCAGGUUCGUCGGGAUGAUACUGUCUCUUUAAUAUUAAGAUCUUUUGUCUCAAAAACCGUGCCAUGAACCCCUCUUGAUCCUCUGAUGUAGAUGCUCUAAGAAGGACUAAACGUCAUAAGUAAGCGUAAGUGUCUUUUCUUACUAGGACAUCAACAUGAUACUUAAGUGUGUUUAUGACUUAGUGAGUCCAAAUAAUUGACCAUCGUUCACCCCAACUUUUCGCAUUUAAAACGGACGAGAUAGUUGGACAAAAUUAUCAAAUGGUACGUUAGUCCGGUUAGAUUAGCUUCACGAUAAUUUUUUUGUUUUCUAUAAAAUAAUUUUACGUACCCGACUGCCUUGCUGAGACGACGAGAAGAAAUGCAAACACACCCAACAGAAGCAAAGUCUUGGAAGCCAUUUUCUUCAAACUGCUUAUAACACUUUUAAUUUGUAUAUAUGGAGAAAGAAGUGAUGAAUAAAAUGUUAGCCUGCAUGCUCUCUAUUUAAGGAAAACGAGGAGGGCAGAAUGAGGAAAAGUCAAAUAAAUAAUUCGUAGUGCAGUGAAAAGAAGUAUUUUUUUAAUUAAAAGCAAAAGGGAGAUUUAGUGUAUCACAAAAUUUAGAGAAAUUGCAUUGUUUGCAGAUAAAGACACACUUUUUAGUAGCAAAUAAAUAAAACUAUAUUUCUUUGCGCAAGCGAACAAAAGGGAGUUGUAUUAUUCUAGAAGAGUUUAGAUCUAAUUUAUACCCCCCAAAAAAUAUAGUUUAGAUAUCUUUAUCUGUAUCAUGCAAUCUUUCUUUGUAAACAUCUUGAAUAGAGUUAAUAUAUGUUACGUGAUUUAUAUUAGAUUGCAUGAAACAAAAAAUACGUGAAACAAAGUGUUUCGAAAAGGAUAACAAUUUUAAAAAUGAUAGGAAACGUUUGCUUUCGGAAACAUAUAUUAUAUAUAAAACAUCAAAAUCAUAUGAAAAACAAAACGAAACAUUAAAACCAAACGAACUUUAAUACUUAUAUAUCAAACAGAUAAAUAAAGAUACAAAUCCAAACGUGGUAAGAAGAUAACGAAAUUUUCAUAUUUUCGAAUUUACUUCAUCUAUCCUACAAAUAAGAUGGUAAGACGAUCGAUAAGUAUGAUCAAAGUAUAUCUGUAUCCGUUGCGUCGAUUCCCAUAUGGUGGGUUGUUGGAUUGUGAUUUGUGAAAAACUUUAACCUCAAUAGUCUUUUAGAUAUUUCUUAUCAACGUCUUUAAACAUAGGAACCAUCGGACAAGUAUUGAACUAUUGAUAUGUAAGAAUUACAUUAUUGGCCAUAACUGGUAUUAUUGUUACAUUAUUAUUACUAUAAUUUGGACACAAAAUUAGUCCACUAUUUGUACUUUAACUCUUUAAGGAUCUUCUUUGAAAAUCUCAGCCGACAGGUUUUUAAGCAGACGGAUAAAGAAUUAAUACGAAGUAAUUACUAAGAACUUACCUUUAAAGGGUGAAAUUUUGCUUGGCUAUAAUUUAUUCAGGCCUACAUCGAUAAAAAAAAAUAAAAAUCAUUCCAGUGACCUAAGUGUAAAGGAGCUUGAGAUAUACGUGUUGAGAAGAUGAGCAUUAUUAAGUGUACAGAAUGUAGCUGCCGUCCUAAUUAUAAUAAAAUAGAAGUUAAUCCGCACAUUGUAAGGGAUAAUGUUUUUUUAAUUAUUUUUAAAUUUAAUUUAAUUUUUUUUAGUUAAAUUAAAAUUGGUGGCAAAAAUAUUUUAACAAAAAAUAUAAAUAAACAAAAUUAAUAAAAAUUAAAUAAUAUAUAUAUAUAAAUAUCACACAACCGAUAUUUAUUUGUAUAUAUAUAUAUAUUAUAGAGUAUGACUUUGAGCUAAUUUUGUUAUGCAGUUUAAUUAUUCAUAAAAUAAGAAUUUAAUUUUGAAUAUUUUAUUAGAGAUUAAACUAUUAUUUUUAGUUAAUAAAUUAUAAUAUAUGUUAAUAAUAAUUAUAUAUAGGAUUAGACAAAUUCGUCUAUUUAAUUUAUUUUAUAAUUUUUAAAAUAUUAUUUCGACCAAUCCGCAAAAAAUAGAUUUUAAACUUUAAAUUAUAUUUUAUUUUUUAUAAUAAUAAUUGAAUUGAUUUUCAAAAAUGAUGCUAAUUAAUUAUGAAAAUACAAAUGAAAAAUAUUGCAAAAUUUAAAUAGUUUUUCAUAUAUAUGGAUUGAUUAUUAUUUAAAAUAAUAGAAUAUAUUUUAACAUUUUAAUAAGUAAAAAGCAAAAUACAUUUUUUAUUUAUAUCCAUAUAUAUUCAAAACAAAUAUGUGAGCUAUAUAUUUAACUAUCUCUUGUGAAGAAAUAUUUAAUUAAAAAUUUUAUAUUUGUAAAAUUUAUUUAUUUAAUAUCUUUUAAGUAAAGGUUUAUUUAUGUAAUAUUUUAUAAAUAAAUAUUUAUUUAUGUAAAAUAUUCUGUAAUAUCUUACAAAUAAAAGUUUCUUUAUAAAAUGUCUAUUCAAAUAAUAAUGUAGAGAUGUAAUUUAAUUAAAGUCUAAUUGAUAUGAACUUCAUAAUUAUUAUAAAAAUAUGAUCAAUUCCAUGCGAGUGAAAAAGAUUUACAUAGUUAUCGUUUAUUUCUCAUACAAAACUAUUUUAAUUUUAAAGAGUAAAACGUAGCAGAAAAUGAAAACUGGAACUUUUUUAGAAUAUGACAGCUAGUUUUAAAAAUGGGAGAUGGCUACAAUACCGUUUCAAAAUAAUAGAUUAAAACUUAAUCCCAGAUAUCCGACUUGUUGAUGGUUUCUAUUUGCUUACGCACACUAAAUAUAUUAACACUCAAGAGAGGGAAAGUGUAAAUUGUAUUAAUGAAAGUGUUAGUGAACCGUAUUACAUUAAUUCCCUUUUAUAUACCAACUAGGUUAAGAAUAAAUACAUAUAUGUUAAUACAUCCCUCUCAAACCGAAUCAACCUUAGGUAGAAAGAGGUUUGAUAAUAAUACACGACUAAGCAAAAAAUGAAAUGGACCUAGAUGCAAAGGCUUCGUCAACAUAUCAGCAAGCUGAUUCGAAGUAGAGACAUGAAGAACAUUUAGGAAGCCAUUCUUCACCUGAUCUCGGGUUAUGUGGGAAUCAAUUUCCACAUGCUUAGUUCUCUCGUGAAAUACAGGGUUAUUGGCAAGAUUCAUAGCUGAUUUUUUUUAUCACAAAACAGGUUGGCUUCAGAAGUUACCGGGAUAUGAAGAUCAGUCAGUAAUUGGUGCAGCCAAAGUAACUCUCCCGUAGUAACAGCCAUGCUCCGAUAUUUGGCCUCCGUGCUGCUUCUAUUAACCAUUUCCUGUUUCUUGGACUUCUAGGUGAUAAGAGAUGUUCCAAGAAAUACACACAGACUCGUUACAGAACGACUGCAUCUGAAAAUCCAUUCAAGCAUAACUCUGUAGUAGCAUAAUAGAAAAAACCUUAGCCCAGAUUUUCUUCAAAUAUUUAAGGAUCUGGAAAGCAGCUUGAAAAUGAACAUUAGUGGGGAAAGACAGAUACUGACUCCACUGAUGCAGCGCAAAAGUGAUAUCAGGACGAGUAAUGCAGAGAUAUUGCAAUCGACCAAUCAAUUCGCGAUAUGAAGUUGUAUCAGAAAGAGACGUACCCGCGGACUGGAUCCAUCAAAACUGAUUUUGGUUUAUAACCAAGGAGACCAUAAUCUUCAAUAAGAUCCAAGCAGUAUUUCCUCUGUGAAACAGAUAACCCCGAAGCAUUCCUUGCAAUCUCAAGACUCAAGAAGAAAUGAGCUUGGCCAAGAUCUUUGGUCUUGAAUGGGAUUGUGAUAUAUUCAUAUCAUUUCGUGUUUAGGAUGCAUUUUUGGUCCAAGAAUAGAGCCUCAUGCAUACAUUUUAGAUAGAUUCUUCAUGUUUUCUUUGUUUUAGAGGUUUAGGACUUUGCAUUAGGUCCAAGUGAGUCUUGCAUGUUUGGAGUGUCAAUCAGGUGCUUUGGAGGUCAUCUGGAGAUGAAAAUAUGGAACCAGGUGAAGAAAUGGUGAAAGAAGGGCAAGAUAUGGUAAAAAUGAGGUUUUGGAGGUUAUCGGCAAAAUUGCUUACUGCGGGAAGAUUUUUAUCGGCCAAAAAUCAUUCCCGGGAAGCAGUUAUCGGCCAAAACAUGUACCAGACCAAGUCUGUAUCGGCAAAAAUCCUUUGUCGUGGGAAAAAAUGUUUAUCGGCUAAAAUACGUACCGCAGUACGUAACUUAUCGGCCAAAACGUGAAUUAUCGGCCAAAAGUUUCCCGACCCGAUAUGCUUCAAAGAUGCCUUUACCAGAAAGCUUUCUCGUCCGAUUCAGUUUCUAGUGUUUUCACAAACGUUCAAGAGAAUUGAGUCACAAUUCCAGAACAGUUGGAAUCAAUGGAUUUGGAGCAGUGAGCUGAAAGAUACGGCCAACAGAAGAUGAAUCUGCCUCGCAUCCAUUCUGGUCAUAUCCGAUGCGACUCAAAGAUCACUCAGGAUGAAACUCUUCCCUUCCAAUCUAGUUUCCGGGGCUCUAUCAAGAUUUGAGAGAUUCGAGUCAUAUUUCCAUAACGCUUAGAAUCAUUCCAUUUGGAGUGUUGAGUUGGGAGAUAUCGCAUUCGGGAGACAGACAUGCCCUGCAGUAAGAAACUAGAACCUCCCGAGCCAAUGCAAUGAUCCGUUUACCGGAAGGCCUCUCUCACCCGGGAUGCACUUAAGUUCUUCAUCAAAGUUGUAUGGAAUUGAGCUGCCUUUCCUCUGGAGUUUCUCUCGAGUCAUUUAGACUCAUAUCCCACAAGUUAUGCUAGCUCAAGUAAACAUAGAUCCGAGGAAAUGAGAAAUGCUGCGACAUGGCUUUGCGACUCGGUCAACUUGCAGCGAUGAAUGUUUAAAUUCUGGGAGCAAGCUGAGACUUGAAAUGAUGCGGGUGAGGUGACUCGGAGCAGGGUAAGGAUUUCCAAAGCUCAAAUAUUUCUAAGUCCAGAACAGCCUAUGACAUGGCAGUGCGAGAUUGAUGAUGAGAUGAACCAUGUCGCACACACACUCGCUUGGGGCCGCGACAUGACAGUGCGAGAUGGAUGAAGAGAAGUAACAUGUCGCACUCCUACUCUCUUGGGGCUGCGAACGUGAAGCUGUGAGUGGGAAAAGAAGGAUUUAAGCUGCAAGUACAAUUGCUUGAAUGAUACGACAUGAAAGUGCGGCUGAAGAAGCAAGGGAGCUGAGACGUAACAACAUUCACUUGGGGCUGCGAGAUGGCAGUGUAGGUGAACUGAAGCCAGGACCAUCUCGCACCAUGGCCACAUGACCCAACUGAACCAGGUCAGUACACAGUUUGUCUUGAGCUGACCCGCUCCAAAACACUUAGUAUAAAUAGCUUUUAGGGUUUUUUUCCAAAGAACAUCUCAUUUUCCUUUAGGUUUUUAGCCACUUUUGUGUAAGAGACAACUAAAGAGAGAUAUCUCCUUUCUUUUCUUUGAAUCAAAAAUGUUUGAGAGCUUAAUCUAUCUAUCUUAUCAUCAUUACUAUUCAUCAUCUUGUUUUCUCUAUCAACUAAUCAUGUUUAAUUACUUUUCUUGCAAAGGAAUCAGAGAGUUAAUCAUGAUUAGUGAGUAGUCGCGUCAUUAGGGUUCUAGAUAUGUAAGUUAGGGUGUUUAGAGGUUUGAUUAAGGCUGCUUAGGAUUAAAUUUAUACAUCUCUGUCUUGUUUAGCUGAUUUUAAUGCUUGGUUAUAGAUGAUCUCUCUAACCCAGAUUUUGGGCAUUUCAUCUACCCAAAACGUGUUUGAUGAAAUGCCUGAACCAGCUAAGUCAAGAGUCUAUUGUUUGAUUCACAUGAAAAUGUUGUUUUGAGCAUAGAUGGUAUAUUAGGAUUCGUGUUUAAUGCAUUCCUUUCAUUGUGACUCUAAUGAUGAUUAGGUAUGAGCAAUGUUUGGUAUUGUGUUUUGAUGCUUGAGAAAUAUUGAAACUUGAUUUGAAUCCUAAGCUGCUUAGAUCAUUCAUCAUCAUUGUCAUUAGCUCCUUGAUUAAACUAUGAUGCACCCUAGAAACUAUCAUGUCUAGAGCUCUAAGUUUCAUCAUAUUCAUAUCAUCUUAAUCAUUUUCUGUCUUUAUUUAUUGCUUGUUUAAUUCUUUAAUCUUGUUUAAUUGCAAUUCUGUCACUUGUUUGAAACUAAAACAUUUUGUUUGUUUGAAUUAAGAAUAGUUCAUAUAGAUUAGUGAACUAAACACCACACCUUGGAUUGAUAACCUUUGUACUACAACAGACAAAGGGAUUGAUACCCUAAGAGCCUUGAAAAAUCUUGUCUACCAUAUUGAGAGAAUCUUCUAAAUAGACUUGACAGCUUCAUCAUCAUUGCUCGCUAUAAGGAUGUCAUCGACAUAGAUCAGGAGAUAAAUAAAUAAUGUACCUGUUAGCUUCACAAAGAGGGUGUUAUAUGCAUAAGACUGUACAAAUCCGGCAUCAAGUAAGACCUUCGACAAACACUUGUACCAUUAACGAGAUGUCUGCUUCAAGUCAUAGAUGGAUUUAUCAAGUUUGCAAACCUGAUUAGCAGGCAGAUGAACAUCAGCUGGAGUGUAACAUCGUGGCAAGCUCAUGUAUAUCUCCUCAUCGAGCUUACUGUGCAAGAAAGCAUUGGUUACAUCCAUUUGGGUUAAGCUCCAACCCAUUCAUGCGGCUAAACCAAGGAUAAGCUUCACACUGGCAAGCUUGGAAACUGGGAAAAGGUGUCAAAGUAAUCAACACCUUUUUGUUUUGUGUAUCCCUUUGCUACCAGGCAAGCUUUAUAACGCUCCACAUUUCCAUCUGCAUUAUACUUAAUGGUAAACACCCAUUUACAACCAACAACAUUUUCCCUCGGAGGCAAUGACACAACACUCCACGUAUUGGUUGACUCCAUUGCUCCGAAUUCCAAAUUGAAAGCAUCAGUCCAUUCUUUGGAUGAAAUCACCUGCUUAAAGGUGUUAGGCUCAGUCUCCAUUGAAAAAGAGAGAACAAUAGACUGAUAUGGGGUGUUAAGAGUAGAGUAAGAGAGAACAGAAGAAAGAGGAUAUGGAGUAGUAUAAACCUUUAUAGAAAUGGGAGGAGUAGAAAUUUUUGUUAAAGAACAAUGAUAAUUGGACAAAUAACGUGGUACUUUUGUCGAGUGUUUUAGCCUGGCAUUGGGAAGUGAAACCAGAGCAUUCUCUGUGACAACAGGGUGAUGGAUUUUCCUUGGAGCACUAGAGUGAGAUGAUGAUGCAUGUGAUGUAUAAAGCGGAGGAGAAUGGAUGGUCACAGUAGAUGAAGGAUGCAAAUUAUUAGGCAGUGAAAUCACCUAAUCUAAUGCAACAAGAAUUGGCAAUGGUAAUAUAAACUCUAAAAAAAUAUCAGAAGAUGAACUAGAAAGAAGAUGCUCAGUAAAAGGAAAUAUUGUCUCAUGAAAAACAACAUUUCGAGAAACAGAGAUAAUUUUUGAAUCAAGGUUCAAGACAUUAGAAUACCCUAAGAGUACACAUCGAUCCACACGAGGACUAAAAUUAUGUUUAUCCUUCUGUAACGUAGAAACAUAACAUAAGCAGCCAAAAGAUCUUAAGAAUAAGUAAUCGGGCUUCUUAAGCAUAACCAACUCAUAUGGAGAUUUGUGUUUAAGAAUAACAGAAGGUAAUCUGUUUAUCAAAAGACAACUCCAAAUGAAGAUCCGCUUGCGGCUAUAGCUAGAUCUGAGAGUUGCGAAUAUGCUUACAAAUUUUCAGGCUGAUCCAAUCCGAUUUGCCUGUCUGUUUCUCUCUUACACCAUAACAGGUCGGAUCUGCCACCUAGAUGGUUACAAUGGCUUCGCCUUUAAGGUUCUUGGCCACAAGAUAGCUCUCUGAUCUCUUCUAAGACAUGGCUGCUCUAUUUAUAGAGUGGAGAAGAGAUACUUCUAAAUUUAGAGUUUUAGAGAGGAAAAUAAUGAAAAUGGGUUUGAGAGUUUUUCUGAUGGGUUUUGAGUAAUCAGGCUGAAAAAAAAAAAAAAAAUUAGACCAAACCCUAUUCUUGGGAUGUCACAGAUUUAUUAGAGAAUAUAUUUACAUGAGUUUAUAAUUAUUUGUAUGAUAUUUACAUGAGUUUAUAAUUAAAUCGUACAUUAACAUAGCAUCGUUAUUGGAUAGUUAGUCGGAUCGGUUCAACCGGUCAUACGAAAAGUUUGUUUAAUAUAUAUAUAUAUAUAAGAAAAUAAGAAUAGUUAUUUUAAGAAAAAUAAAGAAAAUAAAAUUAAUUUCUUUUAAUUAUUUACAACUGCCAGCCAGCGAUUACAUCCGUCGCUUGAAGAAACUUAUUAUCUAAAUGAAUAAAUAAACUUUUAAUUUAUAGCGGUUCUAAGCGUCACAAAGAGAUAAGAAACAAGUUCAACGGUUUUAGUGAUUGUUAUUAAACGUCACGAAAAUAUAACCGUAUGCAAACAUAGCGUAUGUGGCUGGCAGCGAGAAAACUAUCCAACACUAAAUAUUACAUAUUUACUUUAAAAUUCAUGCCUGCUUAUUACCAAACCAUAUUUUUACCAAUUUUAAUUGUGACAUUUAAUGUCCGCACAUGCGUACAGGCCAGUCAUAAAUCUGAUAUAUUGCAUUCACAUCAAUUUGUGUGUAUUUUUGUUUUGAUAUGUCUUCUGAUUUUUUUCUGUCCUAUGUAACCAUUUUUUGAUAAUUUUAAUUGGUUGAUCAUUAAUCUUUACGUGUCUUUUAAAAGUGAUGUGGUAUAAUCGUUUUAAUUAGAUUAUUAAAGCUCGUUUAAGAUUGUCUUUUUAAAAACGACAAAAAAAAUCGGACAAAGUAAGUAAUAAAAAUAAAUGUAUGACCCAUAUAUUUGAAAGUGUCACUGGCCCAAUGGCAGAAGUCUCCCUUAUGCAUUUGAAGGACAUGUGUUUGAACCAAGGUGGUAACAAUUUUUUAAAAAAUCGUAGAAUUUUAAAACGACAUCGUUUUGAGUUAACCUAACAGUAACAGCAGAGUUAACAGCGUUUAACUUUUCUGUUAACUUUAUAAACGGAGUGCUGAUUUGGCAAGUCAACGAAAAGUUUGUUAUUAUUUAUGGAAGUCAACAAAAAUUAAAUGUUUAUUUGGCUAGCCUGACAGUUCAUGCUUUUUUUUGGCAAAAUGUGGAAAGUUUAAGGUUUUUUUGGCCGAAUUCUCAAAAUAAACUCAUUAAAGUUCGUUUAAAUUGUUUUUUUAACCAAUAAACAUUAAAACCUGUUUAAGAUUGUCUUUCUAAAAACCAAUUAAAGUCUGUUUAUAGUUGUUUUUAUUAAAACCAAUGAACUCAAAAAACCUAAUAUACUUCUUCGAUACACUAAAUAUAUAUAUAUAUAUCCUCUCUAACAUAGUUUGUCUUUUAAUGUUCUCUUUUUCGGUAAACAUUACAUUUGCUUUUUUCUAUUAAUUUUAUUAACGUACGCUUGAGUUUGAGUUUGUUGCUUGUGCUUAUAAAUUUUUUUGUAACAAUUCCUAAUCUUUUUAAGAUUAUGAUUGAAAAUGUUAGUAUAAACAACCAUAGUUUAAAAAAUAGCAUCAAUGUUCACAUACUCGUGAAACAAUGUAUAGCAUCAAGUCUAUCAAUUUUUUUGGUCUCUUAUUUUAGAUUUGAUGCGGCAAAAAGAUUGCUUUGGGAACCAAGUCUUUUUUUUUGUUGGAAUUAUCUUCUAUUCUUGUCAGUUUUUAUUUUUCAUGCAAACGUUGACAUUAAAAUCUCUUUGUUAGAUUUGAUACCAUAUUAAAUUUCAAAUCUGAAUUAAUCAUUAUAUUUAUACAUUAUUAUUAUGGAUGAGUUUAUUUUCGUUAUCUGUAGCCCAAACUCUCUUCCCACGAAAAAAACGAUUAAACCAAUAAUAUUUAUUAUAAACAGGCCGAUAGACUUUAGUAUAAACAAGUUUCAAUAGCCUAAUUAUAACAAAAUUUGUCACAUCGCUUUAAAGCACGUAUAGAAUUAAUGAACGAACAAAAAAUAAAUACAUGACAUGUCAGGACAAAACGACACAUAAGAUUUUGGACUUCACAAAUAAUAGUAACUAGGAAUUAACAUGCACAUUGUGCGGGGUAAUGUUUUUAAGAAUUUUAAAUAUUUUUUAAAAAAAUUUUGGUUAAGUUAAAAAUUGGUAGCAAAAACCUUUUAACAAAAAAUAUAAAUAAAUAAAAUUGGUAGCAAUUAGAUAACUAUAUAUAUAUAUAUAUAUAUAAAUAUCAUACAACCGAUAUUUACGUGUAUAUGUAUCUAUUGAAAGAACUUUGAGCUAGUUUUGUUAUGCGGUGUAAUUAUUAGUAGUUUUUAAAUGUGAAGGUGAUGUGAUGUUAAUAUAUUCAUACUUAUAUACUGCUGGGAUAAAUUCGAUCCUUCCUACAUGGACGAACUGCAUGCUUGCACGUGGCGUCCAUGUUUUUUUUUUCAGGUACGGCCCCCCUGGGCCAAAUUAGGAUCCGUAGUGGGUCGUAAGCAUAUAGCACUGGGCCUCGAAUCCAUAAGGAUUCGGGAGAUCCGGUACGAUAGAUCACUUGUUCCCGGGUUCCUCGUAUCUAAUAGUGCAGGCCACGCUGUCAGAAGUAAGGAGGUCGAAACUGAGUGGUCAAGAGGAGGAGAAGUCCCAUUUUCUAUGUCCUAGGCCUAAACAUGGUAAUCCGGAAAGGUCGAGAUAUAAGGUAGUGUGGCCUACACAGGAUCUGGAGAGCGGAGUCAUCCAUCGAGACAACCCCGACAGCCCGGUCCCAGUAUCGAGGGAUCCAUGUCAGGUAUGAAAUAAUUUUAUGAGCGGAAAACACUAUUCAAAUUUUCCUCCAUUCGAUAAUAGGAAUAUGCCUUAGUAUGAUUUGAUUGCCCAUACUCUUACAAAACCAUGAAAUUGGCAUUUAAUGCACCCUUCUUACAUGUGUCAGGCGACAGCGACCUUUCACAGAAACUAGAGGAAAAGAAGAGGUUCAUCAAGAGUUAUACCGCGUAUGAACCGCCAACCCAAUCCGUACACUGGAGACGAAAGGAACAUGCUAAGGAGCGGUCUCGCAGCAGGCAGAACACGUCAAGGAAAGUUGGUGAGACCGUCAGAGGUAUGACGUGGGAAAAAGAUUUGAACCCAAUAAAAUCGGAUCGAGAACCGACCAACCCACCCGACUCGCUAUGCAAGGACAGACCCGGUAUACUAACCCGGGUCAGGUAAAAUCCUAUAAAUACAUUAUCCUUUCCAACAAGGAAGGAGAUCACUUUUAUUUGCUAUCUUAAGGCUCAUAUUAUCUCUCUAGAUACUUGUGAUCUUUGAGCCCUAACAUAUUAUACUUUCCGGUCAUUACUCAGAACAAUGUUUUAGUUCUUCUCCACGGCGGUUCCUAAAUCGUGGAGUAUUUCCACCCACAAACUCUUUCAUUUCUUCUCUUUUAACUAAUUCUUUAUAAGGAACGCUGGGCCCAUCUUUCUUCUCUCGUUUUCCGAACUCUUUCCUCUCUCCAAUUAGUCACUCUGUGAUCUUUCUUCACUGUUUUCUGACUUGAACGUCGGAGAACCUUCCGAAAACACACCAUCAUCGUGUUUUUUGGGCCUUCACGUGCUUUCUGUUUUUGCAAGAGACUUACCCCCACAAAGGAUCAAAAAUCUCUAAAUAGUUUAGCGCUAGAAAGAGGAGGGCAACACUCUUCUAUAGGAAGAACUGAAACCAUACACGACCUUGAAGGUAUGUCAUGACAAGAGAAGACGGAGGUAGCUCACCAGAGAACGACACCUUGGAGGGGAUGGAAGGAGAGAACAUCUGCUGGGUCGACAGACCGACCAAGCUAUUCUCGGGAUGCCCGAUGAUAAGGGGAACAUCUUUGGUUCCCCACGCCGCCGCCAAACGCACACUCAGAACUCGUCCAGAGUGUAGAAGAAAAUGCCCUGUAAAAUUCCUUACAUCCAAAAACCUUAGUGAAAGUGUUGGCAAACUGGUCAUUAUAUAUAACAAAUGAGUUAAAGACUCGUGGGCAAUGCCCAAUAAAGUCUGCCAUGGAUUGGUCCUGUACAACAGUUUUUAUAUCAAUUAAAAAGUGCAGGCCUCGUAGGUUGAUCGAUUGCAGUUUGCGGAUUAAACAAUUGGGAUCUAUACUAGUUUCGGCAAAGAUAAUUGACAAGAACGUCCAAAACCGGCUAAGUGAAAGACAACGUCUUGGAGACCAAAAGUAUGAAAGAAGCCUCAUGUAUUGGUUUGCCACACACAAAAAAAAAACUAUUUGUUUUUAGUUUCCAUUUUAUAAAAAAAAACUAGGUAUUUAGCCCUUUUUUGCAUGGGCAGAGAAGUUUAUUAAAUAAUACUAGGAGAGAAUCCGCGCGUAUGCGCAGAUCUUGUUUUAAUUUAUAUUUUGAAUAAUUUGUAUUGAAUUUUAUGUUUACUAUUAUUGUAUUUUUGUUUAGAAUAUUUAUAAUAAAUUAUUUGUAAUCUCUUCUACACCAGUUGUGUCAAAUAGUCUAAUUUUUUCUUCGAUCUUCAUAUUCUUUUUAUUCUUGUAAAUCUUACUAAUAUAAUAUUUGUUAAUUUUCUUAAUUUUCUAUUUGAAUUUUUUUGGUUAUAUAUAUUUUAUUGAUACCAUCUUUUUAUUAUUAAAAAAAUUAUAUAUGACAUUUUUAUGUGGAUACUUUUUUUUACUAUUAUUUUUUUAAUAACUUUUAUCUUUUUAAUAGUUUAUUAAAUAUGCUUUGUGUUUUAUACUUUUAUUAGUUGAAUUUUUAUAUAAGAUUAUUUGAAACUUUUUAAUUUAGUCAGUCUCAUAAUUUUUUUCACUUGCAUUAAAAUUUAAUUAUAUUUUUAGUUUGUAAAUGAAUUUUAAAACAUUUGAAAAAAGAAAAUAGAACUAUGCAAUUAAAAAGUCUUAUAUUAUAUAAUAGUUAUAAGUUUUUAUAUAUUAAAAUUAAAUUUUAAUUUUAUUCUAAUAUAAAUAUAUGUUAAUAUUUAUUUAUGUUUUUAAUGUGUUUGCUUUAAAUAUGAUUAAUUAAUUAUUUUGUUAAUAUUUGAAGAGGAUAGGUGGUGCUCUCUCCAGUGCUGACGUGUCGCUCAACUGGAGAGAGUUGGCCAAAUUUUAUAUAUAUGACUAGGAGAAUACAUGCACGUAAUAUGCGGGUUUUUUCUUUAAUUAUUUCAAAUUGAUAUAUUUUUGUAUUUUUCUUAAAGAAAUAUAGUCAUCAUUUCUUCUAUGUUACUAUAUAAUUAUAAAUCAAUCAAUUUAAAAUUUAAUAUUAUUAAAAAAUCAAGAGUUUAUACAAAAAAGCUAUCAAUGUUUUAGCAUAAAUUCUUGUUUAAUAUUUAUAUAACUGUUAUUUAAGAAUCAGUUAAUAAAAAAAAACUAUUUUCUUUGAAUGGUUGAGAAUUUAAUACUAAAAUUUAUUAAUCAAUUUUUUUUUGAUAAUUGUAACUUUAAAUUAAAAAUUGACAAAUGUCAUCUCUAUAUUAACUCUAAAAUGCUGAUGUGUCACUCAUAUAUAGAGAGUUAGCCAUCUUUUAUAUAUAAGAUUAUAAGUAAACAAUAUAUUUGGUAGUUUAAUCUUCAUCUCUAAAGUAAUCAUUAUUUGCAUAGAUUAGUUUUAUGCAUUAUUUUAUUCAUUCAACUUUUAGCCUCAAAUUUCUCCUUUUUUGGCUAAAUUGACUAUCCUUACUGAUUUUUAUCUUCUCGUAAGCGUAGACGUGAAACCAUUUUAUCCAGUUGUAUGUAACAAAUCAAUCUUUUUUGCUAGCUUUGAUACCAUAUUUAGUUUCAUCUCUGAAAAUUUCAUUAUAUAUACAUUAAGUUUAAAGAUGAUUUUAGUUCUUCAUUCUCUUGAAAUUUCUCCCUGUUUAACGAAAAUUGUCUCUCUUUGGUUGAUACUUAUCUUUUAUGCAAGCGUGGAUACAAAACUUUAAUAUCAUGUUGAUACCAUGUUAAACUUUUUUAAAAUUAUAGUCAUUAUUUAUAGACAUUAAAUAUAUAGAUUAUUGUAACUAGGUGAAUCUCCGCACGUUACGUGCAAGUUUUUUUUUCUUCAACUAUUUCAAAUUUCAAAUUCCUAAGAAAAAUGCAAUCCUACUUUAUUAUGUGUUAGAAUAUUAUUAUAAAUCGAUCAUUUAAAAUAUAAUAUUAUUAAAAAAUUAAGAUUAUACAAAAAAAAAUCCAUCAAUAUUUUUAAUUAAUUAUAACAUAAAUUCUUGUUUAAUAUUUACAGAAAUAUUAUUUAAGAAUCAAUUAAUAAAAAACUUUUCAUUUUCUUUUAGUGUUUUAAAACUUCAUAUAAAAUUUAUUAAUUAAUUUUCCUUAAAAACUUUUGUAACUUUAAAUUAAGAAAUAUGACACAUAUCAUCCCUAUAUUAACUCUCAAAUGCUGAUGUGGCAUUCGUAUGAAGAGAGUUGGCCUUCUUUUAUAUAUAAAAUUUUUCAUUCUCUCUAGUCGGAAAUUUCUUCCUCUUUUGUCGGAAUUGUCUUUUGUUCUUCUAUGUUUUUAUAUUUCAUGCAAGCGUGUACAUAAAAUUAUUAUAUCAGAGCGUAGGUAAACAAUUCUUUUGUUAGCUUUGAUACCGUGUUAAGUUUCAAAUCUGAAUUAGUCAUUCUUUUAUACAUUAUUUUUUAUGGACGAAUUUAUUUUCAUUCUCCGUAGUUCGAUCUCUCUUCCCACGGAAAGACGAUUAAACUAAUAAUAAGAAAACCGCAGACUUUACAUUGAAACGAGCUGCAGAUAAAAUUUAGAAUAAAAUGGACUUUAAUGAUCCAGUUAGUAUGAACUAUGACACAUCACUUUCAAAACACACAUAGUAUAAAUGAACAAUUUAUUAAAAAGCUAGCUUUAAUACCAUGUUAGAAAAUAAACUAAUCCUUUUUGCUAGCUUUGAUACCAUGUUUAGUUUCAUCUCUGAAUUUUUCAUUAUAAAUAUACAUUAAGUUUAAAGAUAAUUUUGGUUCUUCAUUCUCUAGAACUUUUUCUCUGUUUAACGGAAAUUAUCUCUAUUUGUCAGUACUUAUCUUUUAUGCAAGUACAGCCACAAAAUUUUGAUAUCAAAGCGUAGGUAAUUAAACAAUUUUUUUGGUAAUUUUGAUAUCAUGUUAAUCUUUAUCUUCAAAAUAGUCAUUGUUCAUAUACAUUAAUUUUAUAGAUUAUUUUAAUUCUUCAUUCUCUCUAGCUGGAAAUUUCUUUCUAUUUUGUCAAAAUUGUCCUUUAUUUUUUUGGUUUUCAUCUUUCAUGCAAACAUGGACAGAAAACUAUUAUAUCAGAGCGUAGUUAAACAAUUCCUUUGUUAGUUUUGAUACUGUGUUAAGUUUUGAAUCUGAAUUAAUCAUUAUUUUAUACAUUAUUUUUAUGGAUGAAUUUAUUUUUGUUCUCCGUAGUCUAAUCUCUCUUCCCACAGAAGGACGAUUAAACCAAUAAUAAGAAAACCAUAGAUUUUUUAAUUAAAUAAGACCGCAGAUAAAAAUUAGAAUAAAAUUGACUUUAAUGAUCCAGUUAAAAUGAAGUAUGAUACAUCACUUUUAAAAUACAUGUAGGAUAAAUGAAUGACCUAUUAAAAACAUUAAAAAAGUCAAUAAGUUAGAAAAUAAACUAACCACACAUCAGAUUUUUUGCUUCAGAAAUAUAUCGAUUGAAAAACAAUGUUGCACUUGAUGUACAAAUGGCUUUUGAUUGAAUAACUAUUACAUUCAAUUAAAAAAACAAUAACGCCUAGAGAGACUAGAAGUGCCUUUAACCAAAGUAAUUAACUAACCGUCAACACCAUAGAUGGCGCGAUGCUCUUCGACAGAGGAUCAAGACACAAGCUGCUGUUUUUGAGACUUCAAAGAUAUAGAACAACCACCAAACUGAAUAAUAGAAUCUGUAUAAUAACGUCUUGUUGUUGGGCAUCAUGCCCGGCCGGAACUGCCCCAUGCAAUAAGAGACAGAUGAGUCUUAGCUUUUAAAAGAAAACCAUGUCACAGAUUGCCUUUGACCUUGAGUAAACAUAUAAACCUUGUUGUUGCAUCCCAAUGAGUCUGUUUUGGUUCUUGCAUGAACUAAGCAACAAUGUGGACCAGUGUUAAUCUGCAGGUUCAGGAAUUGUACCUCUUUUAACUAAAGCAAGACGUACGAUGGUUCUUCUCCAGAGGCACAGGUCUCCGAAAUGAUAUUAUGAUGGUCACAAAAUGUGAAAGCAGUUUUAAAAAUGUUUCCUACCUAAAAUCCCAAGCGCAAGGCUGAAAUCGAAGUAGUACUAGGUACAAAUUCACAGGGAGGAAGCAGAGUCGACCCUUGGCCAAUCCAAGAAAGCCUAUACUUCCGGCUGAUUCUUUUAUAAAAAAAUAUUUGGUCCUCAAUUAUUCAAAACUUGUCUUAGUCUGGUCAGACUGAUCGUAAAGUCUUAUGUGGCGCUUUUAGUCCCCAUUCCGUGUUCGAAUCUGCAAAUUGCCUUAGUUGUUGGGUCUAUAUGAAAAACGUUGAGAGUCUUUAGAUUUCUGGUAGUCUAUACUCUUAAGGGAAAAAUAAACUUCCUUGGCAGCCUGUUAUAAUCUUAUUUCUUGGACCCAACAGUACGAACAAUGAAAUCGCACUACACAAAACCAAAGAGAAUAUAAUACAGAGACAACAUAAACAACAAACGAUAUUAUUAUGCAAAGAGCAGACAUUACAACUCGAACACUGAGACAUUACAUUAUGAAACUUUAUUCCCAUAGAUUCUUUUUCUUGAGUUACUUCAUUACAAACUCACCAUGGUUCACUUAUAGUCAUACACACGUAUAACUGUAUUAUAUAGAUGUAGCCAUGCAUGGUGGUUAAUAUAAUAUGAAGUUUUUAGUUACCAGGCUGAGUCUCAACUGCUUCUACUCCGUGCCCUCCUCUUCCUCCGUGUCCACCGCGUCCUCCUCUUCCUCCUUUGUAUCCUCCCCCUCCUCCUCCGUAGUGUCCCCCUCCUCCUCCGUAGUGUCCUCCUCCUCCUCCUCCUCCGUAGUGUCCUCCUCCUCCGUAGUGUCCUCCUCUUCCUCCUCCGUAGUGUCCGCCGCGGCCACCACCAUAUCCAUCAGGUUUCACAGUUUCCUCACUCUCUGACUUCACCCCUGUCCAAAAAAAUAUAGAAAAAUCACAUUAUUUCAAAGAUAUUGUUUAGCACGUGCAAAUGUUCUUUCCUCUCCCCGAUUUCAAAAACGAAAUUUCUCUUAUAAACAUUUUAAAAUAUGUAUCGAAUCUCUUGUUUAGAAUAAAGAAUUAUGAGUUUCAAAAUUAAAUAUACGUUCUAUAUAAAAUUUUCACCAAUAUACGUAAGUGUCUUUUAUUACUAGGACAUCAACAUCGUACUUAAGUGUGUUUUUUGACUUAUAAGUCCAUAUAGUUGACCUUCGUUCAAAUCAACCUUCCGGACUUAACACGGACGAAAUAGACAAAUAGAGACAAUAUUAUCAAAUAUGGUACGUUUGUUUGGGUUCGAUUAGCUUCACGAACAUUUAUUUUGUUUCUAUAAAAUAAUUUUAUUUACCCGAUGAUUGCCUUUCUGCGGCAACUUCUGAGACGACGAGAAGUAAUGCAAAGAGACCCAAAAGAAUCAAAGCUUUGGAAGCCAUUUUCUUCUACUGCUUUUAAGUUUAUAACACUCUUUUGUUUUGUUGGAGAAAGAAGUGAUGAAUAAAAUGUUCGCCUGCAUGCUCUCUAUUUAAAGAAAGGGUAACGAAGAGGAGAAAAGUCAAAUAACUAAUCCGUGGACCGUAGUGCAUUAAAAAUAACGAGGAAUUUUAUUUAUUAAAGAGAUAAGUAAGGGUAUUUGCAUUAUUUGCAGAUAAUGACAAAAAGAGCAAUUCAGUAAAAUAGGAUUGAGACUGUGCUUCGCGCGGAUUGUAAUUUAUGUUCAUGUUUUUAUAUAUUUUAUAUAUUAUUUCUUAAGAAAUAAUUUGUUGAUAAUUUUUUCUUAGUUUAAUAGUUUUAUUUUUAAGUUUACAUUGUAUUAACAAUAUCUGUGUUCUGUUAGUUAUUCUUACUGGUAGAUUAAAAACUCUAUAAAUUAAUAAUAUUAGGACUUUGAUAUUUUAUUAAUUUUUAGAGUUAUUAAUUUAGAGGUUUCAAAUAAAAAACUAUUUCUUAUUAAUUUUAAAAUUAAAAAAAAAUCGUUGAAAUUUAUAAUAUUUUUAAAAAAUUAAAAAAAAUAAAAAUGAGUUCCAAGAAGACUUCAAUUUAAAUUAAACAAAAACAUAGUAGAUUAUCUCACUUAUAUGUUUAUAUCAAAUUUUAUUUAUGGUAAUUAUUAAUUUAUGAUAAUAAUGGGACCAUAGAUUUACAUAAGAGUUUUGUUAAGUUUAUUAUCUUAUUAUCUUAUCGAAUUGUGUCAUAAUUUGAACUGGCUCAACGUAACUCAGAACUAUGAAAAAUUAUUAAUUUAUGUAUUUAUUAAUUUAUCGAGUAUUAAUUUAUAGAGUUUUUAUUGUAUGUCUAUAUAAAAAUAGUUUUUUUAAUUAUAUUAUUAACUUCUGUAAUUUUUUAUUUUGUGUGUUUUUAUAUUUUAUCUGUACUAUUGUGUGACUCUAAUUAUAAUUAUUUAAAUUAUUUUUUUAUUUUUCUUAAUUUAUACUCUCUAAAUUAUUAUUUUUUAAUUCAUACUCCGUACAAAUUUUUAUUUUUAGUCAUCUAUUAUUUUGAAUUGUUGAAUAACUAAUUUAUCAUAUUUUUCUUUUUUUGAAAAAAAAAUUUAUACUCCUUUUCCAUCUUCAUAUUUUUAUAAUUUAUUAGUUUUAUCUUUUUUUUUUUUUUUAUCUUUAACGUUUCUGUUUUUGUAUUUUAUAAAAUUCAUCUUCAUUAGUUUCAUGUUCUUCAUUUUUUUAUUUAUUUUUUUCAUUUUCCAAUGGUUUUUGACUUCUACUUUUCUUCCUCCUGUUUUUUUUUAUUCUUUUUUCAUUGUCUUUUUUUUUAAUUAUCAUCAUUUUUCUAAUUUUUUUCAGUUUAUAUAAUAUAUUAUUUUUAAUAAUAUAUAUAUAUUUAAUCCAGUUAGUAUUACAGUUUUCUUUAAAUAUUAAUAUCUAAUUGCCACUUAUCUUUUUAUUAUACUAAUAUUUAUUUUAUUUAAUUUAAUUUGUACUAAAUAUACUAAUAACAAAUAUAAAUAUAUAUAUAUAUAUGUAUUAAAUGUUUAUUUUAAAUAUGCUUUAAUGUUAAAAUUUAUGAGUUUGUUGAUGUGGACACCCUAGAUGGAGAUAAAAUUCUCUUAUUAUAUUACAGAUUAUAAAAUAUUUGUUCUUUCUCAAGGGAACAAAAAUACUUUUUUAUUUUUUUGUUGAAUGUUUCAUUUGAUUGUUAAGGGAAAAAACAGUUUUUUUGUCCCAUAUCGUGUUACAUUUUUAUAUGGACAGGUAAUUUUUUUUUUUUAGGGCUAAACAAAUUUUAUAUAUUAAGAAUAAGGAUUACAAUCUGCAAAUACAGCAUUAGACAACCAUAAAGGUGGAUACAAUUUUGAUGAAUAAAAAACAGCAUUACACAACCAUAAAAGUGGAUACAAUUUUUAUAUGGACAGGUAAUUUAUUGAUUGGAUUUUUUUAUACAGUUUAUUAAAAUAAUUCGAAUGUUUCUCCUCCACGUAUCAUGCUACUUUCUAUUGAAUGAAACCUUUGUCUCAACUUUAAUUUUAUAUUUGAAGUAUAUAAAUAAUUUAGUGCGUUAAAUAUCGGUUUAUUUAUAUAUUUUUUUCUUGAUGGUUUAUUUGUGUUUGAGAAUUUUUUUUUUUUAACAUUUUCUUAGAUUAAUUAAAGAAAUCCAGCCGGUUAAAGCAGUACAGUGAAGCUGUAAAGAGCUCGUUCUGCUAUCUCAUCAGUUAAAAGAUUGUCUGAUUGAGGAAUGUGUUCGAAAAAGAUGCAAUUGAAACAGAGUGACAGAGAGACUAUAUCGAAAGUAAUCCCCGCGAUCUCUUUGAUUUUUGUCCCUCGAUUGAUUGCUCUGAUCAGAUCCGAAGAGUCCGAUUGGACAUGAAGCUUUGUGAUCCCGAGAUUUGUGGCGUGAGUCAUGGCAGAUCUCAGGGCUAGAGCUUCAGCGAUGAUCGGGGAGGUCACAAAUUCUUCGAUAUCCAUACCCUGGUUCCAUGGUGGCGAAUUUCCUCAACGGAAAACCCAACCCAAUCUGCCGAUCUGAUUCUCUUCCUUCCAGGCCACAUCGGUUUGCACAAUGGUAUGGUCUGUUGGGAUUUCCUUCGGAUCUCAUGUUUGAAGAGUUGAAAUCUCCCUUUCCUGUAGGUCAUGUGCCUGAAUCCAAUCUCUUGCAUUGCAGAUGGCUUUGUUCACCGUUUCUAAUGGUGUGAAUGUUCUGUUCUCGAACAGUCGGUGGUUCCUGGAUAACCAGAUGGCCCAGCAGAUCCAGGGGAAGAGUAGUCCGGCUUCUAUUCCUGUUGGAGGUAGAGUGACCCAUCCCUUCGAUGCUUUGAGCCCUGUUGCAAAAUCCGGAAUGAAAAAGGGAUCUAUGGUGUAUUUGAAGGGCGCCAGUGACCAAACCGCCUUGGCGAAGUGACAGUAGAGGAAAAGGUGGUCAGCUGUUUCUCUUUCUCUGCAUAGACUGCAGGAAGCGUUGUUGGAGAGUCCCCCGGUAAGUAGAUUUGCUCCAGUUGGUAGUGCUUUCUUGAGUAUCUUCCAUAGAAAGACCUUUAGUUUUAGGGAAGUUUUCUUAUGCCAGAUAUCUGAGUUCCAGUUAAUUGUGGUUGUCUGUGCAUGAGAGAGUGGUUACUUCAUUCGCUGAUGUGUCGCUGUGUGGUAUCCUGACUUGGUCGAAUAAUUUCCAUCUCUGUUUGGGGUCCAAAUGUAAGAGUCUUCUCCGCCUCUUUUGCUUGGUUUUAUGCUUAAGAUCACAGAUGAGAGGUGUGGGACAAUAACUUCAAUCUUUCUUGUGUCCCAGGUGGUUGAGUUCUCUUUUAUUAGGUCUGAGACCAGCAGAUCUUUAUUGGCGUUGGUGGGAAGGCCAACUACUCCUAGCAGUGAUGUCGUCGAUAGCCAGGGAUCGGACCAUAGGUUGGUUUUUCGUCCAUUUCCAAUUAUUUUGCUUAUAUUUGAUUGCAGGAUAUCUUUGCCAAUCAUGAUUCCCCUCCACCCGUGGGAAGAGGAAGAUGUUGAUUCAGCUCUGAGGAAGGUUGUGGACCGGUGGUAUCUUCUUUUGAGAACUCGGGCCAGUAGACACUAUGGGUUUAUCAAGAUUCUCCAACUCAGUUUGGCCAGUAAGGUGUCGUUGAAGCACUCAAUGUCACAGAAACCAAGACCACCCUCUUUCUUUGUUCUUGUUAGCUUUGACCAUGCUAGCCAACACAUUUUUCUUUUUUCAGGGUUGGCGUCCCACCAAAAGCGAGUAAGAGCGGAUUGGAUGCGUUUGCAGAGACUUGCAGGGAGCUUGAAGCACGACAUCGUGUACGCUGGGAUGGCUGAGAGAACUGUCUUCAGCAUCGUGAUUUUACCCGCCGAUGAUAGAAAUUUUGUUGACCAACUCGUUGACGUAUCCUGUCCACAAUCUGAGUAAAGAGGUCUUUUUUCCUUCUCCCAAAAUGUUCGGGUAAGCCAAGGUACUUCCCUUUACCUCCCUCUUGACUGAUUCCCAGAUCCUGUUUAACUCUUUCUCGUACAUCAUCAGGAGUUUUGCAUGAGAAUGUAAAGGAUGAUUUUUGUAGAUUGAUCUUCUGUCCCGAGGCUUCUUCAUAUUUCCUGAGAAUUGCCAUGAGUUCUGCGCAGGCUUGGGGGGAUGUUUUACAAAAGAACAUUGUGUCAUCCGCAAAUAGUAAAUGGUUUAUUCUUGGGCUUUCUUUUGCAACUCUAAUGCCUGACAAGCGGCCAUUCUGUUGAGCUUUUUUGCAGAGACCAGAGAGCACUUCACCACAUAUGAUAAAUAUAUAGGGUGAUAGUGGAUCACCUUGUCUGAUGCCGCGUUGAGGGAGGAUUGGAACGUACGCUGGGUCAUUCACCAGAUACGAAUAGGAGACUGAGGUGAUGCACAUCAUUAUCCAAGUAAUCCACUUCUCAUUGAACCCAAGCCUUUUCAGCACCGUUUCAAUGAAGCCCCAUUCCAGGCGAUCAUAUGCCUUACUCAUGUCAGUUUCAACUGCCAUGAAGCAGUGUUUUUUCUCUUUAGAUCGUUUGAGGAAAUGUAGAGUCUCAUGUGUUAUCAUGACAUUGUCUGAUAUGACCCUUCCAGGGACAAAAGCUGAUUGGGAUUCUGAAAUGUUUUUUUUCCAGGAUAGGUUGGAGCUGCUUGGUGAGAAUCUUCGAGAAGAUUUUGUAAAAGACACUACAGAGUGCGAUUGGCCGGUAGUCGGAGACUGUACGUGGAGCAUUGUGUUUUGGUAUCAGCCGAACCAAAGUAUGGUUGAUGGAGCUGGGGAAAGAUCCGGAACUAAAGAAACUUUUGAUCUCUGAAGUUAUUGCAGGGCCUACUGUUGUCCAGUUUGAUCUGAAGAAAGAUGCAGAAAAGCCAUCAACUCCUGGAGCUUUAUCCAGAUAGAUGGAGAAGAGAACAUCGUUUGAGAAUAUCAAAUAAAUAUAUUUUAAAAGUUUUUAAAAAAUUAACUGCUACAGUUUCUACUUAUAUUUUUAUUAAUGCAUUUUAAAAACUUAAACCAGUUCAAAAAUUGAAACCAAAUAGUAUUAAAUUUGUAUACUAUAUAAAAAAAAAAAAUACACACUACUACCGAUAAAGUAAGCUACUAGUUAAGCUCAUUGCUUAGUCUUGUUGUACUUCUAGUUUGAUUUACAAUGGAAAUAGAAAAGAUGUUUUACGCCAUAUCAUAUAGUAUUAGCAAAGACUAGUCCCAAGAGAAGAGAAGUUGUAAGAAGGAUUAAGAUCAUGAAAAAAUACACACUCUAUAUUAAUCAUAUAUUUACCAUAAUAUUUUUUCAGUUUUCAUCAAUUCUAACAGUUUAUUUACAAAAACUAUGUAUCCGUGUAAUCUCCUUGGUUUAGUGAUUGACCAUAGAUUUAAUUUGAUUCCAAAACGAUGCUAGUUAAUGGAAUGCAAUUUUAUAGAAGGUUUAGCAUGGUGCAAAUAGAGCUGUUCGUCAUAAUUCAUCAGUCAAAGUAAAACUGCCCAUCACAAACAUGGUACAUGUAGAACCAUUUAUCGUGGAUUCUUGUAAAUAGAUAAAGAAAAUCAUUGUAUAGAAGCAUUUGUAUAAUUGUUUUCAUAAUUUAUAAUCCUUUAUACAGUAUUAAUCAAUUAGGGUUGAUAAAAAACAGUAGUUUCACAUUUAAUUUACAAAUAAGUCAUCUGAUGUGUCAUCGCCAUAAAACUUCUCCAAAAAAAAGUUAACUUACUAGAAUAAUUACAUUCAUGUCAUUUAGAUUACAUUCAUGUCAUUCACAUUUAAUUUACAAAUAAGUCAUCUGAUGUGUCAUCACCAUAAAAGUUCUUCAAAAAAAAGUUAACUUAUUAGAAUAAUUACAUUCAUGUCAUUUAGAUUUAAUACAUGCAUAUAUAUAUAUAUAUAUAUAUUAUAAUGAGAUUUAUGUAGAAUAUUAAAUUAAUAUUAUUUUUAAGUUUAUUCAUUUCUAUAAAAAAAAAUUAAUUUUUAUUUUUUGUCUCCAAAUUAUAUUACUUUGAUUCAAAGGGUUAUGAUUUUAUUUUCAAAAUUUCUUUUUUAUUGUGACAAUACAAGUUCAAUAUUUAUUUGCUCAAUAUAAUUUUUUAUUACAAAAUCUCUUAUUUUUCAUAUUUAAAUUCAAAUUUAUAUAAUGGAAGAUCUAACCUUCAUAUUAUUUUUAUGAUUAUUCAAAUGUAAAGCAUGUAAUAUAAUUCGCACACGUUUACUAAUGAUUAUUGAGAUAUAAAAAUAUAAUAGUGUUUAAUGCUAAAGGUCUCAUCAAACUAUAUUCUGAUUUGAUUAUAUCGUUUGAUGCUAAUAUAGUUUUAUGCUAUUGGUCUUAUCCAGGGGUGGAUUCAGAAAAAAAUUUAGUAGAUAGCAUAAUUUUAUAAAUAGGGAAAAACAAUUUUUUAUAUGAAAACAUAGUAUUAACAUAUAAUUUUAAUGAAAUUAAGUUAACAAUUGGAUUGUUUCAGCUUUUACAACUACUUUUAUAUUCAAAUAAGCUUUAAAGAUUGAAUUUUUUUUUCUUUUACUUUUUUUAUUAACAUGAGCAACAUAAUUUUAAACUAUAGGGAUUUUUUCCUUUUUAUCACUAAAUUAAGAACAUUUAAAUUUAAUUUACCAAAACUAUUUAGGAAAAAUAAAAACGGUAAGGGAAACAUGACCCGAUAUGGUCUUUACUAUGUCCGCCUCUGAUCUUAUCAAUCACACACGUACAAAGAGAUAUUCACGUGACGAGUUGCAUAUUUUAAUUUAAAAUUGAAUAAAUUUUUUUACAGAAUACUAUUUAUUUUACAUAUUCGAAUUCAAAUCAGAAUAUUUUUUAUUCAAAUAUAAUUGUAUUAAAUUUUAUAUUUAAAUUCAAAUCAAAUCAAAUAAAGCUUUUAUUUCUAAUCAUAAGAAAGUGUAUAGUUAAAUCAAAUUUUAAUAAAUUUGCAACUAACAUAUAUCUGCAGGGAUUAUUCAAUUAGAACAAGGUUUAUAUAGAAUAAAUAGAUUUUUCAUGGUAAGAGUAAUUUUCACUAUUGGUACUCCUUAUGGAAAGAUAAAUUGUUGCUAUUAAAUAAUUAGAUAUUAAAUACAAAAUUACGUUUUCUGAUUGAAGAGACAUUUGAUUUCGAAUUCACAUUCAAAUCUUCUUAAUAUGUGGGAAACCCUUGAUUUCCAGCACUAUUUAAUCGAUAUCGAUUAGCACCCUUUCUUAUGAUUAAACAAAUACAUACUAAUAUAAUUUUUAAAUAUUUCAUUUGCAAGACCGAGAUUACUACCUACAAGAUAACUACUUAGGCUAUUAAAAAGCUGACAAAAAGGCUAUUAAUAAAAAUAAAACUAUCAUUCUUAGGGAUUUACCAUAUGCUUCAUACAGUGUUUCCUUAAGAGUUACACUUCUAUUUGUCCAUUUACCGGUGAUAUUUUCCUAUUUUUAUUAACUCUAGCAAUUGUCAAUUACUUAAAAUAGGUUAUUACCAGCGCAGAAUAAAUAUUAAUCAUAAUUUUUUAUUUAAAUAUGUAAAUAUAAUGUAUAUAAGUACAACUAUAAAAAUGUUAGCUGAUAUUUUUAAUUACAACUAUAUAUGCUGAUUAUGCAAUCAUAAAUAAUAAUUAAAAUUACAUUUAUUUUGUAAUACAAAUACAUAAAUGCUAAAUAAUUAUUAGUUUUAUAAUUAAUUUUAAUAAUAUUUUUUAUAUGACUGAACUUACACAUUAAAUAUACUAAAUUAGAUUAAUAUGUUCUAUCUAACAGGUCUAACAUCAAACUAAAAUACUUUGCUUUUGAUAUAAAAAAUUGAAUUAUAAUAUGUAUGAAAAUAUUUAGAUUAUUUUAUUAUUAAAUAGAUAAUGUAAUUAUUGUUUUUUAAAGAAAAGUAAGAUCAAAUAAAAGACAAAAUACAAAAUAUAAUGUUUAGAAACAUAAUUAAUGUUAUGUAUUAAAAUUUUAUAAAUGUGAUAAGAAAUAGAAAUAGAAAGAAUAUCUUUACAAAUUAAAUGUUUGAGUAUUAAAUAUAUAAUUGACAUAAAUUAAUUUCUAACCAAAUUAAUGUUAGUGGCAUAUGAUAUACUUAAUCUAGUAAGUUUCUUUUUUUUUGAACAUUUAUUAAUCUAGUAAGUUGACCAUACUUUUUAAAAAUCUAUAAAAAACUCUCUGAAAUUAACACCUCAAUAUGACACUUAUGUAAAUAAUACAUAAGAUAAAUGUUUUUUUUAAAGCAUUUUUAUCAAUUAAUAAUAUAUAACUUUUCAUUUCAUCCCGUGAUUUACCCAGUCCGUCCUAAAAUUAAAGUGGUAAGAUGAUGAUAAGUAUAUGUCUACGUUGCAUCGGUCCCCUUAUGGUGGGUUGUUGGAUCCAUCAGUGAAUAAUUUGAAAGUCUAUAAAUGGCGAACCCCACCAGUGUUUUAGACUGUUUCUUAUUAAUGUCUUUUUUUUUUUGGCAGUCUUAUUAAUGUCUUAAACACAGCACAAUCACACACGUAUAGAACUAUAGAUAUCUAGAAAUUCCAUUAUUGGAUUAUAAUUGAUUUUAUUAUGACGGAUUCUUUUGGACACAAAAGCUAGCCGACGUCUUCUUUGAAAAUUCUCACAACCGACAGAUUUUAAACAGCCGUAUAGAGACAAAGGCAGUGAGAGUAAAGCAUAGAGUGACAACACGUAGUAACUACAAAGAAUUGACUUUUUAAAGGGUGCAAAAUUUUGCCUGGCUAUAUUUAAUCGUUAUACUUCUUUUUAUGGAUAAUUGCUUGGCUAUAGUUAAUUUAUGCCGACUGCUACCAAAAUAUCGAUCAAAGUCACCUAAGCGUAGAGAAAGCUUGAGAUUUACGUAAUUAUAAUUCAUUUUUUUCAAAUCUAAAUAUUCAAAAAAUUGAUUAUAAUAUGUAUGAAAAUAUUUAGUUUUUUUUCAAAUCUAAAUAUUUAGUUUUUUUUCAAAUCUAAAUAUUAAAUAUACUAAAUUAGAUUAAUACGUUAUAUCUAACUAAUCUAACAUCAGAUAAUUUGUUUUUAAUAUAAAAAAUUUGAAUUAUAAUAUGUAUAAAAAUUGUAGUUUUCAAAUGAGCGUAGAUAUAUAGUUUUCAAAUUAAGCAUGUUUAUUUCAUAUAUCAGAUUGGAUAGUAUUUGAUUGAGAUACAGGUUGUCAUGUAGUUUUCAAAUUAAGUAUGUUCAUUCCAUGUAUUGGAUUGGGUAGUAUCGGAUUGGGAUACGGGUUGUCAAGCCCAGACCCGAACCUCAAAACUUUUGGGUUAAGAACGAGAAUAAAAAUUAUGGGUUAUAAAUUUGGGAUACGGAUUGUCAAGCCCAGAUCCGAACCUCAAAACUUUUGGGUUAGGAACGAAAACAAAAAUUAUGGGUUAUAAAUUAGUUAUUCUAAAAAAGAAAAAAAUGUUAAUAAAAAGGUUAGAAUGAUCGAACUUCUCACCUUGAAUAUGUUAUUUUCAAACAAUAACUAGUUCCACUACUGAAGAUUAUAGUAAAAACCGGUCAGAAAAUACAUACUUUAUAUAUGGUUGGCAACACAUGCUUCCUUACCUUCUAUCCAAAAUCCAAUUUUAUACCAGUAUUUGGGGAAGAUCCAAUUAAGCAUGUUCAUUCCAUGUAUCAGACUGGGUAGUGAGAAGAUCAAGAGAUUGUUGAACAGUUCUUAUGUUGUAUAAUUGUAAAAGAACCGAUUACAAUAUAUAUAUAGAAGCUUUAGCUUAAUCCUCAAGUUAAAGAUAAACACAAAUAAGGAAUAUUUAAGAUUUUCUAAAUAUUUUCUCAUACUCUCCCUCAAGAUGGCGAGUGGAGAUCCCGAACUUCCAUCUUGCCAAAAAUAUAAGAAAAUUGAAUUCGUCCAAGUGCUUUAGUAAACAAGCCUGCAAGCUGUUCAUGUGUGCGAAUAUAAGCCGGUGCGAACUCCUGCUUGGAAGGCAUCACAAAUAGUGUGACAGUUGUUCUCUAUGGAUUCUGCAGAAUGUCUAGUGCUGCCUUGUUAUCACAGUAAAAAGAAACUGGUUCUGGAUGCUUGAUAUCGAACACAGAAAGAAGCUGGAGAAACCAUUGUAUCUCAGAGAAUGUGUAAGACAUUGCGCGAUAUUCCGCUUCUGGAGAAGAACGAGAGACAACUCUGUUUUUUUUUUUUUUUGUCUUCCAAGAGACAAGGGAAUCACCAAAUAAGAUGGCAUAACCAGUGAGGGACUGCCAAGUUAUCAGACAAGAAGACCAGUCCAAAUCACAAUAAGCAAACAUGUGAAGAUCGGGUUUGGAGUUAAGGAAUAUACCUUGCCCAUGCGUACCCUUAAGAUAUCGUACUACUCGAGUCUCUGAAUCUCAAUGCUUCUUCCGUGGUUUAGUGAGGAACUGAGCGAGUAAAUGGACCGCAUAGCUGAGAUCAGGCCGAGUUACAGAUAAGUAUACUAAGCGUCCAACAAGCCAACGGUAUCUGGAUGGAUUGUCAAAAUAUUUUCCAUCGUCUCCAGCUAGUGUAUGGUUUAGCGUAACCCUCAAGUUAUCCAAUACAUAUUCUGAUAAGCCGCAUUCAGAAACGAUAUCCAAUGAAAUAUUUCUUUUGGAAAUAUGGAUCCCUUUCUUUUCACAAAAUAUUUCCAAACCGAGGAAGUAUUUUAACACGCCAAGAUCCUUUAUAUGAAAACUCUUACUCAUGUAAGCCUUGCAUUUGGAGAUAAGAGUUGUGUCGUUGCCCCCUCUAACCAAGUCAUAUACAUAAACAAGAACAUAGAUGCAAGAAGAGCCACGAUGAUAUGAGAAGAGAGAGUAAUCCUUCUUGUUUUGUACAAAACUAAACCGCAACAACGACGCUAAAAGCUUAGCAAACCAACAACAUGGAGCUUAUUUGAGACCGCAGAGAGACUUUUGUAGUCUACACACUUUGUUUUAAUCGGAUGAAGAGAAACCCGGCGGAAGCUGAUGUGGUGUAUGCGGGGGUAUCAAAUUUUACCCUAAAAGAAAUAAAAGAAAGCCGCAAGUGCACAGCUAAUCAGUUGUAAUACUUAGAGAUCGAAUCCAUAGAGAUUUGCCAAAUAUUUUUCUACGGUCUCGUAGCUUGUUGGCCGUCUUCAAAUGUCUUCGGGGAAAAUGGAAUAUCUUGAGAUCCAACCGUUGGAAUGUCUCCAAAGUAAGUGCAUUUGAAAGCUGGUUGAGUCUUCUAUUAAGUAUCCAAUUUUGGGGAUGAUCAGACGGUGAAAAGCUCUUCAUCUCUCCUUGAGAGUUCUGACGGUCUGAAUUUAUCCAAAAUAGUCUUUUUGUUCCAAUUUUCACCUCUUUCUUCCAAAUUACCUGAAAAGUCUUUAAAAAUCCGAAAACAUAAAAAUCAUUUGAAAACCUUUGAAAAUGGAGUAAAAACACCUGCAAAAUAUAUUACACUGAUCCAUAAAAAUGGUCAAGGUGUUAUAAACUCCCCCAGGCUUAGACUUUUAUUUGUCCUCAAACAAAACAAAGAUCAAAUCUCGGUGAGAGGUUUGAAAACGCAGGAACUAACAAAAUCUCAGAGACCAUACUUCUAGACUAAAAUCAAUCAUUAUGCAUUAACCGGGGAUAACCUAGAAAAUUCUCACUAAAAUACAUGCAUAACUAAUCCGUUGAUCUGUCAUGCGAAAGUAUAUACACUUAGAUCUAACUUCCACUCAACUAGCUCUUAACAUUUAUUAAAAAUCUAUGUGGUUCUCAUCAAAAUAAGUAUAAGCAAGGCGAUUUGGGCUAGGUGUCAAAAAGGCUCUUUUCGGGGUGAGGUUUUAAAGUGUUUUGGGUUACCUUGAUUUUUAGAGAAGUAGGGUAUUAUGCAAAACAGCAAGAGAUAAUGGAGCUGUUGAUAUCUACAGUUUCCAGUCACAUUCUUCUUGCUUUAGAAUCUUUUAUAUUUCUCAGGUUCUCCUUUUAGUUCCCCCAGACUUAGAUUCUUGUCUGGGUUGUAACCGUAACUCCAACAGAUGCAUACUAAUCGCCUUUUGCCUCAAAUAAUUUUGGCCAUCUAAGACUCUUUAGGCUUUUGUUUCUUUUCUUUUCAUUCUUUUUCUUCUCUCUUUUUUCUCUUUUUUUUAGAAGAGGGAAAACACCUUUAGAUAUAGAGUCUUAGAGGACACAAAAAUUUAGCAUUAAGAGCAACCUUUUCGAAGUGUCUUAACAUUGCCGAUGUACCUCCCUUCCAACUCCCAUUUAGUUCUUCUCUUUGGAUGACUGAAAACUGUGCCGUUCCUCCCUCUCCAGCGUUUUUGCUCAUAUCUGCUGAUAUAAGCUAAAGAGAGGAUAUGUGAGGUAUGAAAAAAAAAGGAUUGGGUAAAGGUAUGGUACCAGCUAAAGAUGAACUAGCCAUCUAAGACAACAAAGAGUGGUAAAAAUGAGGGAAAAGGUGUUCUAGAUGUAUAUCUUGAUGCUUGCCUAAAAUCAAUGAUGAGAAACUUAGAUAUCAAUAUUAAGGUGAUGUGGCCAUCAACCCAGCUCAACAUCACAAAGAGACCCCAAUGAUCUUAGACAAACCAGACGGCCCAUCCGAAGCCGAGAGAUGCCUUAUAGAAGCUGAACCGGAGAAAAUGAGCAUAAAGGCGAGCCCAACAGAAACAGAAGUGAAAACUUGGAGUUUCACCAACCAAAUGUCAUCAAUGGAGUCUGUGAUCGAGCCAAAACACUUUUCAGUUGAUCCAGAAAUGAAGUUACCCAAGAAUCAACUCAAACUCUUGGCCAAAGCAUGUUCAAGCAACACAAGAAGACCCAUGCACCUUAUUCAGCACUGAUGAAGUCAGAGAUCAGCUGGUACAGCUCGGCCAACACUUUUAUUACAUUUCUAUCUCAUCCAGUGAACGCCUAGAAGUGGAAUCAGCCCAAUUAGAUCUCAGAGAAAUGAGUUAUUCAGCUUACAAAUCAGGUGAUGCACAACUUCUACGAUUUGAACAUACGUGCCUUAUUUGGAGGUUUCCGACCGAACCAGAAGGAUAUAAGCUGUGAACCGACUUGUUCCCAAUUCUUGAUUCAUCAUAGAAUCGGAGACAGUUGGAAUCAAACCAAUACCGGUUAUGGUUAGAAAUUUAUUCACUUUACAAGUUGGAAGAUCUGUUUCAGACCCAAUUGCGCAGUUAGGCUGAAGAUCUUACUCUACAGCCCAACUCAUCCACGUUCUCAGCCCAAAAUUACUUGGAGAAUAUUUUUUGGUCUUUCUUGGAUCCAACAAGCUCAAGAUCCGAAGAAUUUCUCAUUGGAACUUCAAGUUACACCCAAUAUCCCAAAACGGGUUGACUUGGUUCCAUUUAUGGCAGGUCUGAGCUCUGACUGGUAUAGAUCGCUAUCUACAAGAGUUUGGCGCCCAGGAGAGACUCUAAGGCAACUAAGGAAGCUUAGAAACACCUUACCAUGCACCAGCACCCACAGGAUCAGGCGGAUCGUUUUGCAAGCUUACUUUCCUUAUGUGGCCGCAUUCACACUCGGUGCUAUUAAUCACCAAUAGCUCUUUUCCUUUGAAUGCUACGACUUGGACCCUAAAAACGUCUAGAUACAAAGGCAUCAUCACAUUUUCAUAUUUGGUCGAGAUCCUCUUAUUUAGAGCCUAUCGGCUAGUUUUUGAUUAGCUUUGAUUUGUUUCUUUGUUUUUAGCAUUUUAGAACGUGUAAGAGCAUUAUAUAAGCUCAUAUUAGUCCAUUUGUAAAAACUCAUCUUUCAAUCAAAUUAAUACAGAAGUUUCUUAUUUUCUUUCAAAGUGUGUUCUUUGGAAAAUUGUCUUUUCUUUUGAAUAAAUGUGUGAGAUUCACUUCUAUUCUCUAGAAGCCACGAAUUUAGUUGUUUGUGUUACUCAAAUAACUUGUUCGUUCAUCGAUUGAGAGAGUCAAUCAAACCACCACCUUCCAUCUCAAUAUCACGUACGCCCACUUUCGCAAACAAACUUGUAAACUCUUGAUUAUCUUGUGAACAUAAGAUUUGGUGGAUUCCAAUCUUAUAUCAUUUGGUAUCAGAGCACAAGUUCCUAUCAAAGUGCUUAUGUUCUUUAUCUUUCCCUUUUGUUAUUUUAAUUCAGUCUUUUUUCAUUUUAAAUCAUAAAAAGAAAAAAAAAUUAUUGUUUUGAAAUAUUCUAUGUUUUCUUUAAUUCUAAAAAAUCAGAAAAUAGAAAUAAGAAUUUUCCCUUUUGUUAAUUGCAUUUUCGAAUUUUGUAUCCAAAAAUAUAUAAAUAUAUUUAUCGGUUUUUCUUUUAUUUUUGGUUUUGCUUUAAUUCCAUUUAAAAAUCAGAAAACCAAAUAAAAAUAUCUUCUAUUGUUUUCUUAAAUUUUAUAACUCAGAAAAACAGAAUUUUCUUUUAUUAUUUAAGAUUGUCGAAUUUGUUUAGUUUUUUAAAAAAUCCCUUAUUUUUGAAAUAUUUUGUUGUUUGCUUUAAUUUCAUUAACCAGAAAAAAAAAGAAUUUUUAUUAUUAUUAGAAUUUUGAAUUUGUUAAACAAAAAAAAAAAGAAGAAGAAGAAACCAUUGUUUUAUUUACAUUCUCUUUCUUUCCUUUCUUGCUUAAGCCAAACUUUGAUACGCUUCUUCUUUAUCUCUGCGAGGUACAACCCUAAGGAGCAGCCACCAUGACUGAAUCAGAAGAAGAUCAGUACCAAUUUGAUGGAGACCAAUGGUGUCAAGGAGAAGAGAGUUUAGCUUUUUCCGAUGAGGAGGCUGACUAUGAGUCUCCACCGUGACUAGGAGAUGGCUACACCAGCUCUGGAAUUGGAGAUGAAUCAGACUGUGAAGAGUACGAUCCAGAGCCACCAUAUUACAGCAGAGUCAACACUAAUCAAUCAGCUUAGUCUAGAGAUAAAGAGACAGGCCGAGAAAAAGGUGUAGAAGGUGACCAUGAAGGAGAUCCUUGGCAGGACGAAACUGAGUCUUAAUAUCACGAAGGAAACUACAACACUGAACCAGAAGACAGAGAUGACUCAGAGCAUUGAGAUUUUGACCAUGGAGAACAAGGCCGAUCUUUAGAACCUUACCAAAGGCCAAGGUGCGAAGUAACUGAUUCUGAAAUCAGUUCAAUAGAUGCUGACAAUACUGAUGGUGAGUCUUGGAGCCACGAGACAGAGCUAAAAAAAAGCAUGGUUGAUGGACCAGAGCUUGACGAGGAGGAACAAGAGCCAAAUGGAGACAACAUCAACUACACUGAACAAGACUAGCCAGAUGGUGCAACAACAGAUGAUGAGGUAGAUGAUGAGCCACACCACAUCUAUUUUUCAGGUCAUGAACAAGGACCAGAAGCUUACCUAUAGUGGGAGAGCGAAAUAGAGUACAUGAUGAAGUCACAAAACAUUCCUAAGGAUCAGAGACUUUCAUAUGCACUUGACUCGUUUGUUGGAGAAGCUACUACAUGGUGGGAACAAGAGGAAGUUGUGGCCAACUAUAAUAAUUCUGCCAUCACUUGGGGUAAUCUCAUGCAGCGUAUGUACAAAGAGUUUGUACAGAAGUCCCAAAACCGCAGCUACAUUCCCAAGAGGCUAAUGUUCAAAACAGCUACAAAGAGGUGGAUGUCUACGCCAAAAUCGCAGCCUGUUUCUAAGUCAAAGAAAGCUUGCUAUUCUGAGCUAAAGAAAGUGUCUCAAAGCACUUUGGAAAAGAAGAUAGAGGUUAAGAAUCCAGUGGGAGCAACAGGAGUUAAACCAGCCUCCAAACAGCCUGAUCACUACAAGAAAAACACCGUUUUACAACGGCCAAAACCUUCGUAAGUUCAUUGUAAAAGUCUUAUUACGACGAACAAGCGACGGUUUGGAAAUUUUCGUAAACUUAUCGUCGUAAAUGACAUUUCGUCGUAAAAGCGUCGUACAAUCUAGGACGGUUAUAAAUCGUCGUAACAUCGACGUAAACUAAACGUCGUAAAAGCGUCGUAAUGGUUACGAUGACUUUACAUCGAUUUGUCUCAAUUUGGUUUUCAGCGUAACCGUCGUAAAGUCGUCGUUACCGACGUAGGUUCGUCGUAUAAUAUACGAUGUAUAUAUCAUCGUAAUUCGAUCAUAUUAAUUUUUUUCUUUUCGACAUAAAACCGUCGUAAAACACUGACGUAUAUGUGUCGUACAAUACGUCGUAUAUUAUACGACGAAUAUUUGGUUGUAAUUGGAUCGUAUGGUUAUAUAUAAUCUUACGACGAUUUUACGACGAUUUAUUAAAUAAAUAAUAAAUAUAUUACGACGAUUAUACGAUAUUUUUUAUAAAUAAAAUUAAAAAAACAUUUAAUUCGAAUUAAAAUUUUAAUUAAAAAAGAAAUAAAUUUAAAUUUAAAUUUAAUUAAAAUUUAAAAUAAAAAAAUUUAUAUUAAUUAUAAAAUAACUUAUCAAAGAUCUAACUCUAAAAUAAUGUCGUCUAUCACCGCAUCGAUCCGCUCCGGAUCCCCAUCUUGCUCCACAGGUUUCUUGCCGGCUCUUCGGUUGGAGGUAUCCGGCACCUGAUCCCCGGCUCUAGGAGGAUCAACCCCGAGAGACCGGAACAUCUCCUCGUCUGUCUGCACUGGUGGUUGCCUCCUAGAGGAUGAAGACGAUGUCCCGACGACUCUAGCUGCCCGCAACCUAUCCAACUGCGUCUGGGGCAACGGGUUGUCGGCCCCCAUAAUCUCGAAGAGACCGUACAACUGGUCGAUCUUCGUCUCGUACAGCGUCCGCAUCUGAUGGAUCUCCUGGCGGAUAACGACUGGAUCCCAUGCCUGGACAUGUCCAGUCGCUGUAGCGAUUGGGGUAUCACGGAUGGAUCCCAUCCCUAAAACCUGGCCCUUCUUCCGAGGGGCAACCUUAAAAAAUGUAGAAAACUUAUGUAAAACAGUACAAUAUAUAGUUAAAUUUAAACUAAAUAGAAAAAAUAAAGUAAAUUAAACUUACCUCUUCGAAGAUCUGGUCCAUCUCCGCCACCGUCAAUAUCGGGGUGGACUGGACCGAGCUACUUCCGGGAGAUGUCGGAGGUGCCUGCUGGGUGAGCUGUGUAUGCUGCUCCUCAAUCCUCGCACAUGCGGCGUUGUAGAUCUCUUCCGCUCGAGGAUCCGUGAAUUCGCCGUUCUUCUUCUUAUGGGUCUCGGCGAAAACCUUCGUCAUCGGAGGAAGUUCUCCCCCGUUUUCUUCGACCUACAAAAUCAAUUUGAAAUUAUUAAUAAGAUAAAUAAGGUUUAUUAAAAAAAAACUUAUUAAUAAAAACUUACCAUCAUAAGUCGUCUCUCGGCGAAAGGAACCUGGCCGGAAGUGUGUGGGACGUUCUUUAGAUUUCCCACAACGUCAGCAACGUUCCUGAAAAUGAAAUAUUUAGUAAUUAGAUUUGUAAUUAAAAAUAUAAUAUUAUAAAUUAAACACAUUUUAAUUUAAUUUACAAAUAUACCUGGAUGUGGAACACUUGGCGGCAAUAGUCUGGUUGUUCGGGGUCAACCAAUGAUGCACCUCCCAGACGGUAUCGGCCAUUGGCGUGGCUUCUCCUUGUUGCCGUCGACCUCCCACUUCCGCUUCCAGUCAGAAACGGUGUUGUUGAGCCGGAACUUGACCUUUUCAUUGAAGGCCGUCUUCACACGUUCGUGUGCGGAAGUUUUCCAAGGCCAGUUUUGCUACAAAAAAAAAAGAGUUAGUAAUUAUUGUAAAAAAAAAAUAAAAAAUAAUAUAAACCAUAAUUUUAAAUAACUUACCGCGAAACACUUGAACCAAGUGUCAAUAGUUUCCUGAUCCAGCUUCUUCCAGCUGGUAUGGGGUUGUACGAAUAACCCCUUGAUGAUGUCGGAAACGUUACGACCGACUGCGUUAUCGGUCGUAAACCUAGUCAUUAAAAAAAAUUUGGUUAGAUAUUUAAAUUAAUUAUAAAUAUAAAUCUUUUAAUGAAAAAUUUGUAAAAAAAAAACCAAAAAUCGUACCAAAACAUCCCCGGAGCUCGAUCCGGAUAGAGUUUCUUCAUACUCCCACGACCCGGUUGCCGUAGAAGAUCCUCAACCGUAUAUUGGACAUACGGUUCAGGCGGUAUCGGGGCUGCGGCUGGUGCAGGUGCUGCUGGUUCGGCUUGUAGUGGUGGAGGCGGUGCAGGCUGUGGUACAACAAUUGGUUGUGAAACUGUACGUUGAGGAUGGCGGACCCCGUAGCUAAGGUGGACGGAGCGGUAGCGUCUGGAUCAACCAUCUCCCGAUAGUGGAACCUCUUGGUCCGGAGAGCUAUCUAAAUAAUCUACAAAAUUAAAUUAAAUAUAAUUACUAAUUAAUCUAUUUAUUUCUAAAUUCCAGAAAUUCCGAAUCUUACUAAUUCCCCUAAUUAUAUCUAUAUAAGGAUUAAAAUUUGAACAGGAAUAUAAAUUAUAAUGAAAAAACUAAAAAAAACUUACAAAUUAAGACUGGAGAGGAGGGAGAGCAAGAGAGAGAGAGUCUUUGUAGAGAGAGAGAGGGAAGUGAGGAAUGAGAGAUGAUGGAGGAAAACUCACGUCCCUUAUAUAGAUUUUGUGAUCGUUGUAAAAUCGUCGUAACGUUACGACGGUUUUACGACGAUUUGGUUGUAUAAUCAUCGUACCAGUGCAUGACACGACACGUGUCAUGCUCACAUCGUUUGAGUAUUACGACAAUUUUACGAUGAUUGUUCAUCAAACUAUCGUAAAACCGUUGUAAUAGGCCAACAUAUAUACCCUCGUACCUCGGAUCUGGAGCCAAUCCGGCGGCUGUCAGAUGUAUGAUCGUCAUUAAUGUUACGACGGUUUAAUGAACAUUCGUCGUAAAAACAUUGUAAUUUUACGACGUUUGUACGAUGGUUUUAUGAUGGUGUUUAAAAAAGUUAUCAAACCCUAAAUCUCUCAAAAGACUUAUUGCAUUAAGGACAACCCAAAGCUGAUUUUAAACUAACAUAUUACAAUAGGUUCAUCACUUUACAUGUAUGACUGAUUUAGUACAUGAGAUAACAAAUAUAUCAACCAUCUUAUCUAAUAUAUAACUUUUUACUUAACAUUUACAAAAACAUGCAUGAACUAGUAAAUAUGUAUGAUUUUUUUUUCAAAUUUCUGAUUUUGAUCAGAUUGAAUACUUUUCAUAUCAAAUAAGAUAACCUAUCAAAAACAUUUGUGAAACAUGUUGGAAAUUCAUCCGGAUCAUUCGGGUCCACCUAAUCAGAAAAAAUCUUGCUUUAAUUUCUUAAUUUUGCAAAUAUGCAUGCAACCAUAUAUGUUGGAUAUCAAAGUCUUUUAAUUUAUAUUUUAUACGUAAUUGCGUUUUUAACCACUAGGCAUAAUGUUUUUGAUCUUUACGAUCAUUGAUUUCAAUUUCAGAAACCCCAUAGAUGCAUUCUUUAACCUCAUCAACGAAUGUCCUGAAAAAAUAACUAAUAAUUAAUUAAGACUGACAGUAGGAUAUACGUAUGUGCACUGAGAUAAUCUUUUUCAUUGGACCCCCAAACUUCCUUCAGUUUUCCACUAAGACGUCCGAUCGGCGAGAAUAUGUCAAGUACACCCUUAACUGUAUAUGUAUGGCCUCUUCAAUCAUCAUAUCGACGAGUAGCUCUUUUUCGUGUUCGUACUUUUGGUGCAAAAUAGUACGGAUACAUUCACCUGUAUUGAACCGGUCCACCGAGCUCUGCUUCGUGAGGGAGAUGAACAGGAAGAUGUUCCAUAACAUCAAAAAAUGAUGGCGGGAAGAUCUUUUCCAAAUCGCACAAUAAUAUUGGAAUAUUCGAUGCCAGUUGUGCUAUUACAUCAGCUGAUAAUGUUCGUGUACUAAGAUCCUGGAAAAGUUCACCAAUGCCUCCAACAGCUUCAUAGACAUUUUUGGGCAAGAGUUCAGCAAAUGCAAAUGGAAAUAAUCGUUGCAUAAACACGUGGCAGUCAUGACUUUUUAUCCCUGCAAAUUUACCCUUUUAUCAACAGAUUUAAAAGAUUAGAAACAUACCCAUCAGGAAACUUAACGUAAGAUAAAACCCAUUUGAACAAUGCUGACUUUUGAUCUGCACUCAACCGAAAUACAGAAACUGGUGCUUUCCCGUUUCUCAGUAUAUGAAACUCACUUCUGUUGCAUAAAUCAGGCAAGUCCAUUCUUCACUUACCAUUGUCUUUUGUUCUUCCCGUUACGUUCAUAACUGUAUGCACGAUGUUAAAAAAUUUUCUCAAUGUGCAUGACAUCGAGAUUGUGUCUGAGCAGAUGAUCUUUCCAAUAGGGCAGUUGCCAAAAGAUACUUUUCUUGUGCCAAUUAUGAUGAAAUCCAUAACCUUCAGACAUAUUUGCACGAGUGUGCCAGUUUCCCCCACGCGUUACUGUUUCCUCUGCCCCCCAAUGCUCGAUUUGCGCAAUCAGCUCCUGUUAAAUUUACAGGUGGAGAGAUAUGUACACUUUUGUUCUUCCUAAAUAACCUCUUGUUCCUCCGAUAUGGAUGGUUAUCCGGUAAAAUCCUCCGAUGACAAUCAAACCAACAGGUUUUUCUACCAUGUUUUAGCUGUAACGCAUCAUUUCGAUGAAGACAAUAACAACAAGAUAACCUCCCAUGUGUAUUCCAUCCUGAUAGCAUACCAUAAGCAGGGAAAUCGCUUAUUGUCCAAAUAAGCAUAGCCCGCAUAGUAAAAUUUUUCCCUGUUGAACAAUCAUAUGUGUGAACGCCGGUAUACCAUAACUGAUUCAACUCAUGUAUGAGUGGCUGCAGAAAUACAUCGAGAGCUCGCUUCAGAUGAUUGGGACCUGGAACCAAAAUACUAAGGAAAAGAAAUUCCCUUUGCAUGCACAUAUCUGGAGGAAGGUUAUAAGAGGUUAGGAUUACUAGCCAUAAUCAAUAUUGUCUACCAGACAUACCAAAUGGAGUAAAACCAUCAAUGCACAGACCAAGAUAGACAUUCCGUUUGAACUUAGCAAAAUCUGGGUAUACCGUAUUGAAGUGUUUCCCUUUGCUUCUGAUGGAUGCACAACUUCUUCAUCUACUUGUGUAUGUUCUGCAUGUCAUCUCAUUGAUGCAGCUGUCCUUUCAGAUUGAUAAAGCCGCUUCAACCUAUCAGUUAUAGGGAGAUACCACAUACGUUGGUACGGUAUCCUUUUAUGCCCACCAGUUUGCGGCCUGUAUCUUGGUUUUUGGCAAAAUCGACAUUCCUCCGGCUGAUCAUCAUCUUUCCAAAAAAUCAUACAAUUGUCAACACAUACAUCUAUCAUCUCAGAAGGUAGACCAAGACUAAAAAUCAACUUAUAUAUUUCAUAGUAUGUUGCCGCUGCCAAGUUAUCCUCCGGUAGAUACUCUUUCAGAAGAUCAGCCCAAUCAUCCAUGCAAACCUCAACCAGGUUAUGAUCUGUUUUAAUUGACAUCAUCCUAGCUGCCAAAGAUAAUUUAGACAGAUCUUCUCUACAUCCUUCGUAGAUUGGCUGAUUAGCAUUGUCUAACAAAUCAUAAAAUUGUUUGGCAUCUACAUUAGGUUCCUCAACAUCAUUACCAGUAUGCGUUUCAUGAAAUGCAUCAGUCACCAUCUCAUGCAUCCUAUCAUGAUCUAGACCUUGAUCAGAUUGAUACUGAUUAGGCUGAUGACCAUAAUUUGAUUCAUCAAAAUCAACAUGACUUUGAUAAUUACUACUACUACCAGCAUUCCCAUGAGUAUUACUAUCAUAUCCUUCUCCAUGUAGAUACCAAACAAAAUAUUGCAGCAUAAACCCUCUAUUUAAUAAAUGCGUCCACACGGUUUUGGUUAGUGUAUACCUUGUAUUCUUGUAUUUCAAACAAGGACAAAACAUCUUUGUGGCCUGAUACAUGAAUAUUUCUAACCCGUUCUUGAACUCUUCUGUCAACGCCCCAUCUGAAUCUUUACGCAUAUACAUCCAGCUUCUUAGCUCGUAUAUAGACAUCUUGAAAAUAACUCAAAAAAACUAUCUCUCUCUAUUGUUUAGACAAUAUAAGAGACGGUCUCUUGUGUCACGUGUAGCCGCGUGAAUGGAGAAACCUUUCAAUAUUGUUACUUCUUUUUUCAAAGAAAUUACUACUAAUUCGGGUUUCCAGCAAUGGACAACCCAAUAUAUCAGGUUUUACAACAAUAUAAUAAGGUUUAAGAGACCAAAAAUGGGUCUCCAGGAUGCUGAUGCUCUUUUGUUUGAAUGAUGAUGUGUUGUGAAUGAAAGAAGAAAUGAAGAUGUAUUUAUAACCAAAUUUUGGACUUUACGACGCUUUUACGACAAUUUUUUACAUCCAACCUUCAUAUUACGAUGAUUUUACGUCGAUUGUGCGAUAAAAUAUUUCAUCGACAUUAGUUAGGUAAACAUGUUUUAAAUGUUCUUCACCUACCUUCUUUGCCGACGUAAAAUCGUCGUAACUGUACAUCGGAUUAGGAUCGUCGUAUAUUCAUCGUAAUGUUACAUCCAAAUUACGACGAUUUUGCAAUAAAUAUCAAAUCUCUCUUUAUCGAUGUAUAAUCGUCAUAAAGUAUCAUAAAUUGUACGUCGAAGUUACGACGAUUUUUUUUACGACGUUUUAUUUUUCCAUCGUAAAAUCAUUGUAACAUCGUUGUAUAUUUGUGACGACUUAUAAACUGUCGUAACAGACCGUUGGAAAACGAUUGUUUACUUGUAGUGGAUGCAGCUCAUACGCAGAGCACAAAACCAAAGUAUGGGCCACAUGUCAACACAGAGCAAGGUAAGCCAUCUAAACUCUCUAAAACAAUCUGUUAUAGGUGUCAUCAGAGAAGUCAUUUUGCUAAGACUUACCCAAAUACAAAAUCAGAGGAUACUUCAUCAAUUGAACCAGAAAAAUAUGAAGCUAGAGAAGUAGAAAAAGAUGAGUUAUAUUGUGAAAUUUCCAAUUCAGAUCUAAUGUGCUUGUCUUUGCCAAAGGUUAUUGAUGCAUGUUUAAAUCAUGGAGAGCAUCACUAUUAAGAGAUCAAGACGUGCCAACCUGCCACUGAAAAAUAUGAAGUUGUCACUAUCUUCACUCCAAUCCAAGAGGAGCCACCAGAUCUUACACUGAAUCCAAAUGUCGUGGCAACAAAGAAAACAGAACUAAUCAACAGUUCUGAUCAGGUAAGUAUUUCUUUAGCACCAUUGAAUUCCAACACUUCAAAUUCUGUGCUGUUACACUCAUUAAAUCCAGAAGAAGUUGAAUUAAAAGAAGUCUUGGUAGAAUGCAUAUCAUAUAUCGAACCAGACAUGAAAAAGAGAUAAGAACAAGUGUUCCAAACAAAAAUCAUGUUCCAUUGCUCGUAAAAAUAUUUUGACCGCGAUAACACACUUGUUUCUUGUCCAAAAAGAAAUGGUAAUUGCAGGAACUGACGAGGAUCCACAAGAAAUCCAACAGAAAGAAAUCAGUAUAGAUGCCAUUUGUAAAAUGGAGGAUUUUACAACGACAAAAAACUUGCUGCCCAAAGAAUUUAUCAACAGACAUGAGAGAGAGGUCACUGCUUCCUUAGUGAUAAAAGAAGAACCACCAGAUGCCCAAAAUAAACCAAACCCAAGCCACAAGCAAACCAUGACCCAAGGUAACUCUCUAAACCCUCAGGAAAAGCAUGAUCCUAACUUGCUCUAUCUUUGUGCAGGUCAAAGAGUUUCGAGGACGAAACUUUUCCAAGGAGGAGGGUAUGAUGUGGUCAUCGACCCAGCUCACCAUCACAAAGAGACCCCAAUUAUCUGUAGCCGAGAGAUGCCUUAUAGGAGCUGAAACGGAGAAAACAAUGGAACAUAAAGGCGAGCCCAACAGAAGCAGAAGUGAAAAUUUGGAGUUCACCAACCAAAUUUCAUCUGGAGGAUAUGAUCGAGCCAAAACACUUUUGGGUCGAUCCAGAAAUGAAGUUACCCAAGAAUCAACUCAAACUCUUGGCCAAAGCAUGUUCAAGCCACACAAGGAGACCCAUGCACCAUAUUCAGCACUGAUGAAGUCCGAGAUCAACUAGUACAGCUCGACCAACACUUGUAUUACAUUUCUAUCUCAUCCAGUGAACGCCUCGAAGUGGAAUCAGCCCAAUUGGAUCCCAGAGAAAGGAGUUAUUCAGCUUAUAAAUUAGGUGAUGCACAACUUCUACGAUUUGAACAUACGUUCCUUAUUUGGAGGUUUCCGACAGAACCAGAAGGAUUUAAGCUGUGAGCCAACUUGUUCCCGAUUUGUGAUUCAUCAUAGAAUCGGAGGCAAUUGGAAUCAAACCAAUACCGGUUAUGGUUAGAAAUUUAUUCACUUUUUAAGUUGGAAGAUCUGUUUCAGACCCAAUUGCACAGCGAGGUUGAAGAUCGUACUCUACAGCCCAACUCAUCCACGUUCUCAGCCCAAAAUUACUUGGAGAAUAUUUUUUGGUCUUUCCUGGAUCCAACAAGCUCAAGAUCCGAAGAAUUUCCCAUUGAAACUUCAAGUUACACCCAAAUUCUCAAAACGGAUUGACUUGGUUCUAUUUAUGGCAGGUCCGAGCUCUGACUGGUUUAGAUCGCUAUCUACAAGAGUUUGGCGCCCAGGAGAGACUCUAAGGCAACUAAAGAAGCUUAGAAACACCUUACCAUGCACUAGCAUCUACAGGAUCAGGCGGAUCGUCUUGCAAGCUUACUUUUCUUAUGUGGCCGCAUUCACACUCGGUGCCAUUAAUCACCAACGGCUCUUUUCCUUUGAAUGCUACGACUUGGACGUGUUAUAAUCGUCAUAAAGCAUCGUAAAAUACACUAUUUACAAGUUAUUUUGUGUACACAUUUAUUUCAUUCCCCCAAAAAUACAUCAUUUAUAAGUAACUUUUUUACGUAUAUCCUUUUUCUCUUUAAAAGAAAAUUUUCAUUAAAAAAACUUCAAAAUUUCAGUAGUUCCCAACUUAAAUCUCCGACUUUUUGGGUUCCAGCUUUAAAAUUUCAAGUUAAUUAUUUUUCCAAAACAAACCUUCAAGUUGCAUAAAAGUGUGCACAAUCGAGAGUUUACUAAGAGUCAAUGCUGUUGUUUAACGGUCAAUGUUAGAAAAUAAUAGUUUUAAAUAAUAAAUUUAUUUAUUUUUUAUGAAAAAAAAUCAAAAUAAAAAAAUAACAAAAGUAUUUUUUCAUUAUUUUUUUUUCAACACUUAACGGUUAAUAUAUUAUAUUGUUAAACUAAUAACUUUAAUUGUAUUAAUUUAUUUAUUAAAAAAUUAAAAAUCUUCUCAGUUGCAAAUCUUUUCAAGUGUGACCAAAUAAUCCAUUGGUCGAUCUUAUGUAUUCACCAUUAGGGUUGAGAAAGGAUCAAAGUUUUCUUAAUGAGAACGAGAAGUAAAAGGUAAACUCAUUAGAAGUUGUGUCUCUAGGUACCGGAGUUGAACCGGUUUUUUAUAGAAAGAUUUCUCAAGCGUGAAAAUCAUAACGGAGAGGUCAUAGGCGAGAGAAUUGUUUUUUUGUAUUUUUUGUUUUUAUUUUGAUUUUUUGGUUUUUGGUUUUUAUGUAAAAAAAUAAAUAAUUUAUUAUAUAAAAAUUAUUAUUUUAACGUUGAGCGUUAGACAACAAUGUAAAUUGUUAGUCAACCCUUGAUUGUGCACACUUUAAUGCAACUUGAAGGUUUAUUUUGGAAAAAUAACUAACUUGAAGGUUUAUAGUAAAAAACCCAAAAAAGUAGAGGUUUAAGUUGGGAACCGCUGAACAUUUGAGAGUUUUUCUGGUAAUUUCUGUUUUUUUUUAAAGAACAAUAGAACAAAAAUAUUCUUUACUAAAUUCAAAGAAACCCAAUAAGAAAAAAAUAUUCUUAUCAUUUAUUCCUUUAGUGGUCACACUAGUUUGAGCCUUAAGAAAAUCUGUUUCUUUAGUUUUUUGGAAAUCAUAAAAUAAUUGAACAAAAAUAGCUUUUGGGUGAGUUCUAGCUAAUGGUCUUUGUACGCUUAGUUGGCCCAGCUCCUAUCAGCUCACUAAAGCCCAUACGUAGAUUUACCUAAGAGACUUUGAGUUACUUUAGUCAGAAUGUCAGAUCUUCUAUCACCUUCCGGCCAAAUCAAUUUUGUAAAGACUAGUUUCGUACCAUUUCAUUGAAGCUAUUUCCAAUAAGUACAAAAAAAGGCGACAGAAGCUUGUAUAGAAACAACAAUACUUCUAGUAAUACAAACAAGAUACAACAAUCAAAAUACAACAAGAAACCCACAGCCAAUCGAGUCACAAAACACGUAAAAAGAAAGCAAUCCCUCUGAAAAGUUACUUACUAUAUUACCAAAUUUACUUGGAAGUAUCUAAAACUUUCAUGGAGAUGCACCACUGCUUCUGGAACGAUACAUAGUGGCAAAAUCCAAACUUAAACGCCGGUCCCUUUCGUCUCCCCAGCCUCCCCAACC
rnacentral:lncRNA from 1 species